rnacentral:lncRNA from 1 species
CAAACCAGCUAAUAUCUCAUGGAAGUAGCCUCCUUUCCCUUGCUUCUACAGUUUUCUGCAACUCUCCCGUUGCAAUUUCUGGCAAGGUCCCAGUCGUUCAUUCAUGGUACAAAACCCGCUCGCACCCUUCUGAGCUAACAGCUGGCUUCUACAACACAGUUGACAAGGACGGCUAUGAAAGGAUUGCUGAAAUUUUUGCAAAAAAUUCAUGCAAAAUGAUCUUACCGGGAAUGGACCUGUCAGACGAUCACCAGCCGCAGGAGUCCCUCUCUAGCCCUGAAUUAUUACUCGCACAAAUCAAGUCUGCUUGCAGAAAGAGAGGAGUUCAGAUUUCUGGGCAAAACUCGUCUGUUUCAGGAGCACCUGGUGGUUUCGAACAGGUAAAGAAGAAUUUGCUGGGCGAGGAUGGAGUUGUGGACUUGUUCACUUAUCAGAGAAUGGGAGCCUAUUUCUUCUCCCCUGAGCAUUUUCCUUCAUUUACUGAGUUGGUUCGGAGCCUGAGUCAACCAGAGAUGCUCUGGGAUGACAUGCCUAACGAAGAGGAAGAAGUUGGUGAAUCAUUGCCGGUAGGAUCAAGUUCAGACAAGAAUCUCCAGAUGCAAGUGGCUUAGUAAGAAGUAGUAGUAAAACUGUAUCCAUGUGAAUAGGGCAUCAUAUUAAAUAGACCCAUUAUUAGAAGAGGUUGUAUUAGAUAUGAUAGCCAUACAAAUUCUAUGGAACCAUGUACUGAUUAUAUUUUCAAACAAAAGCUGAAUUAUAAGGAAGAAGUAUUGCUUGGCAUGUUCAGUCCCCAACACAAUCUUUAUUGCUUAAUUGCUUAAUUGCUACCCUGAAAUGACCGUCCAACCUUGAAAUUAUUUGAAUGCCCAACUCUAGAAAGUAGCUAUGCGGAAUUACCGUGAAGACAGACAAGGAAAGCCAUCAACACUAUGAAAUUGACAAUCCAACAAACUCUUUCAUCAGUGAAGUAAGCUCCAAUAGAAUUAACCUCGUAGUUCUUCUCUCGUUUCUCCAUUGCAUUCUGCAUUGGAUUUCUCGGUAUUCUUGAGUCACAAAAUUAUUUUUGCUAAAUGGAUGAAAAUAACAUUUACUGGUUUCCUGAAACUUAUCCAUUGGAGGGACCAGGCAUACGAUGACCUGAGUCCAUCGUGCAAUCGGGUAAACAUCCUCAGGCCGGCCAAUAGCUAAAUAACUUCUAAAACUUAUCCAUUGGAGGGACCAGGCAUACGAUGGCCUGAGUCCAUCGUGCAAUCGGGUAAACAUCCUCAGGCCGGCACAUAGCUAAAUAACUUCUACUGCUUUCCUGAAACUUAUCCAUUGGAGGGACCAGGCAUACGAUGGCCUGAGUCCAUCGUGCAAUCGGGUAAACAUCCUCAUCCUCAGGCCGGCACAUAGCUAAAUAACUUCUACUGCUUUCCUGAAACUUAUCCAUUGGAGGGACCAGGCAUACGAUGGCCUGAGUCCAUCGUGCAAUCGGGUAAACAUCCUCAGGCCGGCACAUAGCUAAAAAACUUCUACUGCUUUCCUGAAACUUAUCCAUUGGAGGGACCAGGCAUACGAUGACCUGAGUCCAUCGUGCAAUCGGGUAAACAUCCUGAGGCCGGCCAAUAGCUAAAUAACUUCUACUGGUUUCCUGAAACUUAUCCAUUGGAGGGACCAGGCAUACGAUGACCUGAGUCGAUCGUGCAAUCGGGUAAACAUCCUGAGGCCGGCCAAUAGCUAAAUAACUUCUACUGGUUUCCUGAAACUUAUCCAUUGGAGGGACCAGUCAUACGAUGACCUGAGUCCAUCGUGCAAUCGGGUAAACAUCCUCAGGCCGGCCAAUAGCUAAAUAACUUCUACUGGUUUCCUGAAACUUAUCCAUUGGAGGGACCAGGCAUACGAUGACCUGAGUCGAUCGGGUAAACAUCCUGAGGCCGGCCAAUAGCUAAAUAACUUCUACUGGUUUCCUGAAACUUAUCCAUUGGAGGGACCAGUCAUACGAUGACCUGAGUCCAUCGUGCAAUCGGGUAAACAUCCUCAGGCCGGCCAAUAGCUAGCAAACCCAAGUCUGUGGAACAGUGGAGAACCAACCCUAUCCACGAAGACCCCGGGUUAGAUGUGGCGGCUCACUGAUUGGCGUAUCACGCCACACAAGCCCGCUUGAGAAGACACUUGUUCCAUGAUGAAGCCGAGAUUAUGGAUUCCAUCCAUUCGGGCACAUGCCAGGAGUGUCUGGACGGAUUAGCAGGGUGCCGCUGCUAGAUGCCACCUAAACUCAGGGUGCCGCCCUCCUUCGUGGACUAAUACAAUGGGUCCGUCAAGUCUAACAUGAUAGGAUGACUCCUGGUUACCGUCCCUUCCCAACGUUUCCAAUUAUCCUUUGACCAUCGUCUGAGACAUGCCUGAGCAAUCAAUGACAAGCAAGGCAAGGUAUCCUAGGCGCCACUUGCAGAAACAAUGACAAUUAAGCUCUCUGCCCGAGAAUGUUGACCUUGCCCUUGCUACGCCAUCCAUACACAACAAAGCUAUCGAAGGUUAUGCAAGUAGACCCCAACCCGAGGGGCAAGUCCAUUCCUUUUAAGAGAAAAACCCUCCAUACUUCACCUUCUAACUCUCCUCGUUGCAGUGAUUUGUCUUUUUAUUAUGUCCCAUAAGAUAAGAUUAUUGGUCACACAAAUAGACACUCUUGGGAGUCUGGACAAACAAAAUCUUGUAUUAAAGUUGAGGAUUUACUCUGAUAUUAUUUGUGACGAUUAACUAUCUUAUAUUCUUAAAAUACGUCUACCUAGUUAAAUAAAACCUAUACAUAUAAUUUCAAAAACUUAUUCCCUUAAAUGCAUGUGUGAUUAAGAGAAAUAUCGAAAUAAAACCUAUAUAAAAUGUCAUGAAAUUAUUUCCUUAUUUGACGUGAGAUAUCGAAAUCAUCCUCCUAUAGACACAACAUCUUUACUGCAUGUGUCCUAUAGGAUUAUGGAGUUACUAAUAAACACCCUUUGAGGUUAGACGAAUAAAAUCUCAUUUUGAGGUUAAGGAUCGGUGUUGAUAGUAACAAUCCACUUCCUCCUAUGUACAAGUUAUUCACUUUAAGUAUAAAGGGCUUCCAUCGUUUUAAAAUACAUUUACUCGAUUAAAUAAAAUUUAUAUAUAUAAGGAACUUAUUCCUCUAAUCAAGUUGGUUUCAAAGCGAAUGAUGUUUACACAAAAGAGAGUGGAUCUUUAUACUAUUUUGGGUGUAAAGAAUCUCAUAUUAAGGUUGAGAAUUGAUAUUGAUAUCAUUUAUAAUAACUCACUUCCUCCCAUGUACAUAAUAUUUAUUCCAAGCCUAAAAAGUUUUGCGAACAUCAUUCCCUUAACCAGUAUGGCUUCAAAGCAAAUAAUAUUCAUACAAAUAAAUAAAUAAAAUAGCAUAUCCUUACACCUAGUAACGAAGAGUCUCAUUAACAUUUUGGAUCAAAAGACUAGUUCAAUCAACACUUUUUUUUUUCCACUUGUUUUUAAAAGAAUUGAUAUAGAUAGGCUCCAUAGUAAAUCCCAAUCUAAUCAGCCUUCGUCGACAUGGCAUCCACAUUGGUUGAGGGAUGUAAUUUUUUUGCAACAAGCAGAAAUUGCGGGUAACGUUUCUUUAAGUUAUGUUUGGUUCCUCAAAAGUACAAAGAAAAAUGAUUUUCUCAUGUUUGGUUAUCCUAUAAAAUAUUCCAAAGAAAAUUAAAUAUAAUUAAAAUUAGUUAGAAACUUAUGCAUUUUAAAAGUAUUUAAUCUUUAUAUUAAUGAAUUAAAAUAAAUAAAAUGAGUUUGAAGUAACAAAUAAAAAUAAUUUAUCAUCUUUAACUCUAUUUUUUAUUUUCCUUUACUUUUUACUUUUCCUCUCUAUUUUUUUUCCUUUGUAUUUUCACUCAAAUUUUUCAAGAACCAAACACAACCUUACCUUUUCAUUUUUUUAAAUUACAAAUUGAAAUAAAAACUUAGAAAAACUAAAAUAAAUACUAUUAUUUAUAUAUAUAUAUAUAUAUAUAUAUAUUAAAUUGAAUAAAGAUUUAAAAAAUAUACUUCUUUCAAUCUUGAAUUUUUUUCUUGAAAAUUAAUUAAUUAAAAAAAGUAAGAAACUAAUUUAUUUUUCUAUGCUUUUAUCCUUUUUUUACUAGGGAAAUAAUGUUCAAACUAGUGAAGAAAAAAGAUUAAACUUUAAGAUAAAAACCUACCUGACCCAUUUUUUGAAGUGGGGGGGGGUGGGGGGGCGGGAGAAUUUUCUUCUCCUUUUGCAUGACAUUUGUGGAAGAAGGGAGGGGGGACCUUCCCAUGCACGGGACAAACGGCAUAGGCAACUGGCCGAGGGCAGGGCUGCGGGGAAGCCAUGCUGGCUGACGGGAGGAAUAGGAGAGUGGGUAUAGCUGCAGAGAGAAAAAAGUGAGAGGGAGAGAGUUCUGGGGAGUUGGAGGGGAACGCACUCUGGAGGGGGCGGACGAGGAAAGAGGGAGCUAAGACCAUCUUCACCCUGAAAGUUCAGGUCUGGCCAUUUUCUUAAAUCCCAUUUUCAUUACGUUGUUCUUUCUUUUUUGUUGUUUUGCUUAGAUUGCACUUGAUUUCCCGGCAUGAACUGCCGAAGGGGGAAGGCAUGGAGGGACCACAAGAUGGUUUUAACCUCUAGGAAGUCAUGAGGGUGCUUUAACACACCCAUUCCUUCCCCUUGCUUGGUUAGCUGAUAUCUAGUUGGCUCUAUCCUCUUUCAAACCCCAUGCAUGGCUACCCCUGUAACCCCUCAAGCUCCUCUCCUUCUGUAAUGGCCGAAGGUUCACCUGGCGCCACCUGCAUGCCUUCUCCGCCGCCGUUGAAGCCAAAGGUUGCAUCUCCGCUCCUCUGCGUCCUCCUAGACAACCCCCGCGAUCGUCACCCUGCCCAUCAAGUCGCCCGCUGCCGGUCGUGGAGUCCCCCACCAUUCUCCUCAUCCAAGCCCAGCUUGGCCUCAUCGGACCUGUUCGCUGUGCUGUUGGCCCUGCGCCAGGCGUGACGCAACCCCGGAUCUCGUGCCCGUCGGCGCCCCAGUCACCUACACCGCCCACGGCUCAUCCGGCCGUGCUGAGAAUUCAGCCAUUGACGCCGCCCUCUCAUCAUGAUGAGAGACCCGCCACCCCCACCGCUCUGUCAUUCCCGCCUUCUACAUCGGCGGCGCUCGUGCCAGGGACCUGGCGAGCCCUGUAACCUCCCACUUCGACAGCCGCCCAGCUUUUCGUCCCGCCGGCAACAGGAAGCUCCGUCCGAGGGUGAUGCCCAGGCGAGGGGGGGGGGGAAUAAGUUUGUGAGGGGAAUGGGUGUUUUGGGCUUGCUCAUGACGGCAUUGGAUUUGGGCUUGGGUUGGAGCACCAGGCCCAAGUUUGUGAUGAAGAUGGUUGCCUUGGGCUUGCCCAUGGCAAGGAUAUUGGGCUUGAGCAGGAGCCCAGGCCCAAGGAUGUUGAUGGACUCCCCAUGCCAGCCACCCUCGUGGCCCAAGUCCAUGUUGAGCUAGCUCAUUUGGCUGCCUCAAUUCUAAAAAAAUCUCUAUACCUCUAAUCGAUAAAUUUACUACAUUCUAAACUUUACAUUUUAUUUUCAAAACUUAGGUCCUUAAGUAAUUUUUCAAAAAUCUCAUGUCUUAAUUUAAUUUUUCAAUAAUUCGUUUAAAUCUUAUUUUCAUCAAUUAGAAUUAUCAUCCCAUAUUUAUCUAGUUAUUUAAAGUCUAAUCCUUCAAAAAUCCCAUAUCUUAAUUUAUUUUUUCAACCCUAAAAAUUCUACAAUUCGUUUAAAUCUUAUUUUCAUCAAUUAGAAUUAUUAUCUCAUAUUCAUCUAUUUAUUUAAAGUCUAAUCCUUCCAAAAUUUCAUGUCUUAAUUUAAUUUUUUCCAUCCUAAAAAUUCUAAUCUUAUUUUCAUCAAUUAUAAUUAUUAUCUCAUAUUUAUCUAGUUAUUUAAAGUCUAAUCCUUCAAAAAUCCCAUAUCUUAAUUUAAUUUUUCAAUAAUUCUUUUAAAUCUUAUUUUCAUCAAUUAGAAUUAUUAUCUCAUAUUCAUCUAUUUAUUUAAAGUCUAAUCCUUCAAAAAUCUCAUGUCUUAAUUUAAUUUUUUUUCAUCCUAAAAAUUCUACAAUUCGUUUAAAUCUUAUUUUCAUCAAUUAUAAUUAUUAUCUCAUAUUUAUCUAGUUAUUUAAAGUCUAAUCCUUCAAAAAUCUCAUGUCUUAAUUUAAUUUUUUAAUAAUUCGUUUAAAUCUUAUUUUCAUCCAUUAGAAUUAUUAUCACAUAUUUAUCUAGUUAUUUAAAGUCUAAUCCUUCAAAAAAUCUCAUGUCUCAAUUUAAUUUUUCAAUAAUUCGUUCAAAUCUUAUUUUCAUCAAUUAGAAUUAUUAUCUCAUAUUUAUCUAGUUAUUUAAAGUCUAAUCCUUCAAAAAUCUCAUGUCUUAAUUUAAUUUUUCAAUAAUUUGUUCAAAUCUUAUUUUCAUUAAUAGAAUUAUUAUCCCAUAUUUAUCUAUUUAUUUAAAGUCUAAUCCUUCAAAAAUCUCAUGUCUUAAUUUAAUUUUUCAAUAAUUCGUUCAAAUCUUAUUUUCAUCAAUAGAAUUAUUAUCCCAUAUUUAUCUAGUUAUUUAAAGUCUAAUCCUUCAAAAAUCCCAUGUCUUAAUUUAACUUUUCAAUAAUUUGUUUAAAUCUUAUUUUCAUCAAUUAGAAUUAUUAUCACAUAUUUAUCUAGUUAUUUAAAGUUUAAUCCUUCAAAAAUCCUAUGUCUUAAUUUAAUUUUUCAAUCUUAAAAAUUUUACAAUUCGUUUAAAUCUUAUUUUCAUCAAUUAGAAUUAUUAUCUCAUAUUUAUCUAUUUAAUUAAAGUCUAAUCCUUCAAAAAUCUCAUCUCUUAAUUUAAUUUAUCAAUCCUAAAAAUUCUACAAUUCGUUUAAAUCUUAUUUUCAUCAAUUAAAAUUAUCAUCUCAUAUUUAUCUAUUUAUUUAAAGUCUAAUUCUUCAAAAAUCUCAUGUCUUAAUUUAAUUUUUCAAUCCUAAAAAUUCUAAAAUUCGUUUAAAUCUUAUUUUCAUCAAUUAGAAUUAUAAUCUCAUAUUUAUCUAUUUAUUUAAAGUUUAAUCCUUCAAAAAUCCAACGUCUUAAUUUAAUUUUCAAUUUCAAAAACUUCCACUACUCAUUUUCUAUUCUUUUAAAAUGUUAUUUCCAUUAAUUAGCAUUAUCAUUCCAUAUUUAUUUAUCUAUUCUAAUCGUUAAAGUUUAAUUCUCCAAAACCCAACUUCCAAAUCUAAUUUCCAAAUCUCAAAAGCUCCAUUGUUCAUAUACCGCUGUCUAAUUAUUAUUCUCGUUAUUAAUGUUAUCACAUCCAUUUAUUUAUUCAGUUAUCCAUAUACCUAAGAUCUUCUCUAAAUAAAUUUUCAAGCUUUCAAUCUCUAAAUUUAAAUCUCUCAUCCCUAAAAUUCCAUCUUUCGCAAUUAUUUACCUAAUCUUUAUUAUUUCACCAUCGUUAUUAUUCCAUUCAUUUACUUAUUCACUCAUUCACUUAUCCACUCAUUUAAAAUCCCAAACUCUCCAAUCAUUUUCAAAAUUCCAAUUUCGUUCAAAUUUAAUUUCUAAAAUUCUCGUUCUCACAUUUAAUCUCUGAAAGUCUGAUCUUCAAAUAAACUCUAAAACUCCAAUUUUCCAGUAAUCUUCGAGAUUCCAAUUUUUCAAAUAAAUUUCAAAAAUCUAAUUUUCUCUCAAAUAGUUUUAAUUCUACUCUGGUUUUCAAACGAUCUUAUGCUCCUCUUGAUUUCAAUAAACACAAAUAAAUUUUUCAUAAUUCCAGAAUAAUGGAGUCUGUAACAUUAAGUCAUGCAAAAUAAACGGGCUUUAGUGGGGGCUCAACAUGGGCAACUUUAUGAUUGAUUGAUUGAUUAUUUGAUUUGAUUAUCAUACAUGAUUGAUUUAUCCUACUCUCUAACAUGCAUGAGAUUAUUCCUAAAUUGUGCACUAACCCUCUCUAUUGAUAGCGCAUGGUGGCUCGUUGCCCAGGUAUGUACCUACUUUCCCUCUAAUCGUUGUCUAUACAUGUUCCGAUUCUUAUAUGUGCAUGAUCAUUCAAGAUAUUCAUUGAUUUACUCAUUAAUUGCCACAUCAGACUGUACAUUCCCGAUAAGUAACCUGACCCCCGAGCCCGAUCCGAUUUUUCGUAGAUCACCUUUUCCAAAAUAAGGAGUCACACUUAGGGUUUUCUUUCUUAUUUUGUUUACCCUUUUAAAAUAAAACAAAAAUAAGUGGUGACUUCAAAUCAUUUUUCUUAAUUAAUAAAUUUUUUUUUUUUUUAAAGAUAAAAAUCGAGCUCGCCAUCGAGUGGGAAACGCAUGAGCCGAAAUGCAGGGUCCACACUACCAUUUUUGUAAUCUUAAAAAAAAAAAUUACAUUGAAUGUCAAGUUAGAAACAUAGAUAAGAUUGAGAAAAAGGCAUAAGUUAAAAAAGGAAAAAAAAUCACAAAAUAAAAACCUAAUUUUAUAAAAACAAACUUAAAUUAUUUUUAAAAAUUUCUUAUUUUGUGAUUAUUUUUAUGUGAAUUUGUGGUAACACUUUUUCUUUGGUCCAAAACUGCGGGAAAAAGGUAGCAUCUACCGUGGGUCUGUAAAUUUUGCAUAAAUGAAAUGCUUCCCGAGCCUCCACAAAACACUAAACCUCCAAUGUAAAUCAUAGAAUGAAAUGUGGCCCCAAGGAAAAUUUAACUUGCAUUCCGGGGUCUGCAAAAGUAGCAACACAAUAAAGAGGUAGUUCUUUAUGAAAUAUGGUUGUUAUGUACAAAGAUGGAACACCACAUACAGCGCAUGGGCUAUCUUUCUUAAGUCCCCAACUUCUACUUCAAAUUUCAUGAAGCCUUCCCGCAUUAGGAGCACUAAAAAAUAAAAGUAAAGAUCAAAAUAGAAAAUGAAAACCUUGAAACAACCCACCAGCUUCUUCUCAUUUGAUGUGGGCAUUAGCAGGCCCAGCAAUUCAAUCAUAUCACCCAAACAGUAUUUGAGUAUUCAUUGCAUUGGCCCACUCCACUCUACAAUCACCAUACCUUCUGCUGUUCCACAAAAAAAUUGAAAGACUUAGUAAUGCCCAAAUUCAGGUGAUAGCAGACAUGUAAGCUUUUGAAAGGGAAUUUGAUUAAGGUUGGUUCUCUCAUUUCUCAGCUCUUAGUAAUAGUACGUUUGCCUAAUCACCCAUCUGAAAUUGAACUGAACCAUAUCGAUCGCUGUAGAUUGAUAUCAUUUUAGUGAAGUCCGGGUUCAUACCUUUAAUGUCAUGUGUCAUUCACAAGCAAUUUUGGUGUCAAAGCUGCUGAGGCAGAUUGCAAAUGCCUGGAAAGCAGAGAUUGGAUACCGGUAAUCCAUGGUAAAUAGAUCCUUCCCCACUUUUCCGAACUGGAGGAUGAUCUUCUCAUGUUGCUGGCCUGCAGGUCCAUCCUCUGGAGAAGCCACCAGCUGAAAGUUUUUCACUGAAGCAACUGUCACCCGUCCAUGGAAGUUCAAACACCAGCACUGGAGCUGCUCGUGCCACCUGGGAGCCUUGUUCUUCAACACCAGCGCUCCAUCCUUUUUAUCGGCUAAUGGUUCUGAUAAAGAAUUUUCCACACUGUGUGAUUUCGAGCGGAAAAAUGAGAAGGAUGGAAAGACAUCUGGGUUGCUGAGUCGAAUCUCUGUCUGUGUGGGGGUCACUCCCCCUGGUUCAAUAGCUGAGGCAGGGAUGGAAUCCAUGCUACACUGCAUUCUCCUUGGACCCCUGGUCGUUAUCCAAAGAAAAAAAAUUAUUAUUAGCUAGUUGGUUUUUGAAAGUUCUGGCACAGCUGCUGACACCACACCCACAUGGGAUGUCAGGUGGGAUAGCUACUGUAAAUAAGUGAAGCUAUUAAUGGAAUUUUUUAACAAGUGAUAUCUCUUGGAAAAUCAUCUAUAGGAAUAGGAAAGUUUCACAAAUCCCUUUGGAAAAAGGAUCUCCACAUAUAUGUAUUUAUUAACUUAUUUCAGACAUCAAACUCCAAAUUACUUGGCAUAAAUACUCACCUAGAACCCAGCACAUUCACUUCAUAUGAGAUGUGAGCUACUGGAUAGCUUCCAGCAGGGACUCUGGGUGAGACUUGUUUCAAACCCACCAGCCUAGUGGAGCGAUUUCGCAUAAUCUUGGCUCCAGAAUGAGGUGGCUGCCCAUCAUAGACUGUGAACUUGGUUCCUAGAAAAUUUGAUCUGGUCAAAGGAGAGAAAAAAAAGGGUGAACUUGGAGUCCAUGAUAGAACAAAAACUGGUCAUAUUUUAAGAAGUUAGAACACACCUCAAUUUUCCAAUAUAGGUGCUGCUCCCCUUUGACAUGUCAUCAGCAUACAGAGAAAUGAUAUAAUCUGUGCAGGUGGUACGUCUGUACUUACGCGCAGCCAAGAGGAACUUUCCAUCUUCAGUUAGUGCUGUUUCAGAGACCGGACAAAAGCAAAAGUGUCAAUAUUCAAAGCUCAGUUAAAGAGAACUUUAAAAAGGAAAGAAGGGCAUCUCUCCCCCAAAUGCUUUCCAAAAAUUUUGGAAAGCAGGAACUCUAGCAUUUAAUCAAAGCAAUUAGGCAUCCAAACUCGCCAAACACGGUCAGAUCAAUGCAAAUGUGAACAAUGAAAUUUUGGUGAACGCAUCCGAUAGGAAAAACAAAAACCCAUACUUAUACUGAGAAUGCCACUGCUCACCAUUAGUUAAACUGAGGUAAAGAUAAUACGUCUGAGCAGACCGAUUCCGUUUUAUAAAACACUUGAGUAGAGAUUCUCUUGGACCAGGCUGCAAAAUUAACCACAACUGUUACAUAGCGUACAGACAAUUCUGAAGGUUUAAGAAUUGCACACCCCAUAACUAAAUUCCUGAACCCAAAACCAGAAUUGGAAAACAAAAAUCCAAACAAAACAAUUGAAAGUGCUCUGAUCAAUCCACAACUUCUGCAUAACCCACCCUUAACUUGUAAACAUUACCAUAAAUCCUAUACAUAUCACAUCAUAUCUCAAGAACAGCUAAGCUUUCCGAACAGAGAGAGGGAGAGAGAGAGAGGGGAAGGAAGAGGGAGAGAAGGUAAAAAAAAAAAUCUUAUGAAACUAAGCCUUAAAGGCUCAUAGAAACAUUUAUCAAAGAAAUCAAACAACACUCCAGAAAAAUUAGCAAGCUGUUGAAGCCAAAGCUGUCCCCUGCACUCUACUACUAAUUUUAGCUUAAAAUUUCGAGCUAAUUUUCCGAAUUCCACAAUUGCUUGUGCCUUGAAACAAUCAAGGAUAUGCUAAAUCCGUUUGGUACAGAAACAAACUAAGAGAUUUCUGAUUUUUUCUGGGAUUUUUCCCUAAAACAUUCUCAAUAUUGAAAGAAAAAUGAAUCGGAGUUCAGCUCAAAAAAUUCACCCAUAAUUCACAAUUCCCGUAUCCAAAAAAGACAAGCCAAAACUCAUAUUCAAGUUCACAACUCGUUCUUCGAACAACCAGAAGGCAUAGAAAAAUUGAAGCAACAAUGAAUGAACAUCCAGAAACGAAUCAUAAAACACAAAAACCUGCUUGACCGAAAUCGGAAAGGUCAACGAGGCGGAGACUUCCGGCGUCUUGACGAGUUCCUGAGUGAUACGGCGCCAGCUCUUGCAGACUCCGGCGCAGGCGACCACAUUUUUCCGGGAAGGCCAGGUGGUGUCAGACGCCUCAAUUCUGAUAAGCACCUCUCUGAGCAGCUCCUCAGGCAUCUGAGACCAACAGCUCUGCUCCAACCCAUCAACCCACUCGUCUUGAACCACACGAUUCCACCUACCCCUCAUUUUCCUUCCCAAUUCUCAGACCCCAGAACCCAGCUUUAAUCCCAGAAACAAGAAAACCAUUCUUUUCUUCAAAGAUUGAGCUUAUGACACCAAAAUGUCUGUCGCAUGCUCGUAAGCACGAGAAAUUUUUUGGAGAAAGGUCUAAAGGGUUCCGGUAACCAUUAACAUCAGAUGAACAGCAAUUGCAAAUGAUAUGAGGAGAGAAAUUUCUGGGAUUGAGAAGAUAUUUGAGAGAGAGAUGUGGUGAGACUGUUAUCUUUUGAAUGCACUCGUUGAGGGAGGGUGGACCCGUUGGUUAGGUUUAAGGGUGGACCUGGUGGGUUAGGUUUAGUGCUCAACCAAAUUUAAUCUAUAUUUAAGUAUUUUCUUUUCUUUCCUUAUAUAUUUCACAAUUUUUAUCUCUUUUAAAAAAUAAAUAAAUCCAUUAAAAUUUUCAUUUUAGUGAUAUUGAGGGCAUGUUUGGUUGUUGUUUUUGAAAACUGUUUUUUGUGUUUAAAAAACAAAAUUGUGUUUGAAAACUAAAUUUUGAAAAACAAUUUUUGUUCUCAAAAAUAAAAAUAAAAAUGUAUAGUUGAGUUGAUAAAAAAGUUUUUUAUAAUAAGUAAAAUAAAAAAUAUGUUUAAAAAUUAUUUUUUUAAUUAAUAAAGUAUUUUUUUCCAUUAACUUGAUAUUAUAAAUAUAUAAAUAAAUUUCAUAUGCAUAAUCCAUUUAAAUUUAAAAAAAUUAUUCAAUUUUGAAAUUUUUACACCAAUUAUAAUUUUCUUAAACAAAUGAUGACUUUGUCACCGUGUGUAAGUAUAUUGAUUUCAAUCAUUUAAGGAAGAAGAAAUGAUUUGUGGAUGGGAAUGGUGAUUGGGUGGAGCUCAUCUUUGUGAAAACACAAAAAAAGAAAGCUAAGAAAACACAAAAAUAAGGAAAAUAAAAUACAAAAAACAAUCUAUUAUUUGAACCGUGACAAAAUAAUGAAAAUAUUUUUUUAUUUUUCUCAAAAGAAAAGGUUUUUGAAAAUAAAAAAUACAAAAAACAAAAAUACACCCUCUUCUCCAAAUAAGUUUUUGUGUUUUUUAUUUUCAAAAAUAAAAAACAAUUAUUGAAAAUAGGAACCAAACAAACCUAAGCAUUUGGGGUCGUUUUAUUACGCUUGGAAAAACACAUCAAGUAUUACAUCCAACAUCAAAAGACUCUAAAAUUUAUUUUCUUAAUUUUAAAAUUAUAUUAAUAAUAUAUGCGUCAAAUUUAUGAUUAAAUUUUUUUAAAAAAUGGAAAAUAAAAAUAAAUAGCGGAAUAGUGAUAAGACUUGUCUAACCCCAUUAAGUGAAUGAGCUGGAAAGCUACAGCACAAUAGAGGGGGCCACCUGAACCCGAGGCUUCGCAGCCCAUAUAAUUAUUAUUAGUAUUUUAUUUGUGGAUGUCCACUUCUCCACGCGGAUUGUCUGUGAAUUUUACAAAGCCAUUGAACGGGAAAUGCCAAAAAUUUAAGAAAGGAGAAGAGGGUAGUCACUGUUUGGCAUUAAGCAUAGGAUGAUGGAAGUUCUCUACUUUCUAGACACACCUCCUCUGGAAUUAACGCACGCCUUCCUAUUCUCUUGUCAAAUCUCCAUCCAUCGCUUAGCUGCGCCUUGUUCACUAUUUUAUUCUCCGUUUGGGACAAAAAAAAGGGUUUCCUUCUGUAAUUGCUAUGGGUGGUGGAAAGCUCAUAAAAUGAAUGAAGGAUAGCUUCAAUAAGAAAGAACUUAAAAAUGGGAGAUGUCGGGUUUUGUGGAGCCUAAUUUUGUUUGAUUCGAUUUGACUAUCCAACCCAAAUAAUAUUGCAUGAUUUUUUUUAAUGGAAGAUUUACUAAGACUUAGUCCAUGAAGCAAAGGUUUGGACUCGUUUAGCCCAUUAUGAAAUCGCCUUUUAUAAUUAAGGUUUUUUAAUAUGAUAUUAUUGUCAUGUUUUAUAUAAAGAGAAAAAUAUUAUAGUAAAAAAAAUUAUACUUUGUAUUCUUUCUGAUAAUAGUAAUAUCCUUAUAACUCUAUGUACAUAGAUAAAUUAUCGAAACACAUAAAUAUUAUCUCGUAUAUAUGAUUAUUUUUUUUGACAUGUGUGUGUGUUUUUUUUUUUUUUUUAUCACUUAGGAAUUCGGCUUUAUUCUUCAGGAGAGAAGAAGGGAGAGGGCGGAAGGGGGUGUGUCUAUGACUAAUUAGUAUUGUCAGACUAUCUUGUUUGUGUCAAAUCAAAGUCCCCACAGGACUUGUUGGCAUCAUCAGGACUUUACGGGUUACGGGUAGUGAGCACGUAGACCACUAAAGCCCCAUUAGACGAUUCUUUGGAAAACCUCCGUCCUGGGCUAUAAAAUAGUAUUACAUGCCAAAAGGGAUUAUUCUUGCUUAUCCCGUAGGCUUGCAGUGGGUGUGAAAAGGGACAAACGGGGGGAACAGCUAUUUUAUAAGUUCGAUAAUAUUUGGAAGCUGUUCUACCAUAACAAUAUUUUAUAUGGAGAGAGAGAACUGGCUUUCCCCCAAGUACCUACCAUACGCGGUUUUGGUCAUGACUCAUGAUUGUACUUCAUUUUUCUCUAAGGCUGAAUGCUGUUUGUUAUAAAGGUAUAAGAAACACAUGUUAAAAGAUGAGAUCAUCAAGUGGCAAUUUAACGAACAGUUAAAAUGCAGACUUAAAAUGAAAAGCGACCAAUAAAUCUUUACACUUUUUUCCUGGUUAUGAGUCGCGUCAAAAGCCUAUGAAUAGGUUUGGCUACCGAAUACGAUGACGGAUGAACCUUUCAAUCGUAAAAGCAAAAGAAAAGUGAAACAUUGUACGAGAAAAAAAUAUAUAAUUAAAUAUUUAAAAUUUUUAAAUAAAAAAUAUUAAAUUAUGUUGCUAAAUAUGUAAAAAUAUCAUGUAUGAAGUAAAUAAUGUUAUUCAUGAAAUAUAAAUAAAUAUAAAAGAAUAUACUUAAAACAUUGAAAAUACAAUAUAUAAAACAAAGAAACACUAAGGAUAUGUUUGGUUGAUAUUUUCAAGAAUUAAAAAAAAAAAAUGCUAAAAACUUGUUUGGUUGAAAAUUUUAAUUUUGUUUUUCUUAUUCUCCGUGUUCUCAAAAUUAUAUUUUUUAGAGAACAAAAAAAUGGUGUUUUGCCCAUUUUUUUAUUAUAUGCAUAACAAAUAGGCCAUAGAGAGAUCAUCAGUUCUUUGUGUGUUUUUUUUUUUUUUUUUUUUUUCCAGAUAUGUGCUUUAUUUUUAUCAUGUGUUGUUAGUUUUUUUUUUUUUUUUUUCGUUUAUAUUUUCCUGUUUGGAUGCUAAGAAAAGUGGGGAACGAUAAUGAAAACAAAAAAAAAAUUCCUGAUUUUUCCCAUUUCUCCAUUUUGAUUUUUCUUGAGUUGUUUUAUUCAAAACAAAAAAAAAACAAAAAACUUGCUUAAGGACAAAGAAAAGGAGUUGCUUUGAGAGGGUUUUGCAGGUGACUUUUUCUCAGUUUCGAAGAAAAUGAGAGAUAGCUGAAGGUGAGGGUAGUCAUUUGUAAAUAAGGUAAUAAUAUUGGGUAAACACUUUUCUUAAUAGUGGAAUGGGCAUAGAUAUUUUGAAGGGACAUGGUUGAUAAAAAAAAAAUUCAUGUGAUAAAAUCUAGGGAGAAUUACUAAAAAGGGUAGGCCGGAAAAAAUAAUUACUAUGAAGGCUCACUCUUUUAGAGGACAAUCUUACCCUUGAAUAUAUUUUCUAUAUUAUUUAUAAAUAAAUUGAGAUUGUCAAUGAUGUGGAGCCCAUAUAUGAUGAUAAGUACAAAUUGAUAGGUAAUCAACAGUACAUUUCUCGGCUUGAAAAAAUUACCUGUUCACUUUUAAACAAUCAAAUGACUAUUUAAAAAUUUGCAUUUUUUUUCAAAAAAAUUGAGAUUUUUUAAAGAACCUUGUAAAAAAAAAUAAUUUUCAAUUUCUCAUAAAUAAAAACCAUAUCCUAAAGUUAUUAUAUCGUUUUAUAUAUAAAACAUACAAUUAAAAACUUUGUUAUCAUAAUAUAAUGAAUAAUUAUUUUUUACGAGCACUCAUCAAUUGAAUAAUAUAUAAAUAUUCAAUUGACUAACACACACCUAUUAAAUGGAAUAACUCACAAUUAUUCAUGGGGUAAUAUAGCACGUGAAAAAAAUUAAAUAAAAAUAAAUAAAAUUAUGUUGUAAUAUAUUGUAAUGAUAAUGUAUUUAUAUUGUAAGUAUAAUACAUUUAUGUCGUACCUAUAUUUCAUUACAAAAGUAAUAAUUCUAAAAAUGUUUAUUCAUAUUCUAUUAGUAUUAAUACAUCGUAUCAAUCUCUUAACAACAUUUAUUUAGUGUUUUGAAAUUAUUUAAUAAUUUUUGUAUAUAUAUAUAUAUAUAUGAAAAACUACGAGUCUCGUGAACUCAAAUUAGUAUUUCAUUUGGUUUCAGAAAUUAUUUAUGAUAUAGGUAUGUUGUGAAAUAUAGUACGAUCUUUAUAAAAAAUUCAUAGAUUUCCUAAUUAGGUUUUAUUGUAAUGUAAGUGUAUUUAUAUUGUAAUUAUAACAUAUUUUUGUUGUACCUGUAUUUUAUAAUAAAAGUAAUAAUCUUGAGAAUCACCUUUUAUACCUUAUUAAUAUUCAACAUAUCAAAUAUAUUAACAUCAUAUUGUUGCAAAGGAAAAAAUAUCAUAUAAAUUUUUUUAAAAUUAUUUUAUUAUAAAAAUAGAAAAUGAUUAAACAUUCUCUAUCAUUUUCUUAUUCUUUUUAGAGAAUCUGAAUGAAAAAUUAAACAUUUUAUCUUCCUUGAAUUUAAUACAAAAACAUAAUUUAUUAAUUUAAAAUUAUAAUAUAUAUAUAUAUAUGAAAAAAUCAUCAUUUUUAUUAUAUAAUUAUAAAACUUAUUUUUUUCUUAAUAAAAUUAAAAAUUAGAAUAAAAAUUAAAAAUGUAAAAAAACAAUAAAUGAUAUUUUGAAAAUAUUUUUUAAAAGUAUUUUUGUUUUAAAUAACAAAUUACAUAUAAUUGUAAGGGUUAAACCCAAAAUUUUGAUUUAAAAUUCGAAUGUCAAUCAUUACAAUAAAUGUGGGCUUCAUGAAUCAUAUAUAUUGACAAAUUAAGUUAAGUGCUUUAAAUGCUUUGAAUUUUAAAAGUUUUAGUUAAAUGGCAGUUUUGGUAUAUUCAACCUUUCUUGCAUUUAUUUUUAUGUCCUAUUUAUUUUAUUUACAAGCUUGUUAGGUAAAAAUUAAAUUAAUUCUUUUUAAAAAAAUUUAUCUCAUCUUAAUAAAAUAUACUUUAAUUUUUAAUAAAAUUAAAGAUUAAAUCAAGAAAAAAAUAUUAAUAAAAAUGAUUUUAUAAUGUUUGAUUUAUUUUAAAAAAUAUAAAAAUAUUCUUAUUUUAAAAUUAAUAAAAUAAAUAAUUUUUUAAUUUAAAUGUUCUAUGUAUCUAAAAAUUAUUUAUAAAUUUAUAAUAUAAAACAUUUUAUUAAUUGAAAAAUAUAUAUAUAUAUUUUAAACAUGUUUUAUAUUUUACUACUUAUAAAAACUUUUAUAUUAACUCAAUCAAACAUAUAUAUUUUUUUUUUUUGAGAACAAAAACUAUUUUUCAAAAUUCAAUUUUCAAACAUAAAUUUUUUUUCUAAAAACACAAAAAACUAUUUUUAAAAACUAUUCUCAAAAAAGCAAAGAGUCCUAACCAAUUUAUGUUAUCUCAUUUUUAUCACAUGUUGGGAAAUCAGAUCUGCAAACAAUAGUAAUAUUUGAAGUUUAGAGACAGAAAUGUAAAGGUUGAUUUUAUGCGGAUGACCUCGAUUUUUACGAAAUGACAGGCGGCGGCCGUCCUUGCUAUCUUGUGAUACGACUGUGAAUAGCCUUCAAAACAGUCAAUCCCUGUAACAAACAAAUAAGUGGGCGUGGGGGGAUAAAUCAAAAUAUUUGAUGAACAUGGACAAUAUAUAUAUAUAAUAUAUCCAGUUAUGACAAUUUGCCAGCAAAUAGCAUCCUACCACAUAUCAUCAGGAAUAGCUGUUUUCCUUUUGGUUCCUGAACUAAAAAGCCGCAAUAGAACAUAAUAGAAGUGAGACAAAAAUUGUCUAAGCACAAAGACUAAGAGGUUGUCCAUUUCUGUCCUUGUCAACCCUCUGUUUUCAGCCAUGUGCAUAAUUGCUGGGGACAUCUUUCCAAGUGCUGUCCACAGCUCUCAAUUGAUUUCUCAUUGAAUUAUAGCACUAUCUCAACCCCACCAAACCUCCAGUACCUACAACCAAAAAAAGACGUUUCCCUAGCUCUUGCCUCUCACCCCUUCGCAAGUGCUGGCUUUCAUCAAUUGGAUAGAUACUAUAGAGUAACGAAACAUCAAAAUCUUCACCAAAAAGUAAAGUCCCUUUCCUGCACCUUGGGUAUAGUCUUUCUUUACAAGAAGAUGAACCUGUAGAAUGUAAGCUAUGGAAAUUAUUUUCACAAAGCAAAUAAAAAUUUAUGUCUAAUUGUGCAUUAACUUGUGAAAAUUCAUAAUCCAAGAAAUAUAUCUACUCUGGCCUACUAACAACUUAUCUACACUUUUGAGUUUCUAUGCUUUUUGUUAACAGCACAACCUGCCCCAAUGAAAGGCAUCACCAGACCCCUUAAAGAACAAUAGCAAAGGCUAAAUUAGAGGCCCAUUUGGAGGUAAUUUUUAGAGCUGGAAACACUUCUUCAUACUUGGAAUUGCUUUCUUACAAAAGUUAAAUGUUUGGCACAUUUUUAAAAAUCUAGAGAAUCACUUAAACGAUUUCAAGAUCAUCAAUUAGGGUGUGUUUGGUAAUGUUUUUAUUUGAAUUGUUUUUAGAGUAAGUGUUUUUGAAAGAACUAUGUAUCAAGUGUUUCUUCAGGAAGCACUACAAGUGAUUUUUCAACUUUUUAAAAAUAAUUUCUAAAUUUUAUCAAAUGAUUGAUUUUUCUUCAAAAAUGCUUUUAUGCUAAAAGUGUUUCCUAAAAACACUACCAAAUGGAUACUUAACAGGUGAUUCUUAAAAAAAAAAAUCUAAUUUUUGUUAUAUAAUAUAUUACUAAUAACACUAUCAAAAAACCUUUAUAGUUUAUAUCUACAUGCUAAGAGAUUGUCUCUAAAUGCAUUUAUAAUAGAAGCACUAUUAACAAAAGUACUACAAACUAAAAGCACUUUAAUCAUAAUCACUCACAUCUUUAAUCUAGGACUAAUAAAAAACAUGUAGCUUUCAAAGAGAUAAAUUUAUGCUUUGUUUGGAUAUUAGAAAGUCUUUUUUUUUUUUUUUUUUUUUUUCUGAUAAGUAAACACUUGGAUAUUAGAAAGUUUGAGAGAAAAAAUAAAAGGAAAAAAGUAGAAGGAAAUAAAAAAUAAAAGGAAAAUACUAAAAAAAAAUUAAACUUAAUAAAUUUUCCUCAUAUGGCUUUCAAAAUUUAUUUCUUUUCUUCUCCUAUAUAAAGAACAAAGAAUUUGAAAAUGUUAAAUUUAUAAUUAAUUUUACUAUAUUUGAUUUUCCUUUGCAUUUUCAUGGUAAACCAAGCGAGAGCUUUUGUAUUUCUUGUUACUUUUUCCCCUUUUCCCAGCACUUUCUGUGAUCCAAAUAGAGCCUUGACAAUUCAAAGACAAAAAUACAUCUGUCUAAUAGCAAUCUAAAUCUGCAGGCAUAGCAAUUUUACUUAUAUUUGGUUAUUUCAAUUGAAUUUGAACUAAGAGACUUCAACUUCAAUGCAAGAAAACCAAAAACUAACAUUUUUGGAAUUUUUAUUUGUUAGAGGUGUGAACCACUUGUAUUAACGUAAAAAGAGGCAACUCACCUUUACAUGAUAAAAAGUCACACCAGAACUCCUGUUAUGUAACAGAAACACUUCCAUUAGGCUGCUGGAUGGUCCCCAACGGAGUCCCUACAAAACCACAGAAUCACUGCCUAUAAUCAGAAAUUUUUACCUCAUCUUGAUAGUAGUUCGGACUAAAAUUUAUAUGCAAAAUAAAAUGGGGAAAAAAAAGAGAGAAAUAAGUGGAUUUAUGAUGGUAUAUGAGAUCAAUUUGAUGGUAAUGACAGAUGAAGUAAUGACACUAUGAUGUGUUGAAACAUUGAGAAGAAAGUGGCAUAUUGAUAUAGCCUCUUCUCUGUAACAGCAACAAAUACCCCUUUGACCCAACUCACCAAGUCAUGCACAUACAGGCAGCUCCUAGGAGGAUUGUACAGCAUGGAGAUUGUAGAUCUUCCGAUAAAAAUUAUCAACUUUCUUGCAGUAAACAUAUGUUAUCAAAAUUUAAUGGAAACAUAUCCAGGUCCAAAAAACCCAUAUUACUAAUCAAAGAAUAUCCAAUGGUGGCAACAGUGAAUGCUAAGGGCCACACUGUUCUGAUUGAAAAAGAAAGGAAAGUAUAACAUCAGGCAUCAAGGAAACACAUGCGAUACAAACUCUGUUUCCCAGAUUGCAGAGUGUUCUGAAGAUCGCAUCAAAGAAGGGAUCCCAUAUUGUUAAAGAUACACAUGGAGAAGCCACUGGUGGAAGGGAAGCAUGUUGUUCUCUUAACUAUUGUUUUGGAAGAGCAGUAGGUAUGUUAGCCCAGCACUCACAGAAGAGGAAGGUUGACCUUGCAAAAGCAAAUCUUGACGUCAAGAUAUCCAACAGUCAACAGCUGCAUCAACUGCUAAUUUAAGCAAGGUGUUGGUAAGUGGGAACCCUACAUUAAUGAUCAAGUUAAGAAAAUUUCAUGGAUUUGGAAGGACACGUUUGGAAGGUAAUGAACACCCAGAUGCAUUUCUAGCUCAAGAAUGGCUUCAUGAACUGCAUUAAACUUACUUGGUCCACUAAUACCCCUAUUCAAGCAGGGGCUCAAAACCUCAGUCCAUGGUGUCAUGCUUUUUGGGUUGGGUUUAGUUUUAUCUUAAUUUUCAUUUUUACUUUUGGGUUUAGCUUAAUUGGUAGAAGGAAACUCUAUUUAGUUAAGAGGGUGGUUUAUGAAGAAGAGGAAGAGACAAUGGAGAAUGACUUGGUCAGGCUUAGCCUGGAGUAUUUGGAGAGAAAUUAGUGAAUUUUUAAAGGAGUUGAUCAUUCAGGAUUAAAUAAAGGAAUUGCUUUCAAAUUAUUGUUUUCUUCCACUUCUUUGAUUUAUUUGGGUUCUAUACUCUAUUUUAAUAUUUAUAGAUUGUUAUUACUGUCCUAGUUGUUUAAGUGAUCAUGUGAUAUUUUAAGAGUUGAACGGCUAGGAUUGUAAGGUGUGAGUAAAUUUUCAUCAAAUUAGAAAUCUACAAUUUUUUCUUUUUUCUUUUAAUAAGUAAAAAAGGAUAAUAUAUUAAAAGCGCUUGUAAAAUGGCCCAACAAAGUACACAUGGAGUAUAGACAAAACAAGCAAGAAGAAGAGAAGGAAAAGAGAGAGCAAACACCAACUGCCCUAACUAUCCGACCAACCCCAAGAAAGCUGAUGCCCCCCUUAAUCCAAACAUAAACGAAACCUCUCGACCAUCCUCACAAAACAGGUUCUGUGUCCCCAAAGCUCCUUCCCCUGACAAUGGCUGGAGACUUCUUGUAAUUAACCAAACACUCUAGUUUAUGGAUUUUCUGCUCAAAAUGGGAAGUCAAGGGAGCACUCCUCUUUCUACCUGAAACCUUGACCCCACAACCUUUUCUUUAACUCCAAUUUCUUCAGCAGGGGACUGAUCUCCUUUUCAAACCAUUCCAUAGGUAACCCUAAGAAGCUACUGAAAUUGACAAAAUUAGUGGGGAGGCUAUCCACACCAAACCAAUCCCCCGCCUUUCUACCCCCCCACCCCCUCUUUAUUAUAUACAAGCAAUCGCUAAGGGCUUAGGGGGCUCCACCUCCUUAGCCACAGCCUCCUCCUCCUUACCUGAAGGGUCCUUCUCAGCAUUUUUGGAAUACUCUUAACAAACUGUCAUUUUGCAACAACAUACUUAGCGGCUGGCUUGCCAGGUCCACAAACCCCAAAGAAGAGAGCGGGGAAAGCCUUGGAAACCUAUUCGCCUUCACCACAAGAGCUGUGUAGGUGAACACCACACAGGAACUCGUCGAGAUUGAUGUUGGCAAAGCCUCAAGCCUCACACGCCCAUCUUCAACGCAACUGUACCACGUCGUCUCCUUGAUCUCUGCAAAGAGAGCCCUGCCUUCAAGAAGCCUUUUUUUUUUCUUUUUAUAAGUCCCUCCCUUCAAGAAGCCUUAGCGAGCCCUUCUCUCCCUCAGUCAAAACCACUAAGCAACAACCCUCUCUUUUUUCUCUUAAACCCACCAACCCCACUCUCUGAUGUACAGGAACUUCCUUGGGCUUGACCCACUCUUAAAUCCUCCCCCACUUCAUUAACAGAAACUAAAUGGGCCUUUGAAGUAGUCAGUCCACAAAGGCUAUGGGCCUGAGGAGUAGCGCGGCCAUUGGGACUUUGGGCUCUCUUUGACCACUUACGGACAACCUUUAGGCCCCUAACUCAGCCCCACUAAAGACACCCUUAGCACAGUUUACAAUAACGGGAAGAGUAAAUGUUAUGAGGGUAACGGUUAAAGGAGGAACCUAAAAUUCUUGGAAGUGGAAAAAGAGAUGGUUUGAAAUAAAGAUGAGGUGCUCAGAUAGACUAAGAUAAAGAAAGCUUGGGGGCCACUCCUUUGCGUCUGUUUUGGACGUUAUGGAUGGAAAGAAAUAGAAGGUCAUUUGAAGAUGUUGAACAGCCAAAUCAAGCAAUCAAACCUUUCUUUAUAUGUAGCUUUUUGGAAUGGCUAAAGUGUAAUGACUGUCCCUUGACCAUGAUAAGCUUUGUAAAAUGGUUAAGCUAAGUGGGGAGAGGGAGGUUGUUUUUUGGUUUUCUUUCUUCUUUUUUGAUUACCUGAUGGCGCUUCUUCUACAUAUCUCGUGUACUUUUGGUACAUUGAUUUUCAGGCACUACUAAUAUAUUUUCUCCUUUUGCAUAUCAAAAAAAAAAAGGAGGAUGGACUGAAAUUAUGUGCACACACACUAUGCUUAACCAAAUCCCCUUAUAAAAUAAAUAGAACAGAAUAAUUUGUGGCAACAAUGGAGAUUUCUAAAAUUCCAUAAACCCAAUUGCAAACACCUUGCACUCAUCUUACCAGUUUAUUAUAUUAACUUAAGCUUAGUUGCCAAAGGCAGAGUUUCAGUACAUGAAGCAACAGCUAAAAUCAAAUAGAAAUUACCUGAGUUGCUGGCAAAGGAAUAAGGUUUUGAAAGAUAUUUGCUUUUUAUCGUUCCAACUGGAGCUGCAUGAGGCCUUAAAACAUUAUUAACAUGGACCUGAUUUGAAAAAUUCAUGGCUGGUGGGCAUCCCUCAGAUUUACCCAAGAAGACUUCUGAACUUUGCACAAGAACUUUAUCAGGAUUUUGCAUAGAAGGUAAGAAGUGUGUAUCUCUCUAUUUCCAAGAAAAAAUAGCUUUGAGUCAGUGAUUGCAUAUUAGUAUUCAUGUAAAGGGAGCAGAAUGAAGGGUUUAAUUUUAAUCUGAAACAAAAAUGCCAAUAGACAGCAUGCCUGCAUGUAAUUCAUGAUAUAAGGAGACCAAAUUAUAGAAAAAAGAAGUGAAAAUAGUUAAGUUGCACGGACUCCUAAUUGAAAUAUCAGCAAAGGGCAAAUGUCAUAUUCACAUUUAGUGUGAUACUCCUAAAUUUCUUAGUACAAUAACUAAUUUCUAACACAGAGCACCUCUCUAGCAGAAAAUUAUUUCAUUAUUAAUAUGAUGUUAUUACAAAAUUUAAAGAUAACAAGCGUUUGCAUUGGAGACACUGUAUUGAUAACGAGUAUGUAGUGGGUUAAUGCUAGGUCAUCCAGGGCAUGUUUGCCCUUUUUCACUUUCACUUUCAUUUGAGGUGUGACAGAGGGUGUUGCAAAUGCAAGAACAAAUUCAUCCUUAACAAUCCUUUUACUAUUGACAGCUGAAAGCAGAAGUAAUUGGUCUAAGCUUAUGAAAGCUAGCAUAGAUGAAAGUAAAAGAAUCAAGUAUGCAUAUACAUUUUUAUUGCAGGUCAUUACUACUUGAAGGCAAGAUUAACUUCUUGAGAGUAAUCAGAUGUUCAUUUACUAGACAUUCAAGAUUAAAUAUCAAAUGAACUUCUGGAGAUGCGAAUACAACAGUCAGAUGUAUCAGAAAGUGACAAUUGCAGUUGUAUAUUAAGAUUUCAAAUGCAACCUCUUUCACUCAUUCAUUUAGAUGUUUAGAACAGGCCACAUGACAAACACAGGGAUAUUAGAUCAUUCUGAGAAAGAAGAGUGACAAACCUUCUUCUCAGGUUGGUUAUCCAUUUGUUCAUGAGAAAAGUUCUUAGGAGAUGAAGCUUGUGGAACCAUAUUUCCCUGUAACACUUUUGGACUCACCAUAUCACUGCAAUGUCCCUCAUUUGAUGCAGCAAAGUAAAGAUGACUAAUUGCAGAACGAAGGCGAUGAUUUCUUUGAGAGUAAUACAUUUUGGUUGCAAGGGGAACAGGAACACCUGAUUUAGUUACCAGAAAGUACUCAGACUUGAGAAAUGAAAACACCAACUGCAUGAUAACAUUCCUGAACUGUAAUAAAGAGCAAAAGGUGCACGAUCCCAUAAAACUGAACAUGCAUAUGAUAUUACUCUAAGCUAAAUGAAGUCCAUAUUUCCCCUCUCAAUAUGAUUCAGCAUAAGAAAUGAGCAGGUUAUGACACAACCACCAGAAAAUACCAUUGGUUGACAAGCUGCAUUCAUGGUCUUGCCCAGGCUUUUGAUGGGCAGCCAAAUGAUCAUAAGGCCUUUCACUUCCUUCAAUUGAACCUUUUGGGUAUCCUGCGCCUGAGCACACGUAUGAGGAACAAAUGUCCACAUGAGUUUACAUACAUAACAGCAGCAAUAGAAAAGUCCAGCAAUGGUGCACAAAAGAAUGACGGAUAAUCAUAAUACCGAUUUAUGAUUGAAGUCUUGUCCAUAAAUCGAAUGUGAUUAAAAGAAAAAAAAAACUAAAAAUCAAAAUUGCUUAGGAAGUUGCAAGGAAAUAUUCAGCAAAUUAAAUCUGUCCUUACAGGUAUAUGCUCUCUGACUAGUUAUACACAUGGUUUUGUUCACACCAUACGCUGUUUCUGGACCAUCUGCUGGUGAUGGACGAUCAGUUGCUAUUCUCCUGCAAGAACAGAGAAAGCCAGGCAUUAUAUUUGGAAGUUGCCCCACUGAACUUCAUGAAAAGUAAAAGAGGGGCAUAUUGGGGAACAAAACUAUAAGCAUGCACCAGAAGUCACCAGCAUAUUAUCAUCUACAUGUUAACCUUUAAAAAGAACAUCUGAAAUAGCAAUCACCAAUCAUUCUGCUUAACUCAACAAAGCCUUAGUUCAAACUACUUUGAAUUGGCCACACAUCUAGGCAAAAUUCAGCUCUAUCAAGGGCAUCAGAAUCAUUGCAACAGGGUUAUAAAAAAUUAUAAUUGCCAUGCCUCCAUGAUCUUUGAUUACUCUGCCAAUGGGUGAAUAAGGGUAAGAGGGCGCCAUAGAAAUAGGAUUCUUAACUUAGUAACAUUAUUACCAAAUCAGGCCGUGGACAUAUGGGGCAACGGAGGAUCCUCUUUGAUAGCAGCAUUCUCUGGGGUCUCCUCUACCUUCUUAAAACAUUUUCUUCUCUUUAAGCAUGUGGGCUUUUUCCUGGGAAUUCUUGUUCAGUGUUUUUUGGCAUCUAACUCUUUUGUGGACAGCUGUGUUUUAGUAUAUCCCUUUUUUGUGUCUCAUUUGAAGGAUAGCUCAUCUUUCCUUGCAUUAGAUUCCUAUAUCUAUCAAUAAAUUAUUAUUAUUAUUUUGAAAAAAAGAAAAAGUUCUUAAGCUCCAAUGGAAGAAAGACUAUCUGGUUUGGUGUAAUUGACACACAUCAAGAGCAACAAGGAGAAGGAAAAUGCAAGUAAGAAACAGGGAAAGAGAUACUUGAAUAUUUGCUUAAGUAGACAAUCUCUAAUGUAGUUGAAGCCGUGUUGAUAACCAUAAUAGAAAUUUGUAUAGCAUAAAGGAGAAGAGAGCAUACAGUUUGGAACGUUUUGGAGGAGGCAUAACACCUGCAGAGAGGUCUGUAUUUCCAUGACUAACUCCUGAACCAUCCACUACAUGUCCCACAUCUACACAAGCUGAAUUUCCUAAAGGAAAGGAAAAAUGGAAGAGGCAAGCCAAAUUCAAAAUAUAGAACAUAUGUUCCACUUAAUUACAAAGAAAUGAAGUUAGGUCUAUUAAUUAAUUAAAUAAAAACAGAUAAAAUAAAACAUUGUGUUUGUCUGUAUGAUUACAAGUUGUUCUGCGAUGAAAAAGUUGUGUUAGUUCCAGUAGGGAGAAAAUAUUCUGAUUCCAUUGCCAAUUUAUUUUUCUUGCCUCACACAUGCCUGAAGGGGCAGGACCAGAGGUGUUCAAAAGUUUUGCCACCAUAAUACUCUAAAACUGUAAACUUUUAGCUCAAGAUUCUUGCAAAAUAAACAAUGGACCUUUAUCACAGUUAUACUGUUAUAAAUGAUGUCUCCAAAAUCCACUGCCUCUUGUUCAAGCCUGGUUAAGUGGUAAAAUGGAUAGGGAUUUCUGUAAAGGAAACAACCACAGAGACAUCCAUCUUGUGGACAUUAUAUAUUUGAAGCUUGAUGUCUACAUGAAAAAGAAAUUCAUGUCAUAAUUGCAAAUCAAGCCUCCUUCAACAAAUUAUUUGUUCCCAUAAAAAAUGCAUAGAGGCAGCUUAGAAGCCAUAAAUAAUGGGUGCCUAGUGACAAAUUGCAUGUUAUAAGUUUCUGCCACAAAGCUGUAUUAAGACUGAAUGGCAAACAAUAAAACAAAAAAAAUAAAAAGUGGGGUUUUGGCCGCUGAAGUUUGCGUCUUUUGUUUUCUCACACGUACACUUCAAGUGUACUGCAUUUGCCACUUUUGAUUGGCACUUGUCAUAUAUAUAUAUAAAUCUUAUUUGCCUAUUAAAAAAAAACAAAUAAAUAAAACAAAACAAUAUGAAAAAUGGGAAGACAAAAUAACACAAUGUUUUCAAAAUCGGACCAGUCAUUAAACCGAAAAAGUUACCAGUUCACUGAUUGAAUCGGUGGUUGAACCAGCGACAUCAUAAAUAUACAAUUUAUAUUUUAUUAAAAUUAAAACUAAUUAUAAAAAAUCUAAAAUAUUUAAGUAUGUAUAAAGAGACUUAAAAUCAAUAAUAUUUAUUCAAAAUGAAUAUAAAUAUGAAGAUAUAUAUUGAAAAUGAAUUAUAUUAUUUAAUUUCAUUUACAUAUUAAAUAUCAUAUUAUUUUAUAAUUUUAAAAGAUAUUAGGUUAUUUUACUGAUAUUAUUUUGAAAUUUAUUAUUACAUAAAUAAAUAUGAUAAAAUUAUUUAAUAAUGCAUUUACUGAAAAUCAGCACUUGGUGUAGUGGUUGCAAUGUCACUUCUUGAAUUUCUGUCAAUGAUUGGAGCCUCCACAUUGUGACAUGUAAAUUUUUUGGCAUAAAAUGUCAUCCCACAUCGAAAACAUCAGGAGAAAUUGAAGCCUUUAAAUUCAAAGUUCAACCUUUCAUCAAUGCAUGACAAAUGGACGCUUGAGACCAUGACUAAAGCUUAGAGAGGCCUUUUGCCCAAGUCCAAAAUAUAUGAGGCCUGUAUUGAAGCCCAAAUGAGAAUGCGUUGAGUGGGUUCCCGGGUCAACAAGUGAACCGAACCGGACCAGAUUUCGGGUGGCGGUUUGACCAGUCAGACCGGCCAGUCUGGUCUAGUUUUCAAAACAUUGAGAUAACAUAAAAGUAGACAUGAUUGAAAGGGAUGAAACUAUAGCACAUCCAAAAUGUUUUUUUUUUUAAAAAAAAAAAAAAAUUCAUAACUUCAAAAAUAGAUUAGCAUAUGGUAGAUUCAAUGAGUCAAAAUGGAGCAUUUUUUAGUAGAAAAUAUUAUUCUUUAUUCAAAAUAGAGGAAUUAUUCGAGGACAAAGGUAAUUCAGAAAGUUUUCUGUUAGCCAGAGGCAAUGUAUUCCAAUAAGUAAAUAUCAAUAUACACUAUGCAUUGGAUUAGCAGUAAAGAAGAAGGAAAUUGAAAAAACUAACCACAUAGUUUUACUUUUCAUAUAUAAAUAUAAACAUAGUGUUUGAUAAUUUAUAUUAUCUCCACCAUGUGUCAGUUUUUCAGAAGUUUCUGUAUUAGUGUAUCCAAAUCAUGUCUAAUUUGCGACCUGUUCCAAGGUCCAUGCAACCUAGGGAUUGGAGUAUCAAGUAAGAAGAAAGCAACAUGAAGAUCACUGUCAGUGAAAGCUGCAAUUUGAAUCACAAUUUCUAAAACAUCAGAAGCCAGUUUAUCUCAUUUUAAUAAUAUAUUAACUAAUGAAUUUAUUAUAAAUUGUAUUUAUAUAGUAAGGGCAACAAUACCAAGAUGAUAUGAAAAGAUGAGUUUAACUAGAUACUUCAGUUGUGAUAAUGUUGAUCAGCAAGCAAUGAAUAAAACUUAAAUCCUCAUGACAAAAUAUUACUAAACCUUAACCUUAGCAGGGAAAGAAAUAAAAACCAAUAAACUAGAAGCAGAAAGGGUUUACUUUUUAUCUCUGUGAAGGAACAAGCCGCUCCAAUUUGCUCAUCUAAGCAGGGUUCAGAGGCAGCAGUAUCAUCUGCAUCCAUAGAUUCAAACCUUUCUUGCUCCCCAGCCAUUGUAGCUUGGUCUAAGAGAAGUUAAGAACUAUAUAAUUGUUGUCCAGAAAAUAGAUAUGAUAAGCUUCUGACCUGGAAAAAAAUUCCCUAUAAUGAAAUGGAAAAAUGAAAAAAAUUGCAAAAUUGAUUCUAAAAAUGAAAUGAUUAAUGUAGAAUCUAUGUCCAUACCAUUUGAACUAUCCUCAUUUUCUUGCCUAGGAAAUCUGAAAGAGGAAAAGGAUACUAGCAUAAGCAAUUAAUGACUUCUUCCUUUCUUUCCGUGGAGGUUUUUUUUGCCCUGCACCACCAUCAAGCUCCAAGAACGAUUCUUCUGUAGGAUUUAAUGACUUGCAGAGUUCUGGGGGGAAAAGGAAAAAGAAAAGAAAACCUCAUUUUGUGGAAGAACCAGAAGCAUAAAACUUCCAGUGAACUUGUGCCAACACCACACACAGUCCCACAGUACCAUCAUCAGGUCCUUAUCCCACUAAGAUCAAGCCCAUUUCUAGAUAUAAUAUGCAACUCAUAAAGCAAUAGAUCACAUUCUCCUCCACUGUGAGAAGGCAAGGAUUCUUUGGGCGUUGCUUUACUCUAUGUUCGGGGUGCAGUGGGUACUGCCAGCCACUGUUAAGGAGACGCUUUUGGAGUGGAAUGGGUCAUUUGUGAGAAAGAAGAGGAAGGGUGUUUGGAGAGCAAGUCCUUUGUGUCUCUUUUGGACGGUUUGGAAGGCAAUGAACAAAGUUGCUUUUGAGGAAAAAGAGCUGUCAAUUCAAAGGCUUAAGUUUUCUUUUGUUUAUUUUCUUUGGUCGGAGACGAAAUUGUCUAUAAAAGAUGGUCCCUUGACCUUAGUUGAUUUUGUUGGUCGGGUGGCAACCCGUUAAGGGUGUGGGUAGGGCUGCUCCUCUGGCCUUGGCUUUCAGCUAGGGUGUGAGGGUUGUUUUCUUUCUUGUAAUUUAAGCCACUGCUUUGGUGGUUUUUUAAUACAAUCCCUUUACUUAUCAAAAAAAAAAAAAAUGCAACUCAUAAAGCACAAGACACGUAUAAUAUCAUUGCUCUUGGCAUAAUAAUUAUUCACCCUUAGACCUCUUUAUGUUGUUAAAUUUGUUUCAGACAAUACACUUCUCUUUGAGCCAUUAAUUGACUCAUGCAAUGUUUGGUUAAGGAAAAUAAUUUUUUCAUGUUUGGUUUUAUCAUGAAAAAUAAGAAAAAAAAAAUCAAAUAUAAUUAAAUUUAAUUAGAAACUUAUGCAUUUUCAAAUUAUUUAAUCGUUAUAUAAAAGGGUUAAAAUAAGUGAAAUUAUUUAAUCUUUGGAUAUAAAAAAUUUUUUUUGUUUAAUAAGGUCUACUGGGAAAUGGAGCUGCAGGGUUGUAAUGGAUAUGUUUUGUCCUGGGCAAAUUUGGAUUUGCAUAAAGUGAAAAGGAGCGGCUGGGGGGAGUUUGAUGCAAGAACUAGCUUCGUAAUGGGUAAUAGCAGGAGAGUAAAGUUUUGGCAUGGUAUGUAGUGUGGAAUGUUAUAUGGAUUACCUCUUUCCCUUGUUGUCCCUUGCAUCUAAGAUGGAGAUUGAAGGAGGCAUGCAUUGGAACCCUGUUUUCUACAGAAUUUUUAUGAUUGGUAGCUACAAAAUGUGGGUUCUUUCCUCAAACAGAUUCAAACAGUGGAGGAACUUAUGGAUUACAAGGAUAGGAUGGUGCAGAGGUGUGCCAAGGAUAGGAAGUUCUUGGUUUAAUCUUUCUAUUACUCUUUAGGGUCAGAUCCUAGAGGACCUUUUCCAUGCCAAAGAAGUCAAGAACUUAGGCUCCCACAAGGUGGCCUUCUUUGCUUGGGAGGCUGCUUAGGAAAAUGGGGAAAGCGAUGACAACAGAUACAAUGCUUAUGAAAAUGAGGGGAUGCUAAUUUAGGCUGUCCAUGAUGAGAAAGACAAAGAUGAACAAUGAGUAAUCUUCCUGUGUAUUUGGACUGUGGGCCCUUUUGUUACUAGGUGCCUAUUAAUAUAAAUCUCUGAUUUGCCUAUAAAAGGGGGGAAAGAAAAGGAUGACCCAUGAGUGAUGAUCAGUAUUUGAUUUCUACCCUAUAUGACAUCACUUCAAUACUCAUAUAUUAUGAAACAGUUUGAACGCUAAACCAACAGGUAGCAUAUGUGGUGCACCUCUACUCAUCAUAUAUAAAAACAUUCCUCAUCUGCAUAGUGUCUGCUUCAAUACACAUUUUCCAUUUUCUCCAAAUUUUCAUUUUAUGCAUAUGGAUUUAUUUUGAAUAACACCAACUUUAUCAGGCCACAACAAUAAACACUGCCAGGAGAAAAAGGAUUUCACACCUGCAUGAGCUGCAUAUUGGCUGGCCUUGACUGGCUUCUUACAGGCAUUGCAACAUACCUUCACGUAAUAAAAUAUUAAACAAUCAGAUAAAUUAGGUCAAGAAAAAGCUGAUGAGCACACGCACACACAUAGCAAAAUAAACUGACAUCUUGCAAAAACAUCUCAUGGACAGAAUCCUAAUUAUUAGGUCACAGCUAAUGCAGUACCAAAUUUUGAUUAACUACUUUAUGUUCAGAUGAAGGGAUAGGUACACAACCAUUAAAGCAAAAGGGAUAUAGGUUAAAACAAAGAGAAAUACACAUGCAAAAGGCCUUCGUCACAUAUCCAUACACGUGCAUAUACAUAAAAUGUGUACAAAAAGGAAAGAAAAAAGAAACAAUGUAAAUAUUCUUGCAAAAUAUAUCAUGCUAAUUGAAUUCCAACAAUCUAAACAAGAUUGCAUGGUGCCACAGUUCAGAAUAUGGCGUAGAAGCAAAGGCUAACAGCUGGAACAAAAGCUCCACAUCAUCAACUUGCAAGAUUUUUAACACCAGCAUCUGCCCCAGACUUCACAAAUUAAAAAAUAUGCCAAUAGCCAUUCUACCUUGGUCAUUAUCUAAUUUUGUUUACCUGUGUACCUUGGUGAGCUUUUGCUAGGCCCUGUUAAUAUAUUUAUUUUAUUUGCCUAUAAAAAAUAAUACCAUUUUCUUAUCCUAUCAGAAGACAGAGUACAAACUUUAUAUGAUAUUUCCUUUAAGUGUGGAAUAAUUGAAAAUAAAUCCUCAAGAGAUACUUAUUGAGUUCCUUUUGCUCCUCGCUCCUUGUUGCGUCAACCUAGAAGUUGUUCUCUGCUUGCAAGAGGUUAUCAUUUGAAGUUUGAACCAGGUGUUGAUGGUCACCCCAUUUGCUUCAUUUUGGUUUAAACUCCAACAGUCCACAUCCAGGUUAUGCUGAUUUAUUUGUGAGAUAGAAAGAGACCUAGAUAGCGAGAACUGUCCUUUACACGCAUGUACAGCAGUUAUUGUACACUUGAUCAUUGCAUUUUUCAUGGGCAUAGCAUAAGUCUUAAUAUAUUUCCAAAUGUCCAGGCAACAGGCUUUGCUGCCAUUUCGCAUUUUUGCAAUUAAUGGAAACUCCACAUUCCUUACAAUUUUUUUGAGUAUCAUUGCUCACCAACAAUCAAUGGGAACAUGCCAACAUGGCUCCAGGAAGACAUGUAGCAAAAGAAAUACCACCACAACUAGAGAGGAAGGAUCUUUACAAGAUAAAAAUCAGGAUUAUGACAUCACAGACAACACAAAAUAAUUAAUUUUUAUCACACAAAAGCCUUUGUAGCAGCCAAUGAUUCUCCAAACCUUACCAAAUACAAAGGAUCAGCCAUAGGCUUCAAACCAAAUACAUUCAUAUCUGCAAAAGAAAAACACAAAAUUUGUUCUAGAUAAAAGGGAAGCCUUCACUGAAUUAAAACAACCACAUGAACCCAUAAAUGAAUUGCAAUGGAUUCUGGAUAAUUAUCAAAUCACCUUCUUCAUCAAGCAAAUUUGCUUCAUCUGCCUCACGUAAUUCUCUAUGUAUGUAUUGAGCAGCUAAUUUCUCCUGGCUGACGUCCUCUGCCGAAAGAGGGAAAGAUGAAACAAAAAGAAACUGGGCUGACCACAAUAAUUUUGCUUACAGCAUAGCAUCUCAGAUCAAGUGGAAAGGUCAAUCACGAUUUCCUCAGUAAAUCCUAUUUGCUGGCAGAGAGUACUAAAGUUCCACACACCCCAAAGUUGAAAAGUAAAUAAAUGCUAAGUUCUAUAUCAUUGAGAAUAUUCAAGCUACAUAAACUGCAAAUCUCAGAAGUUCCUAAUUAUAAAAUUUAUUCAAGAUUGCUGAAUUGAAAAUUUUAGAAACAAACAAAACACAGGAAUAAAGAGAUGCAUUGAUCAUAUAGAAAGAGGGAGAGAGGGAGAGAGGGAGAGAAACCACUAAAGAUACAUACAGAAGUCAAAUGCCAUUUGUUGAAUUAAAAACUACCAUUCUCUGUGUACGUGUCUAUGAAGGUGAAGAGUGCAGAGAAGUGGGGUCCAGCAUUUUUUUGAUGGAUGAGAAGUAGGGUCCAGCAUGUGGAGGCAUGGGGAUGGGACAGAGGUUUACAAGGAGAACAGGGGGUUGUAGAGGACUGGGCCAUGGGAUACUUUAUUCUCAGUGAGCACAAUUACAUCAUGAAAAAGAACUUGUUUACACAGUAUGCAGAUUAUUUUGAGAGACACUUGUUCUUGCCAUACUGAUACAGCAUUUGGAUCAUAAAUUAUAAUUAUAAGUAUUACAUUAUGCAUACAAGAAAAAUGAAAUAAAGAACCCUCUAAUCCCUGCUCACUUUCUGUUCACUAUAAGAAUUUUGAAACAGAAUAUGACUUCCCUCACUUUUACUUCUGCCAUUCUCCAUAAACACUGCUUCAUUCUUUUGGAAUGUUUUCUAAUCAGCUAAUUCUUGGAUGUUUUAUUUUGGUAGGUAAACUUUUUCUUUAUGAGGAGUCAAACACCGAACCUCCCAUGUUCCUGUCCAGCCCCUUGACACUUGAGCCAGCCCUUGGGCUUUGUCAACUCCUCGAUGUUCUAUUUCACCGGUUCAGUUGGACUACAUAACUUUCCCAGAGAAAGAAUAAAUGCAAAGUCAAAUUCAGCUACUACUCUUAUAUGAGCCCAUAUCAACACUCACUGCCCAGAAACAUCACACAAUAUCAUCAUACCUGUUAUAAUAGGUGAGAAACUUCCUGCUGCCAGAAGUCUGGCCAUGACUGCCAUUCUCCCACUUUCAAGUGAGCAUACCAUUGAGGCUAAGACAACUUGUAUGUCUCCACCCUAUAAUAAGAAAAGAUCACCCUAUAAUAAGCAGAGUCCACCAAAUAUAUAUAUAUAUAAACAUACACACCCACAUCCAAACUAUGCAUGCAGUAGCAUUAGCAAACAUUAAAUGAAAUAAAGUUACAGAACUCGGCCUAUAUAAAAGAUUGUUUUCUAACUUCGCAAAGGCAUUUUCCAUUUUUUUUUAUUUUUUAUUUUAUGGCAAACAGAAAAUUAGAUUAAUUUCCAAUUGUUCACUAAACUUAAUGUUGGUCAAUUUCCAAUUAAAAAUGGUAUCAACUUUUCAAAAAUCAAAAUCAAUUGAAGUAUGAAGAUGAGCCUAUUAAACAAAAUAAAAUUUGAAAUAUGAAGACAAGCCUAUCAAACAAAAGAAAAAUUGAAAUAUGAAGAAGAAUACAAAAUGAUCAAAUAAACAGACAACCUGGAACCAGUAAGUCUAAAAUACAUUACAAUGUGGCUGGCAUGCUCCUCCUGCAUUCCAAUAGAACUAAAUGACUUCAACACAUUCCAGCACAAUCAUAAACUAUUAUGCUAAACUAGAAAAUUAGGAGUUCCUAAUGUUGAGUUGCAUGGAUCAUUUUAGUCAUUCAACAAUAAAAAAUAAAGUCUCAAGAAAAUAGCUUUUUUUUUUAUAGGUAAAUAAGAAUUGUAUUAAAAGAAAGAAAGUAUACACAUCGUAUACGAAGAAAAAAGGACAAAAAGGAGUGAAAACACAAAAACCCACUACUGCACCCUAUCAUGAGCCUACCCAAUCCACAAAGUCUAACAAAGAUAAAGAUCCGCCCUCAAUGUACAAUCUAACCUAAUUCCAAAAUAGAUACAAAAAAGAAUUUUUAAUUGUUUGAUCCGUGUUUUCAAAGUUGCCAAAAGCCCUCCUAUUUCUCUCCUGCCAUAAAGCUCAAAACAUACACAAUGGAGCAGUUUUCCAAGCCUUCUUCCUCUUUUUACCCACAAAGGACCUGUGUCAACUCAGAAGGACCCCUCUAACUAAACAACUCAACACCCACUGAAUGCCAAAAAGUGCAAAGAUCAACUACCACAACAAACAAGCUUUCAAAUAAUGGAUGAGACUAUGGUCACUAGUUUCUUUUGUUUCCUUACACAAGUAACAUAUAUUAGGAAUCCACCAACCCCUCUUUUUAAGUUGAUCCAGAGUCAAAAUCUUGGCCCAAGUUACUUCCUAAGCAAAAAAGCUAAUUCUCGAGGGCACCUAAGAAUUCCAAACAAUACCAUGGGGAACGGUUCCACUCCUAUCGACCAAGGAGUAGAAGGACUUAACAAAGAAAGCACCAUCCUUCAUAGGCAACCAUACCAUGGCAUCAUUAGUCUCCACAGACAAAGGGUGUACUGACAAUCUCUCCAAGAAGGCUUGCACCUUCUCUAGUUCCCAAUCAUGCAACUACCUCAUAAACCUAGGACUCCAACCACCAUCCUCCCAAAGGUCACUUACCCAAGCAUUUUUAGAGAAUGCUAUGGAAUAAAGCUCAAGAAAGGACUCCCUCAAGGAUGAAUCCCCACACCACUUGUCCUUCCAGAACUUCACCCAGUUUCCAAACCCAACUGUAAACUCAGUUCUUGUUUUGAACAUCUCCCAUCUACCUCUGAUAGCCUUCCACACCCCCACACCAUGUCCUUCCCUAACAACUUUAGAACACAAACCCCCCUCAACUUGCCCAUACUUGCCCACAAUCACCCGUUUCCAAAGAGGGUCCCUUUAACUUGCAAAUCUCCAAAACCACUUGCCUAAGAGAGUCUCAUUGAGGAUGAUUAAAUCUCUGAUGCCCAAGCGUCCUUGUUGUUUGUCCAACCGAACAAUAGCCCAUCUCACCAAGUGUGACUUUUGCUCUAAGGCACCUCCUCCCCACAAAAAGUCUCUUUAAAUCUUUUCUAGUUUAGCGGCUACUUUCCUUCGAAUGACAAAGAGAGACAUAAAGUAAAUCAGCAAACUAGACAAAGUGUUCUUCACCAGGGUCAACCUUCCACCUUUUGAAAGAUACUGACUCUUCCACAACGUUAAUCUUUUUCGAAAUCUCUCUUCCACCCCAUCCCAUACCCUAGAGGACCUGAAAGGAGCUCCCGGCGGAAGUCCUAAAUAGGUAGCAUAUGAAUGUGUAUAAUUAAGAUUGAUGAUUCAUAAUUUCACGCCAACAAUCAUUGGUUUCUGUUCGGAUUAAGUGAUAUAAAUAAUAAACCACCACUUGUCUUUCUCUUGGAAUUAACAAGUUUUUCUCUUCUGGUGAGGCUUUUUGGAAAGAGAGCUGUUCACCAACUUUGUCAAUCAAGGACAAGGAAGUUUACACUUUAUAGAUGGUUCAUAUGGAUUGCAGAACAUAAGUUUUCUCUUAAGCAGAGGGUUCUCAUUUUUGUAGGUCAGAAUUUUCUUGGCAGCUGUCUACCUAGGCAGCAAAAUAGACUGCCCAAGUUUUGGGGAUUGCCUUCAAGAAGUUGUUAUGAAUUUGCUUCAACUAGAAGAUGUGUUCCCCAAAUUAAGAACAUUUAGCAUUUUCUUAAGCAGGUAAGGAAAUGUGCUCUUUAGUGGGGUUUUUAACUGUUCCUAUGGAAGGUAAAUUUUGACCUCCAUCAAAUUGUAAUAUUAUCACGUGCAGGCAGUCAGCAUAGAUGUGGCCUCUUCUAGGUGAACCCCAGAAAUUGUGGUGUCUUAUAUCCAUGUAUCCAAACUCUUUCUUCUUUGUUGAAGCCAUUACUUGGAUUUUGCAUGGGGUUGGUUUUCAGGAUCCCAUUCCCUUUGCAAGUAUGUUGAUUUCCAUUAGGAUUUAGGCAGUGGAAUAGGCCACUACAAAUUCAGCCUCACAAUACAUGGCCGAAUUAAUAUCACCAAAAGGUAAAGCAAUGAAAGGACACAUCCAAACUACCUUUUUAUGAGCCUUCAUAAACAAAUUCCUCAUGUAAAUUCAGACAUAAUAUACCAUUUUAAAAGCCCAUAAAUCUGAAUUUGGACACAAUAAAUGACAAUAAUAAUUAAAAAAAUAAAGGAAAACAAAAAACAAGUUCAAAAAAAAAAUCCCUCCACUUUUUUCCAAACUUUAUUCCCUUUAUAGAUAGAGAACAUGACUUGAAUAAAUUUCUCUCUGAUUUUCACUGCAAUUCAUUUUCUUUCCUAUUUUCCAUCCAACCCAAUCAAGAUAAAUUGUUUUUUUAUCCCCUAGUUCUCUUUCCUUUUAUUUGCACUUUCAAGAACCAAACAAUGCAAAAAAGAAACCAUAAAAUUUGAAUAAUUCUCAAACAGAACCACCAAAAGUUUUUUUAAAAAAACAACUCUAAACCAUAACAAUAAAACUGCAACAGGAAAAAUCAAAAUCAACACAAGAUUGACAAUUAAUCAUCAAUUUGAAGUCAUUAAACCAAAAUGAGAACUCAUUACCUCAAUUGGCAAUUAUCAUAAAAAAAAAGGAGAAGAUAUUCUUCCUCGGGAUUUGAAAGUUGAUAAGUUUCCAUUAGGAAUAGAGGACUGAGCACUCUUAAGGUAUUCUUAGGGACAAUGAUUAGUUAUGACAUAGUGUUAUUAGAAGUACAUAUAAGUGGCAUAUAAAUGGGAUGUCACGGUUGUGAUCAGGUGCUCCAUGAACAUCAUGUCCAUCCCCUUGGAAACCCAUCUGCUAAGGCUUCUUAUUUUAUAUGUAUAUAUUUUCCAUUUUUCGACGGAAGAUGGCUUAAAAAAUCAUUUUUUAGAAAACCUGAAAUUGGGGAACCAACCUUUGUGUCUUCUAUACCCUAACCUUUCUCAUAUUUGAGGGUUAUGGAUCCUACAUCUUGUCUUACCCUUUCUGAAACAUUGAUUGUCAUCCUGAUUUAUUAGAUCAGACAACUGAUUAUUUAUCCUCUCCCUUCCUCAAGUUCCAACCUGUUUACCUCUUUGUCACUUCAAGGUCAUAGGAUUUGGAUUUGGUUUACCUCAGACAUAUUUUCCUCUAGCCUUUCUUUCACACAGUGUUUUCCCAGAUGUCUUUCCAUAGGUUAAUAUCAUUUGGAAGUCUAAAGGUACUCCCAGUUAAAACUUUCACAUAAUAGUGGCCCUUUUAUUUCUUUCUUUCUUUCUUUCUUUGAUAGGCAUUUAAAGCUUUUAACCCUCAGCAUUGUGCUCUUCACUUAGACGGUGGUCCCGCUUCAUUCAUUGUAGAGAGAUGAUGCUCAUUACCUUCAGAGGUUUUAGGAGGAGCCCCAGUCUCCCCAGGGUAAAGUACUUUGAAAAGAACUAGUGCUUGCUAUUCUCAGGAUGUUUGGGCUAGAAAUUUGGAUUUGUAAAAGUAAGUAAAAUCCACAUGAGACCUUAUGAAACACUGUCUCUAUUAGCCAUUUAGCUUACUUCUUUGUGGGGCUCCCUCUUAGUAUGUUAUGUAUGAAUUUUAAGAAACAUUCAGUAGUAGUGCUAGAAACAGGAUGUAGGUUGAGGUUAGUAAAGCCUAGGAACCCCCCACCUUCAAGUUAUCUCAAAGUGAAUUUUGAUGGAUGAACACUCGUCCAAAAAAAAUGAUGGAUGUACGCUAAGGAAUUCAGGCCAGGUAGAGAUUUGUGUUCCAAGAUUACAAAGGCAGCCAGAUAAGGACCUUAUCAAAGCCAGCUGAUUCAAGAUUUUCUAUACAAAUUGAGAUUUCAGCCUUGAUAAAGGCUCAAUGGAGGCAAAAUCUAAGGGGAUUACAAAUUCCUGAGGAGGAAGGGAUUCAGAAGUUGUCAUCUCAUGGUUUGCUCAGGGGAAGAUAGGAGCAUGGGAGUAGGAUGUGAACCAGGAAGAUCUUGGACCCCUAUCAGAUCAGAUGGAAUGUUGUUUUUCUUGGAUACCGUGGUCUACUAAUGAGGUAGCAGAUCAAAUGAAAAUUUGUGCAAAUGUUUCAUCCAAUUACUGGGGUUUAGCCUAAUAUCCUUGGGUGUACUAAAUUCAUUUCGUUUGUAUUCCUUUUUUAUCUUUGUUUUGAAAGAUGAAUCAUCCUUGAUGUACCCAGUAUUUCUUUAUAUUUAGUGGAAUGGUUGCUUUUUUUUUCUAUCAUCAUAUUAUCAAAAAGAAAAAAUGGUGAAAACAAAUGAUGAAAUUGUAAAAUUUGAAUAAAUCCACAGUGAGUCUCAGCAGAAAUUCAGCAUCACGGUGCUAAUCUAAUCAAUAUCUUUCAACAAGGAAUCGAUGGAAGGACGUAGCCAAACAAUUGUUUGCCAGAUUUUUUCCCAAUAAAAUUCUUUAAAUAAAUUCAUGCAUAAUACACCAUUUAAAGCCCACGAACGCAUACUUAGGAUAAGUAAAUCAGAUAACCCAAAAUAAAACAUAAAUUAGGGUUCAGAGUUCUGGCCGCACAAACAUUUCAUAAAUACAACCAAUUCUAAGACAUGCAAUCAAAUCGAUGAACUAUUCCAUGCUUCAACCACAAAAGAAACCACACAAUCCGAAUGCCUCUCAAAUACAAACCACAAAAAACAACAAAAACAAAAACCCAACCCACAUCCACAAAUCCUAGCACCAAAAAAAAAAAUCCACACAAACACACGACAACGUAAAAAACAAGCAAUUCAAAAUCACCAUAACCACAACGAGAACUCGAUUACCUCAAUCGACAACAAUAAUGAGAAAAUGGCGAAACCAGGGAAUUCGAACCAAUCCAGAGUCGAUCUCAGCUGAAUGCGCCACGAACUUGACGUGAAUGAGAGCGCGAACAAGCACGACAAUGACGAACCCGGAAACCCUAGGAGAGAGAAAGUGCUUAGUAUGUGUUUGUAAAAAAUCCGCUGCCUUCUCUAUCUCUAUCUAUCUUCCCCACUGCGUGGAGUAGAGAAGAGAUUGGAAGCAAACACUUAGGAAUGCCUUUUAAUAUAUAUGCCUCCGCCUAUGAUCCCUGUGCCUGUUAUGUAUGUGCGCCUGCGCAGCUGCUUCGGGCCCACGCCACUGCUGUGUUACAAUUCGACUUAAUGCAACUGAUUAGGUGUCCAUGAUGUGGCUGUGGUUUUCGGCCGUUUAUUUAAUAAUAAAUAUCUCAUAUUAUUUUAAUAUUUUUAAAUAAAUUAUAACAUGUGGGACCCUCAAUGUAAUUUAAAAACUUUCAAAUUUUAAUUUUGUUAAAAAAAUUAAAAUAUGACUUUAUAAAACAUGAAAAUUAUAAAAAAAAAUCAACAUAUACUAAUAUAACUUGAUAGACUUAAGUAUUAAUUUAUUUGAUAUUCAAAUUACCCAUCAAACUUUAUAAAAAAAACAAUGACAAUGAUAAAAUAUAAGAAUUUAUCGAAACUUAUGAAUGAUCAUUCAUAUUAAUGUAAAUUUCUUCAUGACUCCUCGUAGGAUGAGAAACCUCUAAUAAAAUAUUCAUUCAAUUUUUUUUAUUAGAAUUCAAAGUAUUAGCACAAGCCGACAUUUGAAGACUUCAAUUCAGUAGAAAUGUCACAAUAAAAUACUACGAAGGCUCCUACAUCAAUUUAUGAUAAAGUACAUUAUGACAUAAUCUCAUUUUUCUAUAAUAGUUAUAAUUGUCAAUCUUUUUUAUAUUAAGAGAAUAUAAUUCAGUUUUUCACUAUUCAUAACCUAAAGUUGUGUAAAAGAAAAAAAAAAAGAAAAUUAAUAAAUAUCAAAACUUGUACAAUCAGAAACUAUGAGUAUAUGCAUAAAAUGACAUUCCAAAACCAUGUUAAUUGGGAUUCUCUGAACACUUGUAGGACAACUUAUAUAUAUAAUUAUUUUUUGACAAAUCAGUGACUUCGUAUAAAGCAUAACACUGUGUGGAGCAUCCUACCACAUACAAUUACCAUUUACAUAUAUUUAUACUAAUUCUUUUUUUAUAAGUGUAAGUUGUGGUUAUAAUUUUAUUAUGGAAAAGUGAUGUUAUGGCAACAACUGCAUGAAGAACAUAGAAAGUAAGUUUUAAAACAUUGUUUUAAAACUUUGUUAUAAUAUAUAUAUAUAUAUAUUGUUAGUUAGGGGUUCAUCUAAGAGACUUGUAAUUGAGCAAUAUAUGAGCUCAUUUGGGUGGGUUUUUUUUUUUUUGGGAAAAUCAUCUAAUCAUACACCAACUACAAAAAAUAUGAGAUUUUGGAACUUUGUUUUUUUCUUUUUAAUUUUAGUGUAAAAUGGAAAAAAUUAUUGUUUAUUCAUGCACUCCAAUAGUGCUUUCAAAUUUGUUCUAUAAUUACCCUCAAAAGUAAAUGACAAAGUACACACCAAUUUAAUGCUAUCUGUUAACAAGUACAUGAGUCAUUUAAUUUUAUUAUUUUUCUCACAUCAAUAUAUCCCCCUUACCAUUUGUUACGUUUCCACUUUUUUCUUUUUUCUUUUUUUCCUCCCUGCCAUCCUUGCCACCAUAAUCCAUUGUCACCUAUUAUAGUUUUUUUUUUUUAGUUUUCUUUUUUAUCUUUAUAUUCUUUUUAAUAUGCUCAUGCAUUUUUUAAUAAAGCUUCUUUAAUUUUAAUUUAUUUUUACUCUCUAAUUUGUCUAUAUUUAUUUAUUUUAAUUAUUUUUUUGACAUAUUAAACUUAAAAUGAUAAUAUAUAAUAAAUAAUUAAUAUAAAAAAUUAAAUAAAAAAUAUAUAUAAUGUACAAAAAUGAAAAUAUUAUCCCACAAAUAAUAAUGAUUUUAAAUAUUAAUUAUAAUAAUACAUUUUAUAAAUUAAGGUUUAAAUUUAAAAACUCCAUUUUAUUAUUUAGAAUUUUAUGAUAUAAGAUUUUUUAUAUUAAAACUAAACAAAAGAUUUAUUUAUUUUGUAAAUUCUAUCACAUGUAAAAGUAAAAAUAUCAUCGUAAUAUUAUUUUAUUAUUUACAUUAUUUUUCUUUUAAUUUUUAUUUUAAAUUUAUCAUAUCAAAAUCACAAUAAGUGACAAUGCUUUUAUCAUUUUUCUUAUGAUUUCAAAUUGAUUGUGGAUCUAACUUUUUUUUUUUUUGGUUAAAAUCUUUAAUUUUUAAUUAAAAUAAAAUAUAAAAGAAAAUAUAUUUUUCAUAAAAAAUUGUAUUUAACCUUUUAUAUUAAUUUAAUAAAAAAUAGGUACAUCCUUAAAAAUAUAGGUAAAUUAAUGCUUAAGAGAACUGAAAACACUAUCAUACUUAUCAUGAUGUAUAUAUUUCUUUAGGACCCUUGAUAAGUAAUUGAAGGUCUUUGCCUGCCCCAAAAAGAACUUUGGGAUCCUAGGUAUAUCCAUUCUAAGAGGAACCAAGACCCCUAUUUUCAUUUUCAUGGUUCAUAUAUUCAUUUGGGGACCCUUGAGAAGGAAUUAGAGGUUAUUCCCCACCUUAAAACGGAUAUUGGAACCCAAGGUACAUCCUAAAGACAAUUUGGUGCAUCAUUUAUAAAAUUUGGUACAUAUUUCAUAAAAUUUGACACAUCCUUAAAACAAUUUUGUACAUCCAAUCCAUGAGCUAUCAAGACCUCUAUAUUAUUACCCAUAGUUUGUUUAUUUCUUUAGGGAUCUUUAGGAAGUAAUUAAAGGUCGUUCCCUACUCAUAACGGACUUUGGCAACAUUAGUACAUCAUUUACAAAAUUUGGUACAUUCUUUACAAAAUUUGGCACAUCUUUCACAAAAUUUGGUACAUUAUGAAGGAUGUACCAAAUUUUGUAAAUGAUAUACCAAGGGUUUCAAAGUGCAUUUCGAGGUAGGGAUCAGCCCCCAUGUAGACCCUCAAUUUUGUCCCUCAACACUGACAUUUAUCCUUUGGGUGUCACCUGCACCCAUCGUUCUCAUAUGGCACCACUGGGGCCCCUUUUGGGCUUAGUUAGUGUCCGAGCCUCGUGUGGGCUUGUCUGUGGUCCAUUGUGGUGCAUAUGUGGUUCAUGUUGGAGGGUCAUCGUGGCCAUUUUCCUAUUCGUUCACAUCACCCUAUAGGAAGGAAGUGGGGUCAUCCCGAUGUUUUAGCUUAGUUGGAGUUUAUAGGGGCAUGUUGAGGUUCGGAGCACUUGGGCUUGUUUUGAUCAUAUCUCCCUUUUCCGAACUCGGAAUUGUGCACCGUUUUUUUUCAUGGAUUUCUCACUCUUCUAGGAACAUUCUGUCAAAUUUUCAAAAUUUUUUGCAACCAGUUCGACCAGUUGGCAUCCGGUUCAGCCUGUUCAGCCGAUUCAUCGAGUCAACUGGUGUAGAACACUGAUUUUUGGUAAUUAUUUUGAUCAUAUCUCCAUUUUUCGAACUCGGAAUUGCGCACCGUUUAUUUUCAUGGAUUCCUCACUCUUCCAGGAACAUUUUGUCAAAUUUUCAAAAUUUUUUGCAACCGGUUCGACCGGUUGGCACCCGAUUCGACUGGUUGGCACCCGAUUCAGCCGGUUCAUCGAGUCAACCAGUGUAAAAUACUGAUUUUGGUAAUUUUGGGACCCAAAUCCUACAUGGAUCAGGCCCAUAAACUCCAGAUCGGUUUUGGGCAAUGUUGUGGGCCCAUUUUGGGACUUGGUUUGGGUUUCUUGCAGCCCACCACAAAUCCAUAUGGAUUCUUGGUGGUGAAGCAAGCUGAAAACUGAAGGGAGUGAGCUGGCCUCGUAAGUGCAAGAGAAAUAAUGGGGGGUGUGUUUUCCAUGCUGAUGGAGGGGAUUUCGGUGCUGAAGGGGAAGGAACCCAGGAGGCUCAAAUGCUGAGAGGGAUAUGAGUAUAAAAUGUGAGAAAAUAGGAGAGCAGAAGAGGAAGGAGAAGGAAAACGAGGGCACUUUGGAGAGGGGAUAUUUUGCUGGUGAGAAAAAACAAAAGGUCGGGGCACCUUCUGAGUUAAGAGCAUGGGGGAAAGCUUCAGCACUGUGGUUAUUUUGAAGAGGAGAGCUACAACAUCUCAUUUUUUGGAGGUCAUCAUCGGCAUACACGGAUCAUAUCUGGUGGAGAUUCUGAGAUAAGUAGGCUGAAUUUUUUUUACCUGCAGUUUAUCUUCAUUUUCUUCAUAUACGUUUUCUCCUUCCGCAUCAUCUUUUAUUUCCUUUGAUAUGAAGAUUGUCUUGCUUGGGUGUGGGUAAUAAAGGUCACACAUGAUUGUUGUUGAUUGGUUAUGAAUGGUUUAGAAACUUUCUGACCAAAUUUAGGAUUUUUCAUCAACCGGUUCAGCGCCAUAGUUGGCUGCCUCUGUCAACCAUGAGGAACCCCUGACCUUUCUUUGUCCGGUUCUCACUCAUCUGAGCUUAGAAUUGAGAACCGUUUCUUUUGUUUAUUUUCUUAUUCAGUUAGAAACUUUCUGGCCAAAUUUGGGAUUUUUUAUCAACCGUCUUAACCGGUUGGGAACCGGUUCAACCGGUUCAGCGCCAUAGCUGGCUGCCUCUGUUAGCCAUGAGGAACCCCUGACUUUUCUUUGUCCGAUUCUUACUCAUCCGGGCUCGGAAUUGAGAACCGUUUCUUUUGUUUAUUUCCUUAUUUAGUUAGAAACUUCCUGACCAAAUUUGGGAUUUUUUAUCAACCGUCUAAACCGGUUGGGAAUCGGUUCAACCGGUUCAGCGCCAUAGCUGGCUGCCUCUGUCAGCCAUGAGGAACCCCUGACCUUUCUUUGUCCGGUUCUCACUCAUCCGGGCUUAGAAUUGAGAACCGUUUCUUUUAUUUAUUUCUUUAUUCAGUUAGAAACUUCUUGGCCAAAUUUGGGAUUUUUUAUCAACCGUCUGAACUGGUUGGGAACCGGUUCAACCGGUUCAGCGCCUUAGUUGGCUGCCUCUAUCAGCCAUGAUGAACCCCUGACUUUUCUUUGUCCGGUUCUCACUCAUCCGGACUCGAAAUUGAGAACCGUUUCUUUUGUUUAUUUCCUUAUUCAGUUAGAAACUUCCUGACUAAUUUUGGGAUUUUUUAUCAACCGUCUGAACCGGUUGGGAACCGGUUCAACCGAUUCAGCACCAUAGUUGGCUGCUUCUGUCAGCCAUGAAGAACCCUUGAUCUUUCUUUGUCUGGUUCUCACUCAUCUGGGCUCGGAAUUGAGAACCGUUUCUUUUGUUUGAAUCCCAUUUAGGAGUUUUUUAGAAAAAUUUGGGAAUUCUUCUUAAUAGGUUGUACCAGUUGAAAACUAGUUCAACCUGUUCUGCUGGAGGACUUUAGGUAGCCCUCGAUUUUGGCAUUUUUCGAGCCCUUAUCCAUUAGGGCUCAAACCCAUUUGCUAUAGGGCACUUGUGAGCCAUCUGCUAUAGGGCACUUGUGAGCCAUCUUGAAGGUUUAAGUCAGUGUUUGAUUUCAGUUAGUAUGGACAAUUUUGAAGUUAUGGGUGGUGUGGUCUAGAUGAGUCUAGUUUGAUUUGUAUGACAUUUGGGGAGUCCCUUACCUCAUUUCAACCAGUUAUCUUCCUUUUUGGCACAAGCUUUGAUGCUUGAUUUUGAAUACAUGUUGCGUCACUGACUCACCCUCUGCUGUAGCACAUGGCUGGGGACCACAGGUAUGCAUCGUUGGUUUUGAUUGUUGAAUCAUAUGCAUGCAUGGUGCUUAAUCCUGAAUGUUUGUUAUGUGUUUAUCUGUGUUUGGCUGACCUUUUAUGCAGCGCAUGGCUGGGGACCACAGGUACACACCCAUUGUUUUGGUUGGUUGAAUUCAUAUGCAUGCCAAAUACCAAUUAGGAUUGUGUGAUUCAUGACAUCUAUUUAGCCUAGGGUUUCAUCUUUGACUUAUAUGCUCCCACAUACCCAAUUCAUUAGUAGAGACCGAGUUCCGGGCCUAGAGGGGUGCUACCUCGCAUGAGGUACCUUCCCAAUGGGUAACCUGAUCCCCGGACCCAGAAUCUAGUUUUCGCAGACCGCUUUUUCCAUACUAGGAUCAUUAGGGGUUUUUGUUCUUACUUAAUUUUCCCCAUUUUAAAAAUAAAAAUAAAAAGUAAGUGGUGACUCCAUACAACACCGUUCCUUACCGGGGGCGGGUUUUUCAAAACUAGAAAACUCAACUUUUUCAUUCUUUCUUUUUAUUUAAAAGCGAGUCGCGCCGGUCCGGUGGAUCGGGUGAAGGUCUACACCCCAAUCACUUCCUUAUGGGUUCCAAAAUGAACUCAUGUGUCAUCCAUAUUUAGAUGGGGGUCCCGGAAGCGAUAGGAUUGGAUGUACCAAAUUUAAUAAAGGAUAUACUAAAAUUUGGGAAGAAUGUACCAAGGGUUCCAAAGUGCGUUCUAAGAUGGGGAUCGGCCCCCAAUCACUUUCUUAUGGGUUUCUAAAUGAAAUUAUGGAUCAUCCAUGUUUAGAUGGGAGUCCCGGAAGUGAUAGGAUCGGAUGUACCAAAUUUAAUGAAGGAUGUACCAAAUUUUGUGAAUGAUGUAUCUAGGGUUCCAAAGUGCGUUUUAAGGUGGGGAUUGACCCCCAAUCAUUUCUUUAUGGGUUUCUAAAUGAAAUUAUGGAUCAUCCAUGUUCAGAUGGGGGUCUCGGAAGUGAUAGGAUCGAAUAUACUAAAUUUAAUGAAAGAUGUACCAAAUUUUGUGACUGAUGUGCCAAGGUUGUGCUCUUUACUAGUGCACAUAGCCUACCAAUAUAAUGGUUUUAGCAAUAGGCAUGCCUCUAAAAUUAAGGGUGUGCCCCUAGUUUGCAUACUGCAUAUAGUAUACCAAAAUAAUGUUAUCAUACCCAUGGGCAUGCCUAUGCAACGAAGGGUGCACCCUUGCUUUGCAUUCUACAUGUAGCAUAGUAAUAUGAUGUCAUUCAACCAUAGGCAUGCCUUUGAAAUGGAAGGUGCGCCCUUACACAUAACAUACUAAAAUAAUGUUAUUGUAUAAAAAAAAAUUCCAUUUAUUCUAAGGAUAAGGUGUACAUGUUUGAAUGCUUUCCCAAUGUGUUAAUGGGUCAACCUCUCUUUUACCGACUCCUCACAUAACACGAAGCCAAUCCCCACCUCAAGGAUUUAGCACAUCUUUCACAAAAUUUGGUACAUCCUUUAUUAAAUUUAGUACAUCUAAUCUUAUUACUUCCGAGACCCCCAUGUAAACAUGAAUGGUCCAUAAUUUCAUUUAGAAACCCAUAAGAAAGUGAUUGGGGGCCGAUCCCCAUCUCGGAACGCACUUUGAAACCCUUGGUACAUCCUUCCCAAAAUUUGGUAAAUCCUUAACAAAAUUUGGUACAUUCGAUCCUAUUGCUUAUGGGACCCCUAUCUAAACAUGGAUGGUCCAUGAUUUCAUUUUGGAACCCAUAAGGAAGUGUUUGGGAGGCGAUCCCCACCUUGAAACACACUUUGGAACCCUUGGUACAUCAUUUACAAAAUUUGGUACAUCCGAUCCUAUCGCUUCUGGGACCCCAUCUGAACAUGGAUGGUCCAUAAUUUCAUUUAGAAACCCAUAAGUAAGUGAUUGGGGGUUGAUCCCCACCUUAAAACGUACUUUCGAACCCUUGGUACAUUCUUCACAAAAUUUGGUACAUUCUUCAUUAAAUUUGGUACAUCCGAUCCUAUCACUUUCGGGACCCCCAUCUAAACAUGGAUGGUCCAUAAUUUCAUUUAGAAACCCAUGAGAAAGUGAUUGGGGGCUGAUUCCCACAUCGGAACGCACUUUGGAACCCUUGGUACAUCAUACACAAAAUUUGGUACAUCCUUAAUUAAAUUUGGUACAUCCGAUCCUAUCGCUUCUGAGACCCUCAUCUGAACAUGGAUGGUCCAUAAUUUCAUUUAGAAACCCAUAAGAAAGUGAUUGGGGGCCGAUCCCCACCUCGGAAAACACUUUGGAACCAUUGGUACAUCAUUCUCAAAUUUUGAUAUAUCCUUCGUUAAAUUUGGUAUAUCCGAUCCUUUCACUUCCGAGACCCCCAUCUAAACAUGGAUGGUCCAUAAUUUCAUUUAGAAACCCAUAAGAAAGUGAUUAGGGGCCAAUCCCCACCUCGAAACACACUUUGGAACCCUUAGUACAUCCUUUACAAAAUUUGGUACAUUCUUCAUUAAAUUUGGUACAUCCGAUCCUAAAGCUUCCAGGACCCCCAUCUGAACAUGGAUGGUCCAUAAUUUCAUUUUGGAACCCAUAAGAAAGUGUUAAGGGGUCGAUCCCCACCUCGGAACGCACUUUAAAACCCUUGGUACAUACUUUACAAAAUUUGGUACAUCUGAUCCUAUCGCUUCCGGGACCCCCAUCUGAACAUGGAUGGUCCAUAAUUAAAUUUAGAAACCCAUAACAAAGUAAUUGGGGGCUGAUCCCCACCUCAUAACGCACUUUGAAACCCUUGGUACAUCCUUCACAAAAUUUUGUACAUCCUUCAUUAAAUUUGGUACAUCCCAUUCUAGCGCUUUCGGGACCCCCAUCUGAACAUGAAUGGUCCGUAAUUUCAUUUAGAAACCCACAAGAAAGUGAUUGGGGGCCGAUCCCCACCUCGAAACGCACUUUGGAACCCAUGGUACAUCUUUCCCAAAUUUUGGUACAUCCGAUCCUAUUAGUUAUGGGAUCUCCAUCUGAACAUGGAUGGUCCAUGAUUUCAUUUUGGAACCCAUAAGAAAUUGAUUGGGGACCGAUCCACCUCAGAAAGCACUUUGGAACCAUUGGUACAUCAUUCCCAAAUUUUGGUACAUCCUUCGUUAAAUUUGGUACAUCCAAUCCUUUCACUUCCGAGACCCCCAUCUAAACAUGGAUGGUCCAUAAUUUCAUUUAGAAACCCAUAAGAAAGUAAUUGGGGGCCGAUCCCCACCUCGAAACGCACUUUGAAACCCUUGGUACAUCAUUCACAAAAUUUGGUACAUCUUUCAUUAAAUUUGGUACAUCUUUCAUUAAAUUUGGUACAUCCCAUCUUAGCGCUUUCGGGACCCCCAUCUAAAUAUGAAUGGUCCAUAAUUUCAUUUAGAAACCCACAAGAAAGUGAUUGGGGGUCGAUCCCCACCUCGAAACACACUUUGAAACCUUUGGUAUAUCCUUCCCAAAAUUUGGUACAUCCAAUCCUAUUAGUUAUGGGAUCCCCAUCUGAACAUAGAUGGUCCAUGAUUUCAUUUUGGAACCCAUAAGAAAUUGAUCGGGGACCGAUCCUCACCUCGGAACACACUUUGGACCGAUCCUUCGUUAAAUUUGGUACAUCCGAUCCUAUCUCUUCCGGGACCCCCAUUUAAACAUGGAUGGUUCAUAAUUUUAUUUAGAAACCCAUAAGAAAGUGAUUGGGGGUCGAUCCCCACCUUAAAACGCACUUUGGAACCCUUGGUACAUCCUUCAUAAAAUUUGGUACAUCCGAUCCUAUCGCUUCUUAGACCCCCAUCUGAACAUGGAUGGUCCAUAAUUUCAUUUAAAAACCCAUAAUAAAGUGAUUGGGGGCCGAUUCCCACAUCAGAACACACUUUGGGACCCUUGGUACAUCCUUCCCAAAAUUUGGUACAUCCGAUCUUAUUGCUUAUAGGACCCCCAUUUGAACAUGGAUGGUCCAUGAUUUCAUCUGGAAUCCAUAAGAAAAUGUUUGGGGGUCGAUUCCCACCUCGAAACGCACUUUGGAACCCUUGGUACCCUCUUCACAAAAUUUGGUACAUCUUUCAUUAAAUUUGGUACAUUCUUCAUUAAAUUUGGUACAUUCUUCAUUAAAUUUUUGUACAUCUCAUCCUAUCGCUUCCGGGACCCCCAUCUGAACAUGGAUGGUCCAUAAUUUCAUUUAGAAACCCAUAAAGAAGUGUUUUGGGGCCGAUCCCCACCUUGGAACGCACUUUGGAACCCUGGGUACAUCUUUCACAAAAUUUGGUAUAUCUUUCAUUAAAUUUGGUACAUCUGAUUUUAUUGUUUCCAGGAUCCCCAUCUGAACAUGGAUGGUCCAUGAUUUCAUUUUAAAACCCAUAAGGAAGUGAUUGGGGGCCGAUCCCCACCUCGAAACGCACUUUUGAACCCUUGGUACAUCCUUUACAAAAUUUGGUACAUCCAUCAUUAAAUUUGGUACAUCCGAACCUAUUGCUUUCGGGACCCCCAUUUGAACAUGGAUGGUUCAUGAUUUCAUUUUGAAACCCAUAAGGAAGUGAUUGAGGGUCGAUCCCCAUUUUGGAACGCACUUUGGAACCCUUGGUACAUCCUUCACAAAAUUUGGUAUAUCUUUCAUUAAAUUUGGUGCAUUCUUCAUUAAAUUUGGUACAUCCCAUCCUAUCGCUUCUGGGACCCUCAUCUGAACAUGGAUGAUCCUUAAUUUCAUUUAGAAACCCAUAAGAAAGUGAUUGGGGGUCGAUCCUCGCUUCGAAACGCACUUUGGAACGCUUGGUACAUCCAUCUCAAAUUUUGGUACAUCCAAUCUUAUUGUUUUCAGGUCCCCCAUCUGAACAUGGAUGAUACAUGAUUUCAUUUUGGAACCCAUAAGGAAGUGAUUGGGGGUCGAUCUCCACCUCAGAAUGUACUUUGGAACCCUUGGUACAUCCUUCACAAAAUUUGGUAUAUCCUUCAUAAUGUACCAAAUUUUGUGAAGGAAGUACCAAAUUUUGUCAAGCAUGUAUCAAAUUUUUUAAAGGAUAUACCAAAUUUUGUAAAGGAUGUACCAAUGUUACCAAAGUCCGUUAUGAGAUGGGGAACGACCUUCAAUAACUUCCUGAGGGUCUCCAAAUGAAGAAAUGGACUAUGGAAAUGAAGAUAAGUGUUCCGUUAGCUCAAGGAUUGGAUGUAUCAAAUUUUCUCAAUGAUGUACCUAGGGUUCCAAAGUCCAUUUUUCGGAGUAGGGAACGAUCUCCAAUCACUUCCCAAAGAUCCCUAAAGGAAUAAUCGGACCAUGUGUAAUAAGAUAGAGGUUUCAAUAGCUCAAGUAUGUACCAAAUAUUUUUAAGGAUGUGCCAAAUUUUGUAAAGAAUGUACUAAGAGUGCCAAAGUUCGUUCCGAUGUGGGGAAUAACCUUCAAUCACUACCUAAAGGUUCUCAAUGGAUAAUAUGGACCAUGGGAAGAUAGAUAAGGGUCUCGAUAGCUGGAGAUUUGGAUGUACCAAAAUUUCUUAACGAUGUACCAAAUUUCCUUAAGGAUAUACCUAGGGUUCCAAAGUUCGUUUCUGAGUAGAGAACGACUUUUAAUUACUUCCUAAAGAUCCCUAAAGAAAUAAACAAACCAUGGGUAAUAAUAUAGAGGUCCUGGUAGCUCAUAGAUUGGAUGUACAAAAUUGUUUUAAGGAUGUGCCAAAUUUUAUGAAAUAUGUACCAAAUUUUAUAAAUGAUGCACCAAAUUGUCUUUAGGAUGUACCUUGGGUUCCAAUAUCCGUUUUAAGGUGGGGAAUAACCUCUAAUUCCUUCUCAAUGGUCCCCAAAGGAAUAUAUGAACCAUGAAAAUGAAAAUAGGGGUCUUGGUUCCUCUAAGAAUGGAUAUACCUAGGAUCCCAAAGUUCUUUUUGGGGUGGGCAAAGACCUCCAAUUACUUAUCAAGGGUCCUAAAGGAAUAUAUACACCAUGAUAAGUAUGAUAGUGUUUUCGAUUCUCUUAAGCAUUAAUUUACCUAUUUUUUUUAAGGAUGUACCUAUUUUUUAUUAAAUUAAUAUAAAAUGUUAAAUACAAUUUUUUAUGAAAAAUAUAUUUUCUUUUAAUUAAAAAUUAAAGAUUUUAACCAAAAAAAAAAGUUAGAUCCACAAUCAAUUUAAAAUCAUAAGAAAAAUGAUAAAAGCACCGUCAGUUAUUGUGAUUUUGAUAUGAUAAAUUUAAAAUAAAAAUUAAAAGAAAAAUAAUUUAAAUAAUAAAAUAGUAUUACGAUGAUAUUUUUACUUUUACAUGUGAUAGAAUUUACAAAAUAAAAAAAUAUUUUGUUCAGUUUUAAUAUAAAAAAUCUUAUAUCAUAAUCUUCUAAAUAAUAAAAUGGAGUUUUUAAAUUUAAACCUUAAUUUAUAAAAUGUAUUAUUAUAAUUAAUAUUUAAAAUCAUUAUUAUUUGUGGGAUAAUAUUUUCAUUUUUGUACAUUAUAUAUAUAUAUUUUUAUUUAAUUUGUUAUAUUAAUUAUUUAUUAUAUAUUAUCAUUUUAAGUUUAAUAUGUCAAAAAAAAUAAUUAAAAUCAAUAAAUAUAGACAAAUUAGAGAGUAAAAAUAAAUUAAAAUUAAAAAAGUUUUAUUAAAAAAUGCGCGAGCAUAUUAAAAAGAAUAUAAAGACAAAAAAGAAAAAUAAUAAUAAUAAUUAUAAUAGGUGACAAUGGAUUAUGGUGGCAGGAGAGGAAAAAAAAAAAAAAAAAAAAAAAAGUGGAAACGUGACAAGUGGUAAGGGAGAUAUAUUGAUAUGAGAAAAAUAAUAAAAUUAAGUGACCCAUGUACUUAUUAACAGAUAGCAUUAAAUUGGUGUUUACUCUUGUCCUUUACUUUUGAGGGUAAUUGUGAAACAAAUUUGAAAGCACUAUUGGAGUGUAUGAAUGGACAAUAUUUUUUUCCAUUUUACACCAAAAUUAAAAAGAAAAAAGUAAAGUUCCAAAAUCUCAUAUAUUUUGUAGUUGGUGUAUGGUUAAAUGAUUUUCCUUUUUUUUUUUUUGUGAUAAAGAAUAUUGAAAAACCUUGAGAUAAUGUUUCUUAAAUUUAAAGAGAGAAAAUUUAAGUGAACUUGUUAAGGAAAAUCUUUUUGGAAAAGUUGUUGUACUCGUUCUUUUAAUCAUUUUUGUUAUAAAUAUGAUUGUUGUUAGAAUUUCCAUGGAUGUAGGCUUGUUGUUGUUGAACCAAUAAAAUCUUGAUAUUCUUAGAGGACACUCUAGGAGAGGUUUUGAUUGAAGAUUGUUCGUCUUUAAUUUUUGUUAACAAUAAGGCACAUUGAUACCGAUAAAAUAAAGAUUAUGCUUAAUUAAGAAAAACACCCAAAAUGAAGGGUGAAUUGGGUUUUUUAAAAUCCUUUUAAACACAAUAAAUUCAAACACAAUAUAAACAAAAAUAAAGAGAUAGAGUUAGAAAAUUCAAACUCUGGUUUUAUAGUGGUUCGACACUUUUUUGCUUACGUCCAUUCUCCUCAAUUUCCUAACCGAAUGAGGGUUCCACUAACUUGAAGUUUCAACCAAGCUUCCAAUCUUCUUACACUUGGAUUCCAGCUCCAAUGGAAUCUUACACAAUCUCUUCAAGAUUCAAACCUCUUGAAUGCUUUAACACUCAACUUUUACAAUAAUGAAUCUCUCAACCUAGCUUAAGGAUAGCUCAAAAUACAAGACAAAGCUAGAAUGACACACAAGAGUGUACUAAAGGAUAUGCAAGUGAUGAUUUAAUGCACUAAUAAAUAAAUGAGAGCUUUUUGGUCAAUAACAGGUAAGUAGACAAUUGAUUGCAAGUGUUCUCUUGUCAAUAAAUGAAGUGGAGCUCUCAAUUUAUAAGUUUCUAAACUCGGGAGCCAAAAACAGCAAAAGGUAACCUCGAUCGGUCAAACUAAGGGUCGACCGGUUCAUUAGCCGUUGGAGCAUUUAAUGCUGACAGGUUACUGUUGCCUUGACCGAACCUCGACCAGGAAAAGAAUAACCUCAACUAGGAAGAGAAGGCUAUUGGGAGAGAGAGAGAAGAUUUUGGGCAUCUCUUGACCGGACCUUGACCGGACAAGGGCAACCGGUCGACCGGUUCCCCAACUGGUUGAGCCUUUUGGUCUCGCAAACCUAUCUUUUUUCAAUUCAUUUAUUUUCUAACACUUAGGCAAAGUCUUUAGGUGAAUUAUUAUGUCAAUUUUAAAACAUUUUGUCUAAGGUACAUUUGUUAAAACUCGGGUUUUAAUGAAAUCGAAAUUUUAAAUGAUAAACUGAGUUUUCUAAGUUGCAUGAAACGGUAUGAAAAUCCUAAGUGCACUCAUGCAUUCAUCUUACAUUCGUUUCCUAUGAUCACAAGUCUUCCAAAAGUCUUGAUCUUAUAUCAAUUUGGUCAUUUGAUGAAUUUUCAAGUUUAUGCUUGAGAUUCUUAACCAUUAAACCAAUUAGUCACUAAACCAUAAUUUGUUAUCAUCAAAACCCGAUUAGGAGAACCCUUGGGCUAACAGAUACUAAUUACUUGAAAUCUUAUCUUAUAAUUUAGUAAAUAGAGCAUAACCGAAUAAGUCGGCUUGAAUCAAACAUCACAUCUUCAUAAAAUUAAUAUGACUAUAACAUAAGGCAACUCAAAUUAGGAAAAUAAAAGCAAAUAAUAUUCUUUUUCCUCUGCUGAGGUAGACUCAUGUAAUGUUACAUACCCCGUUGAUUCUUGAUUGCAACUACAUCUUAUACACAUGGAUGAUAUAUAAUUUAUAUUAAUCAUGUUAAUCAACAAUUUUGGUCAUGGUGGGGACUUAUAGCAAAUAUCUUCCAUAUUAUCGCUAAAGGUUUUUAGAAAAUCAAACAGUUACAAAAUGAAAAGAAAUUUAAUCUCAAAGAGGUAAAAUGGUUUUAAGGAAUUCAUUAAGAAGAUUGAAUAAAAUGGCACCCUAAACUACAAUAAAAUCAUUUUAAUAAAAUGAAACCUUUGAAGAUCUAUUAGAGGUGAUAUAGAUUUCUUGAGAAGGCAAGGACAUAUCAUUUUCGCAACCUUACAUUAUGAUAGAUUAGAGGUAAUGUCAUUUUCACGGUUGGUCAAAGGUGAUGAUGAUCAAUCGUUUGGUAUUUGGUUCUUUUGAUGGGCGUUCCUCAUAGUACAAAAGGUUGAUGGCUUUUAUUUAUUUACUUUUUGGUGGGGGUUGUGAUUUAAUAUUUGGCCUUCGGCUAAGUUUUAUUGGGUUUUUGUGUUUGAGCGGGACAUGGUUUUAUUUGUAUGAUAUUAGGUUAUGUCAAGUUACAUGAUAUUAAAUUAUUAUUAAUUAAUGGGUUUAUGGUAUGAAAUUUGGGAUUGGGAUAGGCUUUCUUGGAUUAAUUACAAAAUUACUCUUUUUUUGUUUUCAAUGUUUGAACCACACAAAUGGGCCAGUGUCAGAAACAUGGUUUGGGCCCAAAUUGGGCCUAAGCCCAAGAUCGAGCAUGGGCCAGCUAGUCCCCAAGACCGACCCUCCAGUCUCGGCUUCAGCCCGUUUCUUAUUCCUGCCCCUCCACAAAAGUAAUUAUUAUUAUAUUGAAAUUUGUUGGCUUGUGAAUCAUGCAAUUUGAUCAAUUCAAUUGAUCGGAUCAACCCAAACUUCGAAAAGUAAGUUUGAAUUAGACUCUGAUUAAGCAUAUUGGGUUAGAUGUUGGAUUGAAAUGGAUUCAGACAGCCCAUUAAGUUACAACCCUAGCAGCAACAAAAUAGCUGCCACCUCCACAAACUGAGAAAGAAAUUCGAAUUUUGGUCUACGAGGAACCUCUUGAAUAGAAAAACAUCCUUAAUUGAAGUCCAGGAACUAUUGGAUGGGGUUUGCCAUGGCCCAUGGAACUGAUGACCCAACUAGCCCAAAACUUCUAAGCCCAACAAAUUUGGGUUGAGGCCAAUCCAUGGGAAUCGAGGCGGACUCUAGAUUGAUCCAUCAAUGCCAACAUUUUUGUAUUUAAUUAAUGCGGACAUCGACACGCACUACGCACGUGAAUCGUAACACACUUAGAAGAGCAAGUCUUGUAUUGUCAAGCUUGAUUUGUUCACAUACAUGUAAUAAUUUUUUGUUUUAUAAUUUUAUACAUGAAAAGGGCACGAGAGAUACGGAGAACAAAUGAAGAACAAACACGCUUAUUUUCUUUAAAAAUAAAAUUUUUAUAAACAGAAUGUCAGAUCCCUCGUGAUGACUCAUUAUUUGUUUUUUAAAUUUAACAAAUUAGCAAAUCAUGCUCAAAUAAAACGUGACAUUUAAUAUUUGGAUAUUCAAAACAAAAUACAUCAAACGUAUUUUAAUUAUUUCGAUCUGAUAAUGUCUUAUCUUGGAGGUUUUGAUUUGACUCGAUUCUAGUUAAUUGAACAAUACUAAAAUCAUAAUAUGUGAAUAUUGAUGAGUAAGCAAUCGUUAGUGACAAAUUUUUUAGUUAUCUUCGUGAUGUGAUAUUAAUAAAUGCAUAAUCCAUCAUAAAUGUAUAUAUCAAAUCUAAUAAUUACAUGAGAAGAUAUAUUAGUAGGUAAAAGAUCGGGAGUCAGCUGAAUAUAUUUACCAAAAUAACUUAAUCCAUUUUUGAUAAGACCUGUAUAUAAUUAGCAUAUUGAUAUGAGUGAAGUUAAUGCAACAAUAAUAUUUAUAUAAUUCAUGGGUGCAACUAAUUUCUCAUGAGGUAAUUAUAUGAUUACCAAUUCGAAACAAAAAUAAAUAGAAACAUAGUUUUAGUAAAAGGAACCCAAGAAUCAUAUUAUUUUCUGAUUCGAGUUUUGCUCACGUCUUAGAAUGAAUUCAAAUGACAUAUUUGGACAUUAAUAUUCAAUCGCAGCUCCCUCCAAUUUAUUUAUUUUUAUUUAAAAAAAGACAUGCAAAAAGGUGAAAAGAAAAAUACAUUAUUUUUAGAAAAGGUGGAUCUAAAGAUAAAAAGUCAUUAUUAAGAAUAUUAUUUAUAAUAAAAUCUAUUUAAAAAUUUAUACAUAUGAAAGAAAGUAUUAAAAGAAAACGCAGAUAAAACAUAACUAAACACACAUAAACAAAUCAAAUCACAGUCAAAUAAAGAAGGAACAUUAUGAUAUCCCGUCAAGGGUCCAACCAUGCGACCACCCAAGCCAACAAAAUUAGUAUGCAAGUUUGGUGCCCCCUCUUUACCAAGCCACACACAAGGGCCCCACCAUUCCAACCGCCUACGUAGCACCACAACAGUGAUUACGUGGACCAUCGGAUUCAUGAUAAGAUCAGCCACUCCCUAUUAAUUAACAAGACCAUAAUCAUCUUUGCCCACCAACACUUCCCUUUACUGCACUGCAGCUGCGAAAGAGCCAAUGCUCGUGCACUCCCAAAAUAUUUCUCUGUUUCACAAAAUCACCUUUUCUGUUGUGGGAAACAUGAUCGCCGCAGUACGGCUGUUUGCGUUUGCCGGCCACCACCACCCCCACCCCCAGUGUUGCAGUUGCUUUCAGCCUUUCACCAUGCGGCGUGCGUUGGCCUCGCAUUCCUCUCGCUGCCUCGCGCGACAGAUUCCGGAAUCACUCCGUCAAUGAUUUUGAAUUCAAAUUUUUGUUUUCCUUUUUUUAUUUUCAUUUUUUACACCUGGCAAAUUAUAGCGCAGUACACCUGGUCGUUGUUUAUGGUGACAAAAUUUUGACAUUUUUUUUGUUGUCGCUCUAAUUAUUGGAAAAGGAAAAUUAUUAUUAUCCCUUGAAAAUGUAAAAUUUGACACUUACAAAAUUGGUACAUUAGGAUUUUUACUAGGUUUCCUUUGAAUCAAAAUAAGUUUCGUUUGACUUCAGAAAUGAGAGGUUUCCCUUAUUCCAUAAUAGUAGACGGAAUUGACAGGUUAGGCUCGCUAGAAUUUCAGACGGAAAAAUCAAUAUAGUCAAGUCUUUAGAAUUUCUGGCAAGUGUGAUCAACCACGCCUAAUAUUUGAGCGUUGACCCACACACUUGACAUCUGAGCAACAAAUUAGACACUAGAUUUCUAAAUGACGGACGAAACUCCAUUUAUAUCGAAAAGUCAAUGUUAAUUAAUUGUUACACACAAUUUCAAAUAUUGGCAGAUUAAAUGAACAAUCAGCUGCACGGUCCGAGAUUUUGGCACGUCAAUAGACAACACCAAUCAAUCGCCUUUAUCUGAUAUAAUUAUCCAAUUGCCCUAAGGGCAUUCAUUAUUACAAAAAAUGUUAGAGUGCAUAGUCAGCACUACAAUGACGAUACUAUCAAUUUUAUAUAAAUCCCCCAAAAAACAUAAGGUAAGAGAUUAUCUCAAAAAAGAAUUGUUAGAGUUAUCCUUAUUUUUUACUUAAGUUUAAAAGUGACGUGCCCGAACAACCUAUUCGGACAUCCUAUGCGGAGGGAAGAAGUCCUCCUAGCUCUAGUGAAGCUAUAUCGGACUGGUUGGCUCAACCCCAACACUUGACCGUAUAUUUUUUUUUUUGGCAAAAAUAAACUCCAACAAUGACAGCUGUAAUGAUCUUGGCCAAGAAGAAAGAUGACGCAUGCCGUGAGGUGUGUGUGUGGAGUUGCUGAGUUCCGUAAGAUGUGAGUAUACAAAUAUCCCGGCCAGCCAUGAAAGCGACUACGCCAUGACUCCUGUAUGACUGGUCCAGUCACCACGCUAGCAGACACCCAAUUUUGACAACUCAGCAACCUUCCGUUUCUCCAAAUUGUACAAAAUUAUUUCAGUCAAAAUUUCAAAUUUGUUUUCAGAAACGAUCCAAAAAUCAGACAUCUUUUAUAUGCUUACAAAUACAACGUUUAAUUUAACUCCUAUUUUCGAGUUAAAGGACAUCAACGGACGGUGUUAAGCACAUGGCCGCCACGUGAUCCUGAAAUUCCUUCUAAGUAACGUUAAAAUAUUUGUCCGAUUAUCUUAAUUUUCCUUUUUCUCGAAGGGGUUUCUAGAUAUGGAAAGAGCAUUAAAGUACAUUCCAACUAAUAAUAAGAAGAAAAAAAAUCUUGUUUUAAUAACAAUUGCUUAUCUAGCAAUUUUCCUUUUUAGAUUUUUUUUUAAUUAAAAAAAACAGAAAAUAAAAAAUCAAACAAGAAAACAAGUUUGAUACAACUUCUUUCAAGUCUCAAAGGGAAACACUUUCUAUUUUAAUUUUUAGUAAAAAAAUGUAAUUAAGGGGGUGUUUGGUACUUGGGAAUGAAAAUAAAUAUUUUGUUUUCAUUCCUAUUUUUUAGUGGAUAGAAAUGAAUUUGAUAAUUUCAUUUUUAGUAUUUGAAUGAACUUAGAAAUGCAAGAUUGGAAUGAUUAUUUGUUUCCAUUUUAAUGUUUGAUAAUAAUAAGAAUGAAAAUGAAAAAUAAAUAAAUUUAUAAUAAUAUCAUUCCAUAUAAUUUAAAAUAAUUUUUUAUUUUUAUUUUUAUUUUUAAAAAACAAUUUUUGAGAGUUUUUUUUUGUUAUUAAAUAACAAGACUAAAAAAACAUAUAUACUCAAUAAAUAAAUAAAUUAACCAUAAAAAAUCAUAUAAUCUUAAUGUACAAAUAUUUAAUUGUUAUUUUUAUUAAAAAUUUGAAUAAUUUGUUAUGCUUAAGUAGUUAUAAAAUUAUAUUUUACCAAAAAAAAGAAAAAAAAUAAUAGUCUUGAAAUUUUUUUUUUUAAAUAUUGUAAAAGAUUUGAUUAAUUCAGUUUGGGAGAAUCACUUAUUGCAUAGAAGUGGAUGAUGAAUGAGUCUCUAACUUUGCAUAGAAGAUAAACAUGAGACUUGAAAAAUAAGAUAAGAUGAUAAAAUAGUAAAUUUAAUUUAUUUUAUGUUAUCAAAUAGGUUCGACUUAUAAGUUGAAUUUAAUUUCUACUUAAAUAAAUUUUUAUUCAAUUUCUACCUUAUUAACAUUUAACACGAGAAUAAUAAAGAAAACCUACCAAACACCCCCUAAAAUAAAAUGGAAUCCACGAACACACAUGGAGUCCUUAGAAGACAUAAUGAUGACGAGGUGGGACCUUCAUCUUCUUCCACAGCAUCAAAAGCCAGACAGUAGUGAUUCCAUGCAACCACAUCCACGCUUGGUCCACGCUACUCUCCAUCAUCAACCUUAAUCAAACGGUCAGAGUCUUUUCAAAGUUCAAGCUCCACCGCCUCACCAAAUGAAAUAAAAUAAAAAUAAUAAAUUAAAAACUCUUAUUUAUUACAUUUCGCGGCCAUUCAGUCUCUCGUUGUCUUCAACGGAAAUCUCUCUAUUUGAAGAUAUAUGUGUACUAUAAAAUCACUGAGUUAUUGGAGGAGAUCGCAGGACAGGACUCUGCAAAUCUGGGGUGAGUUAAUUGGAGUUGGAUCAUCUUCUACAGUGUUUUUAUUUCUUUCCUUUUUUCUUUGGUGUGCGUUUGUUCGGUUUCUGUUUUGAAAUGUUCUUCUGAGUGUUUGGUUGGCGAGAAAAUGGAGGAGAACAAAAAAAUAAAAAUGAAAAUUAGUGUUUUGAAUCUUGUGUUUUGUCUUGUGAAAACGGAAUUUUCUUCUCGACAAAAGAGGUUUAGAGAAAUUUUCUUUUACUUUCCUUCAUUUUCUCAGUAAUAUGGAAAAUUGAGCUCCCUACAAUUGCUGAUCUGAACGUUAAUGCGCACUUUUUUUGUCCUCUUUGUUUGGCAGAGUCCGGUCGAUAUUUGAAAGCUGAGAAGUUUGUAUUACGACUUCAAGCUUUGUUAGGGGAACUGAGAAACGUUUGGUAACAGUGAUCGGUUGGCUCUUCUUUGGGAUCGAAUCGAGCUGGACACCAUGGGGUUUGAAUUAGGCUCUGUUGUGAUGAAAUUGGGAAUGGUCUCUACAUCUGAUCACAGUUCUGUGGUCUCCAUGAAUCUAUUUGUGGCGCUUCUCUGCGCGUGUAUAGUGGUGGGUCACUUGUUAGAGGAGUAUCGAUGGAUGAACGAGUCAAUCACAGCCCUUGCGCUUGUGAGUUUUGUAUAUUUAUAGCAUUUGAUAGACAGUUCGGCCUGGUUUACAGGGAAUUGAUGCCAAACUUUGUGUGGAUUGAUUGCAGGGUCUGUGCACAGGAAUUAUUAUUCUACUAACCACCCGAGGAAAAAGCUCACAUAUUUUAGUAUUCAGUGAAGAUCUUUUCUUUAUUUAUCUUCUUCCACCUAUCAUUUUUAAUGCUGGGUAAGUUGGAUUUCUUAAUGCAAACUCGAUUUGAAUAUUUUGUUCGUCAUUAUCAUCAAUGGAUUCAUUUAUUUAUCCAGAGCAGUUAGAUGCUUAUUCUCAGAAACCUGCAAUUGGGUUUUUGAUCUGACAAUGAUCCAUGGCGUUGGGAUUAAGUUUUCAUACGUUAUUUAUUUAUUUACUUUUUUGGCUUCGACAUUGGAGAAAAAGUUUUAAAUCAAUAAAAUAAAAUGAUACAGUUACAAAGAUUGGAAUAGCAAUUGCCAGCAAUCUCUGAUGAUGCUGGAGUCACCAUAGUAAGAAACAGAUUUUGAAGUUCAUGAACAAUAGAGUUCUGCAAUCAGAUGGUUGUGAUUAUAUUGUUAGUGAACAAAUAUGCCAGCAUGAAAUACAAAACACAAGUUGGUACUUGAGUAUGUAAUCUACUGAAAUUGUCAGUAGGCUGCCAUCUUGAUAGAAGAUCUGUAUUAAUGCAUUAUUGAUACCCAUCAAUAGUGGCCCAGUAGGCCACUUGCAGCUACCACAUCUAGCAGCCACAAUGCAAAAUCCAUAGUGUCUGAUGAAACUCUACUGUUAUAGAGUCCAUAGGCAGUUUGAUGAUGAAGGUUGAAUGAGGACCCAUUUGGUGUCUGGGAGAAGUAGACCCCAGAACUUCCCUGCAAACAAAACAUUCUCCUUCCUGCUGUUCAAUAUAUAGUAUAGAUGAUAGCAGGUUGCACUUCUGUAAAGUGUGAAUAUCUCAACAACUUCUUUAACAGAAGAUUGCUUCCUUUUUUAUUUCUGAAAUGUGAGUUUCCUGGAAAUAUGUUGGGCACACAAAAUUCUUUCAGCCAGUGUGUAUGAAAUUCUUCAAUGACAUAACCCAGAAUCUUACAAAUUACAAUCUUAUGGAUGCACAACCUCACUGUGAACAUGAAUACAUUUGUUGUCCUGAUUUCAUUUUCCUAUAAGGCACAGCACAACUCAAAUUUCAGGAAUUUUUCAUGCUUUUACUAAUUAUAUUAAUUUUUUACAUGACAAAUUUAGAAUACUAAAUUAGCAUAAGCGGCAAAAAUAUUAGUUAAAGCAGCAUUCUGUUUUUGGUUAACUGGUAAGAGCAUGUGACCAUAAUAAUCGGUUUGAUUUGUCUCUUCUUCUUUUUCCCUGCAACAGCUUCCAGGUGAAAAAGAAGCAGUUUUUUCGUAACUUCAUGACCAUCAUGCUGUUUGGAGCUAUUGGAACUCUGAUAUCUUUUGGCAUCAUAUCAUUAGGUAAAGUCAGCAACUAAAUGUAUUUAAUUGUUUUAGUUCAUGUUUAUAAAUUCUUUGCGGAAUUUGGAAGUUUAGAACUGUAGAUGUAUAUUGCCACUAAAAUCAUUAGAUGACAAAUCAUCUAAAUUAUAGCAGGGUUGCCACAUGUGGUCAAAAUUAUUGUUCCUGAUUUAAAAAUCUUGCUCAUGCUGUAUGGCAAAACAUUGAUAUUUGUGCUGAUGCUCCUAGUUGGGGCAUUAUCUAUACUCAUGUCAUGCAUGCAAUGAGUUCACUGUCAAGGGUAUAGGCAGGUUUUUAUGUUUGCUUAGAUUACUGAAAUAUGAGGCAAUGGGAAAAAAAACCCUUGCUUGUAUGGUUAUUUCACUUCUGCUUAUUUAGUUAUUCCAUGGAAGUACACUUGGAAUUAGGACCGAGUGAUUGGAGAGAAUCAAUAUAUGGGAAUAUUAUGAUGAAAGUCAGAACCAGUGGAAACACAUCAUUUAUGGGAUCAUUAGAUGACCAAAUGUAUAUGUUACUUGAAAGAGAAAUGCUAAUUAUUUAAUCACACUAAAAAACAGAUAUGUUAGAGUAUAUCUGGACCUAUCACCAUUUUUUAACAGGACACCGUUAUUGUCAUUUCAUGUUUUUGGUGAAACUGAAAAUAAAAAUAAUGCUUCAUGCUAAUUAUUCCCAUAUCUUGUUUAUUUUGAGAUGAGGACUGCAUGUUCCUGUGAUUGCAAUAAUCGACCUUUUUGGAUCAAGCAAUCAUAUCUGAAGGACUUCUGUUGGUGUAAUUUAUACACUUGAGUAGAUGCUUUAGUUGAUAGCUAGAAUUCUCUUACCACUUGUGUUCCUCCUUUUUAUGAUGAAUGAUGGAUUCUACUUGUGUUCCCCUUUUUAAGUAUGAAUGAUGGAUUCUACUAGUGUCCCCCUUUUUAAGGCUGAAUGAUGGAUUUGAUGGUUCAUUUAAGCUGUUACUAAUGACUGAGUUUUGUGGUCAUCUUUGAUGCUACAGUUCAUUUUAUGUAUUUUUUACAUUUUCUGUAACAUAUUGAACAGGGAAAAAAGAAAAUUAAGAGAAAAACUGCUUCUUGCAUAUUUCCAGAGAUCUCAAAUGCAAAUUAAUAUCAGUAUUCAUUGUUAUUCACAAGUUAAUCAGUGAUGAAUGUGGAUUAUCGUUAUACUCUCUUCUCAACUUCUUACUCUGACACAGGUGCUAUACACUUUUUCAAGAAGAUGAAAAUUGGCUCCCUCGAUAUAGGGGAUUACCUUGGUACUCUUCAUUUCACACUUUGCUCCCCAAAAGUUCUUUGUGUCCCAAAAGUUCUUUGUGUUUUCUCUUAUUACAAUUUCAUUUCUUGUUCUCUCAUCUCACUCAAUGAUUUGCAGCACUUGGAGCAAUAUUUUCUGCAACAGAUUCCGUUUGCACAUUGCAGGUACAGAUGGCCUUACUAAGCUGUGAUCCUGUUACUAGUUCUAAGGGACAACACUUCCACAACUUAUUUAUCCAAUCCAAUUGUGCAGGUGCUUAAUCAGGAUGAGACACCCUUACUCUACAGUCUGGUUUUUGGAGAAGGUGUUGUGAAUGAUGCCACAUCUGUGGUGCUUUUCAAUGCAAUCCAGAGCUUUGACCUCUCUCACAUCGAUUCAAGCAUUGCCUUGCAGUUCAUUGGCAACUUUUUGUAUUUAUUUAUCACAAGUACCAUGCUGGGAGUUUUUGUAAGUCUUUCUUGCACUCUGCCAUGUGUGUGCAUGCUUGUGGUUACAAACGAUUCUCUUUUGAUAGACAACUUAAAUUAUGUAAAUAGGCACCUAACAAUAUGGUUGCAUUUUGUGGUUAUAUAGAACUUUCUUAACAUUUUCUUUUUGUCUUCUGCAGGCUGGACUGCUUAGCGCAUAUAUUAUUAAAAAGCUCUAUUUUGGAAGGUUUGUAAUUAAGUGUUGUACUGCUUUCACCAGACCAUGUCUUGACUUAGUUGAAUUUACAACAGAGAAAGUGUUUUUUUUUUCAGAAAAAGAAAAAAUUAUCAGUUGGAUCAUUAGGGUUCUACAUGCUGCUUCUUUCUGCAUCAUCUAUAUGACCAACAAUUCUUUUAUAUCACUUGUAUAAGUAGUAAAUGUCUAAGAAAAGACAAGGGCUAUAGUUUUGAGGAGAAUUCUCAUACUUUCUUUGUUAACAAACUCCAGGCAUUCGACUGAUCGGGAGGUUGCAAUCAUGAUACUCAUGGCUUACCUUUCGUAUAUGCUGGCUGAAGUAAGAUAUCCCACAACUUGCUGGGAAAUCCUUCCCUGACCCCUGUUUGCUCUUUAUUUAUACUCUUGAGCCCCAAAAUAAGCACAUGGACCUUAAUUUUGGAAUUGUUAUUUGUCUUACAGCUGUUCUAUUUAAGUGCCAUUCUCACUGUGUUCUUUUGCGGGAUUGUCAUGUCUCACUACACAUGGCAUAAUGUGACUGAAAGUUCAAGAGUGACUACCAAGUAUGUUAAUUAUCCAGGAAGUGAAGUAUUGAAAUUCAUUCAUCUUCAUUCCAUUUUGCCAAAAUGUUGAUUAAACUGUGAUGUUGCUGAUGUUACAGUUCUUACCAAAUGUUUGCAGGCAUGCUUUUGCGACAUUGUCAUUUGUUGCUGAAAUUUUUAUCUUUCUAUAUGUUGGCAUGGAUGCCUUGGACAUUGAGAAAUGGAGAUUUGUAAGUGAUAGGUAUGGUUACUACAUCAAAAGUACAUUAGUUCCCAUGAGCAUCUGCUUGGAAUGUAACUGGUCUGAACAUUAACUUUUACCUUGUACUAUAUGUGGGCUUAUGUUAAAUUUCUUCCUUCUCAGCCCUGGAAAAUCAAUUGGUGUGAGCUCGAUACUGUUGGGACUGGUUCUGGUUGGAAGGGCAGCAUUUGUUUUCCCUUUAUCCUUUCUGUCCAACUUGACUAAGAAAUCAUCAAGCGAGAAAAUUCACAUAAAACAGCAAGUACGAGUUCUUUCUAUUUGGGUUUUAAGGUUCUGAAGCACACCUUUUUUUCAAUCAAAUUAUUAAACAACUACACAAUUUUACUCUUCAGGUCACAAUUUGGUGGGCUGGUCUUAUGCGUGGUGCUGUUUCUAUGGCACUAGCUUAUAAUCAGGUAAGACAUUGGAUGUUGUCCUUUUUUAAGGGUUUACAGCAUUGGAUGGUUUAAAAAUCUCAUGUAGGGUGAUAUGAAUGUCAUGGAAAACACUAACCUAGCAAUAUGGGAUCAUGCUAGUAGUUCUGUUCUGUUCUCUACUGCACCAUUUGUGCAAUAGAGUUGGGCGAUUUAUGCCACUAUAUCUACAAACAAUGGAGUAAGCCAUUUGGAUAUUAAGUUGUACCAUCUAUGCUAUAUAUGUGCAUAAGUUACCAAUCUCUAUCAUGAGAUUGAUUUGCUAAAAUUAAUAGAAUUUAUGCUGUUGUACUGAACCUGCCUCAUAGAUUUUUAGCAAUAUAGGUAGACCACCUAUUAAGGGUCUAUAUGUAUCCAUUAUUAUGGUGCAUUUUGUGUAGAGAGGAAAUUGUACUUUGGCAUGGGAAAGACUUAGACAUGGACAUACAAAUGCAUUAGUUAUAUGCACACUUUUUACAUUGUGGGGCAGGGGUCAAAGGGGAGAGGAAGGGCUGCGUCUUAUUGCAAUGUGUUAGUGCUAUGCAUGAGUUUCCUUGGGAGAACAGUAAUAAUGAUAAUAUAAACAUUUAAUGAGUUCUUCGUUAUUUUUACCUUUGAUGGAUACAGUUUACUAGGGCAGGCCAUACUCAAUUGCGCGGGAAUGCAAUUAUGAUCACCAGUACUAUCUCAGUUGUUCUUUUCAGUACAGUGGUAAGACAUCUCAGCUCUUUGUGGCUACAAUCAAUUUAGAGACCCACUCUGAAACGGGGCCUAGGCUGUUUGAAUUCUCCAGUUUGCUAUAUUGAUAUUUCAUUGUCCAAAUAGCUUUGUUAAGACUCUUCUAUUUCCAGCUGGCUUGGCAUCAUAUUAUUUUGUCAAGUAAUAUAGGCCUUAUAACUAUAUUAAAUUUUGAUUUGACCUUGAUUACAGUAUAAAUAAUAAUGAAUUAAGCUGCUAUAUCACCAAUAUUUGUCUGUUGGGCUCUGAAAUAAGAACCCCAAAAGAGAAUCGCAAUAUGGUAAAUUAAGAACCCAAUCUGACCUUGUUAGAUUAAGGUUUGUUUAUGUCAUUGAAUUGUUUAUUUCUAUUUCUUUCAAGAAAAAUGACACUAAAUGCAGAUUUAAGACUCAACUCUUUUCUCAAACACAGAAGGCAGGUAUAUUUAUUUUCAUAACAUUGACUCUGUGCAGGUGUUUGGGUUGAUGACAAAGCCUUUAGUGAGGUUAUUGCUUCCUUCUCCAAAACCCUUCACCAGCAUGAUUUCUUCUGAACCAUCCAGUCCUAAAUACCUCGUUGUCCCACUUAUCGGUAAUGGGGAGGAGACAGAAACUGACCAGGCCAGCCAAAAUGUACCCCGCCCCACCAGCUUACGGAUGCUCCUAAGCACUCCCAGUCACACUGUUCACCAUUACUGGCGAAAAUUUGAUGAUUCCUUCAUGAGACCUGUUUUUGGUGGACGGGGAUUUACACCCUUCAUCCCUGGAUCACCCACUGAACCAAACCUUGGUCAAUGGCGAUGAGAAGGUAACCAACAAAUCCUGAACAAUGGUAAUGAGAAUGAAACCAAAGCAAAGAUACAUACACUAAUUACACGUCUUGUAGCUAGGGCAUGCAAUCGGCUUUCUGUGUGAAUUUUGUCAAUAUUUGAGAGAUUUCAGUCUGGGAUCGUGACAAUUUGCUUGUAAUUUGGUUUGAUUGAGGUUGUUUUGAAUAUGUAUUUCUUUAGCCACAAUGUUCUUGAGUGUGAAGAUGCAUUGUAAGUGAGAUUCUAUUCCUGGCAGUGCAUUUCAGCACAAGUCUCUAUUUUUUUGGAUUGUAAUAUAAGAGUUUAAUGUAUUCUAACAUUAUUUUUGUCCAUUUCUCCUCUAUUUUUUGAUGAAUUGGAGACUCUUUGUCACCCUUACUGACUUUAUGUGUGUACAAUGCUCUUUCUCUAAGCUCUGUUCUGCAGAAAAAAUAGAAAGAACACUGGUCACGGUGCAGGCAUUUGGUUCAGCCAUUUAACAGUACAUAGAAUUGAAUAGAUGUAGCCCAAUAUUAUUUUGCCACUCUUUUUUGCUAUGUUUGGUCCUGGAAAAUACUAAGACUAUGAUUGGUUGUUGGAAAAUUUGACCGAAAAUGCUAGGAAAAGAAAAUAGAAAGAAAAAAUAAAAGGAAAAAAAAAUUGAGGGAAAAAAAAUUGAUAUAUUUCACUUAUUUUUCAGCUUUUAUAUAAAAAUCAAAUAAUUUGAAAAUAUAUAAGUUUAUAAUUAAUUUUUAUUUUUUUCAUAUAUUUUCCCUAAUAAAAGUAAGCAUAAGAAAAUAAUUUUAUUUAGCAGGGACUAAACAUAACCUAGUAAGACAAGAAAAAAAUAUUAAAAAAAGUGUUUUUCUCAUCUUUGGUUUGGUUUUGUGAUGAAAAAUAUGAAUAAAAAUAAAAUAUAAUUAAAAUAGUUAGAAACUCUUGUAUUUUUAAAUUAUUUAAUAUUUAUAGAAAAGUAAAAACUAAAACAUGUUUAAAUCAGCAUAUAAAAAUAAUUUGUUAUUCUUAAAUCUAAUUUUUAUUUUCCUUUAUAUUUUCUCUUCUACUAUUUUUCCUUUCUGUUUUUUUUUCCUUGUGUUUUCCCCCAAAUUUUCCAAAAACCAAACAUAUACCUUUAUGAAUCCUGUCCAUAUCCUAGGGAAGAUAAAUGGAAAAAGAGAGAAAAAAUAACUGAAAAGAAUAAAAGUAAGGGAAGCUUCUUCAUUAAGUAUGCCAUCUUGUUACUAUCUGCAGGGCCAGAAACCUGAAGAUGCAAGAACUCAUUUUCCAGAAUUCAACUCAAUGAUGGAAUACCAUCCUCAAAAAAUUCGGAACAUACAGUUUUCUAAUUCUACAUUUGCUUCGAAUAUGCACUAGGCUUGAAAUCUAUAAUAUGUGGUAAUGAAAUUCAUAAUGAUUCAUAGACCUGAUAAGGAAAAAGCUCCUCAAAAUGGUCAUUCUACAAACUGACUCUUCUUUUUAUUCAAAGAGAUCAGUUCUCUUAACAAGCAACUUUUUACUAGAUUCCUAUAUAUCACACACAAUAUGUCGACAAUUCUGGCAUGGGCCGGUCAAUAAACAGACUAUAAAAUCCUGUGUCUGAUCAUUGAGGAGGAAAACUUGUUCCUUCUAAAAAUUCCAGGCAGUCAGUCACAGAGUACAAAAUAAGUCUUCUUUCUAUGAGUGCAUAAGGUAUCCAGCUGCAAUACCGAUGAGGGCAAUUAUCAGAACAAACAGGAAAGGGAAACCCACCCGGACUCUUCUCACAUCACUCUUCUUCCUCAACAUUGCCUGCAAAUAGAGGAUAACAAAUGGGUUAUAUCAGAAGCAGCCUCUGAAGUUUAUUGCACUUGGGACAAAUAAGAUGGCUAUGUACUAUAAUAAAAUAGAAAAUAAAAGUUGUAAGACUGAUAUACAUCAUGAGUUGAAAUCCUAACCGCUUAAACUUUUAAGAAAAUUGGCAACUCAAAAUGGUAUCAAAGCUCUGCUCAACUGGAGGUCUUUAGGAAAAUUGGUGACUCAAUACAAGUUAUGUCAAAUUCAAGUGGAGGAGGGACCCGGCAAUUUUCAAUCAACAAUCCUGCCGUCAUGCAAUCACAGUGUGGAACAUAGUAAAUGCUGUGUACCUCUGCAAUUAACUGGAACAAAGAUGGCAUCUAAUUCAUAAUUGUUUUUAUUCUACCCACCAUUACAUGGAUCUAGGUGAUUGUGUAAAGAUUGUGAUCAAAACAUAAAGGAGCCAAAUGUAGCUCUAUAUUAUAGCAAUGCACAAAUUAUAUUUGAGUGUUAAUAUACUUCAUUACUAAUCAUUUAUUUGACUAAACAGAACUACUGUCACACAUCUUUUACUGUCAAAGAUCUGGUCAAUGAGUAUGAUCCACUGGUUAUGCUAUAUGAGAGUUGGCUUCCCAAGCUCAACAAUGGAGUGACUGGGCAACUGAUAAUCCACUGUUCCUAUAGACCUGAUCCACUGUAAUUUGCAACCAGUUUGGGGGAGUUUAUUUGUACAGAAAAUAGUGCAUUUUCCAUAUUGUGAGAUAAUGCAUUUAUUGACAAUCGCACCAACAGUCAGUGCAAUAACUUGAGCACAUAACUUAGAAUCAUUCCCAGGUAAAGCAAUAUUGAUUUUGCAAUGAAGUAUUGCAAAAACCAUGGCAUUUAGUUUGGCCACCAUUUACAGGAACUUGGAUUUCAGAUCAAGGAUAAAAAAAUCCCAGACAGUUCAACAGAAAGAAUUCUCACUGGUUAACAAGAAAUACAGCACAAAUAGAGAAUAUCUAUUCACACUCCUACAAUCAAUUAAAUAGUUCAGAGUAUUCAGUCAGAAAACUCCAUUAGGAGCAUGACUUGUAAAAAUAAAUAAUCAACCAGACAAAUAUGUCAUCUAAGGUUUUAUUUAUUUUUAUUCUUUAAUUUUUUUUUUCCUGUUGUUGAUAUUCAAUCAAGUGAAUGUAUUCCACCAGAUUCUCUGCUUGUUACUCUAAUAAUCAUUCUAUCAGGUUACUUUGGUUACCAAAAGGUAGAGAUGGCAGGGACCAUUUUCCGGGUUCAUAACUUAAGAUAUUAACCAUGACAAAUGAUGAAAAUAAUAGAGGGCACGAGGUGAAAAUAAUUACUUACUAGUUCAUGCUUAAGUGUUUCCUUCUCCCGAGUGGCCAUGCUCCUUUCCUCUGUUAGCUUUGUGAUAAUAAGUUUAGCCUACAGAGAAUUCCACCAGUUCUUAAUCAGUUUGUCACAAUUUUCUUCAGACUUCAAGGAGAGAAUGCACUAAUAUGAGCAAAAAGAGAAGCAUGGGGAUAAUUUCCUAUUGCAUGUAUUAUAUGAACUUAAUCUUGAAAUUGGGCCAUGUAUUCAAAGAUUAGGUGCACAAUAAUACAUGGUAAGCCUGUUCACCAUUUACAGGAGUUGCUUUCUGAUGACCAACAUGAAGGAAAGAGUUUCCCUUGAUAUUAGAAAGCAAACCACAAACAACAAUAUUUGCUCCUACAAUAAUAUUUAACAUUUGCAAUAUUUCUUGAAAAGUAAUGUUCAAAAUUACCUUGGAUACCAAACAAGAUAGCAGCUAACAGCCAGAUUUGCUUUCUUUUUAUUUCUUUUUCUUUUUUUUUUUUUUUGGGGGGGGGGGGGGGGGACCAAACUCAACUUAAAAUGCAAUAUCUAACUACAUAAAGCCACAAUUGUGGCCAAAGGUUUCACUCUGAAAAGGGGGGUGAGAUAAGGAGACCUUCUCCCCCGUAUCUAUAAAUACUCACUCAACGUCAGUAGGGGCUUUUUUUUGCUCAAUUUGAUUUAGACUACCCCAAAUGGAUUUCAAAUCUGUUUUUCUUAAAGGGAGUAAAGGACAAANNNNNNNNNNNNNNNNNNNNNNNNNNNNNNNNNNNNNNNNNNNNNNNNNNNNNNNNNNNNNNNNNNNNNNNNNNNNNNNNNNNNNNNNNNNNNNNNNNNNCCCCUCUGCCGGGACCAACGUGAAGGAAGGAGUUUCCCGUGACACGGAAAGCAAACCCCAAACAACAAUAAAGGGUCCUGCAAUUAUAUUUAACCUUUGCAAUAUUUUUUGAAAAGUUAUGUUCAAAAAUACCUUGGAAACCAAACAAGAUAGCAGGUAACAGCCCGAUUUGCUUUAUUAUAAAUUUCUUAUCUUUUUUUUUUUUUUUGGGGGGGUGGGGGGGGGGGGGGGGUAUACUAAAAAAAUAUAACUCAUACAAUUUUCUAAUUAUUUUUCUCCAUGAACCCCCUUCCAAAGAUUGAGACAUAGCUCAGGAAACCAGCUAUUUUUCUCUUCAGUCAUUUGCUUAUGUGAGCAUCAUCUCACCUGAAUCCUUUCCCCAAACACAUGACCAGAAGUCUGAGUAAACACAAAAUCAAAAGUUACAGCACUACAAGCAAGAGUCUAGGAUGGAAAAGACUGACCUCACUUAGGUUUAGCUCUACUACAUUUAGCUUUGAAUUCAACUCCUCAAUGUCCUUGGCUAAGUUCUCCUUAGCAAUAUCAUUUGUUAACUUCAGUUCAUCCACAUCCUCGGCUGGUCUUGACUCCACAUCCUUAGCUGCUCUUGACUCAUCUGUAACUUUAGCAGUUUUGAACCCCUCUACAUCCUUAGCUACCUGACACAAUAGAGACAAUAAUUGUUACCAGUCCAAAAAGAGAAUCCCAUACAAAAUGGUUAUUGUUCUCAAUAUCACAUUCUUUCUGUUGUUUGAAGUAUAUAGAAUUUUUCCUAUUAAGUUAAUAACAAAUAAAUGACAGAGACAAGAAGUUAGACAAUCCCAGAAAAAAAGUGAACCCAGAAAUGGCAUACCAACUACAUGUACAUCCUUGUAUAUUUCCCAGGACUUUUGAUAAAGUCAGGGCCCAAAAUCUCAACGUAGAAAAGCUGCUUCAGUUAGGAGGGGGUGAGAUGAGAUUAAAAGACAAUAUAACUAUUUCUCUUACCACAUGAGCUGGGGGGGUGUUUUCAACUCCACUCAGCAAUUGAUCUUUUUGUGAAAAAUUUUCAUGACAUGGAUCUUGCUUCAAUAAUCCAUUAAGUGGUAGCAAUACAGGAGAAUGAGCAGGGCCAAUGAGAACCACUCUUAGUUUUUUCUCUUCAAGGUAUUUGCCACUAUCUUUUGCAAACUGCCAAAAGAACAAUAAGAAAAAUAACGAAGAACAAGCUAAAACCAAUUGCAACCUUAAAUUCUUACCAUGUCAGAUCUAAUAUCGGUUUCAGUUGUACCAUAGGGGACAACUGUGCUUUGAAUCAGGAACUUAUCUUUACACUGCAUAUCAGGUGGAGCUACACGCUGAGCUUGCAUGGUAACUGUAGCCAAAAGGUGAAGUGUGAAAAUUCUAUUAUGGAAGGUUGAUGCUGGCAUAAAUGAAAUACAGGUAAUAUUGCUGGUAAUAAUAACCAUGUCAAAUGCAUAAACUGCAUUUGACAACAUAGGAAGGAACAAAUGCACAAUGACGAAUUGCAAUCUUUCUGCUUGUAAAGGUUUUUUAAUAUAUAUUUUACUACUUAAGUUUCUAAAUUAAACUUCACAAGCAAAUUUUAAUAUACUUAUGGUAGGUUGCACAUUCUUUUUUGCCAUUCAACCCUAUUCAAGGCCAUAGUCCUCAUUGAGUCAUUUGCAAUCAUGUUUUUCCCUUGACUUCCCAACCAACGUUCCUUUUAUCCUUCUACUUGUUCUAGUGACAUGUUCAACUUUAAUCAGAUCACUCCUUGUUGAUGUAUUCAUCAGUCGUCCUUGCACAUAACUAGACUAUUGUAACCUUGUCUUUGCCUCAAGAAUUGACGUCUCCAACAUCUACCAAAUGACUCCAUUCAUUAUGCUUUCUUUUCAUGUAUUGCCACCCAUCCAUCUUAAUAUCCUUAAUCUACUAAACUUGUUCUUUUAACGCGUUGUUCUGUAACAGCCUAUCUUUUGUACCAUAAAAUCGAACUUUUAGGCGACUUAAGUUGGCCUCAUAGCUAAUAUAGGAGUUCUUACCAAAAUCAAAACCAAAGAAGUUGGGUGCAUACAUCUAAAAUGGCAGCAUAAUCUUCUUGUUGAUAAAGCAUAGUAUCUCUAACUUCUAUUCUGUAGAAUAUUCCUUUAAAUUGAUCUGUGCUUGUUGGUUAAAAAGAUCGAACAUAUGACACAGGCCACACAUUUAACACAGAGAAAAUUUAGUAGGUGUAUGAGAGAAGCAUAAGACAAUAAUUGAUUAGGUCAAGGGUAGAAACAUACCCAUGACAUCACAUUCUGCAUUUGGCUUAACAACGCCUGUGUUCGGUCGCACACAAUAUCUUUUUGGAGAUGUGGUCUUCACCUGCCAAAAUGAUUCUAAAAUCAUACCGGCAUCAAUUGAUCACCUUAAGCAAACCAGAGUUUCUUCAUGUUGGAACCCUUCUCCAUAGUCCGUAAGUAUUAUACAUUUCCUUCUAUACUUAAUUGAAUGAUGAGAAGUAGUAGAAUAUUAGGCAUGAAACCAAAUUUUCCUAACAAUAAAUUUUCCCAGGAGGAAGAGCAGGAGACUACUUGAGAAUUCUACUGAAGAAUACAAUGCAUGAUCAAAGAAAGAAAAAAUAAAAUCUGCACCUUGAAAGCGAGAUAUUGAUCGGAUUUAUUGACAAGGUGAAUUGAGCAUGAACUUUGUUUCUUCAACUCAACUGGAAAGAGAAGAUAUGUCAGAUUUUCCAGUUUACACGCAUCAGGUUCCAAUUAGUUCUCAGAAAAAUAAGGAGGGAAAGAGAAGGAAAAUUCUUACAUGUGAACUUGAGUUCGCGUGGUUGAAUCUCCAAGAGCUCCAUAGCGAUUUAUCUUUGCAGAAAAACAAAAUCGAACACUGCAGACAGCAAUCGCUAAAUUUUUGUCUCUAAGAUGGAAAAUGCGAAGGGGUACACUGUAGAAAUCAAUCCACAAAACCUCAUGCACUAAACCAAACAACGAAAGGCAAAAUACUGCCAACAGAUCAAAGUUUACAGCCAAAUAAAUAAGAGAAAGGAAAGAAAAACACACACAAUUUCAAAGAUCAACCACUGGAACAAUGCAAAGUACUCAAACGAUUGUUCCUUUCCACUAAUGCUCCGUUCGGUUGCCAAGAAAACCAGAUGAAAAUGAAAAGAAGAGAAAAAACUAAAGCGUCCAUGAUUAUAGAAAUAAAAAAGAACGCUGCUCCAAAUUCCACAUUUCUUUUCAAUUCCCAACACUCAUCCAAACCCAUACACCAAAAUCCAACGAUCAACAACAGUACUGACAACAAGGUAAACACCAAAAAUCAAAGCAACCCAAAGAAAAAGAAAAAAGAAAGAAAAACUUACUGGGCUAGAAAAUGGAGAUUGAAAGGGAGCGGAGAACAAUAGAGAAGAAUUUAAGUUAAUGAAUUUAGGGAGAGAAAAAGACAAAAAAGGAGAGCUGUCAACAGUUCGGUAGAGGGGUCUUUUCAAUUCCCAACACUCAUCCAAACCCAUACACCAAAAUCCAACGAUCAACAACAGUCCUGACAACAAGGAAAACACUCAAAAUCAAAGCAACCCAAAGAAAAAGAAAAAGAAAGAAAAACUUACUGGGCUGGAAAAUGGAGAUUGAAAGGGGGCAGAGAACAACAGUGAAGAAUUUAAGUUGAUGGAUUGAGGGAGAGAAAGAGAGAGAAAAAGAAAGCAGUUAACAGUUUGGUGGAACGGUAUGAUAAUUGUGAGUGAGUGAGUGAAGAAGAAGAUGAAGUGCAAGUCAAGUAUCAUGGGUAUAGAGAAGGCGUUGGUUCGCUUGUUUGUUUGUGUGUGGCCUUGUGGGCGGUUGUACCUGCUGGACUGUCCGUUCUCUUUUGAAAUUUUUUCCUCUCUACCAAUAGUAGUAUGCUUUCCCAGCACUCCUUCAUUUCUGGUUUGAAUUUCUUUCCCAUUUUCGGAACUUUUGGUACCCACAUUUUCAAAAUUCCUUUCCCCAUCAUAAAACGGUCGUUUUCUUUUUCAAUACACAUGCUUUUUGUAAUGCAUCUCAACAAAUACUUAGGAGAAAGGUCACCCAACGCAUUUUUCAACGUUUCAAAAUUUGAAUCUCUCGUCUUCACUGUUACUAAUCCUUUAUGAUUUAACGUUUGAGCUCGAACGCUCCCUCUGAAUUGUAUAUAGCAUGGUUUAAUGAUUUUGGACUUUGGUUGACGAUCAUUUUUGAAAAUAGUUUCAAACCCAUUUCUUAAAUACCUUUUUAGACAUUAAAAGUAAAUGAUUAUUCACCUUACUUUCCAAAGAAAUUGAAUAAUUUCUUCAAAAUCUUAUAAAAUCCAUUCCUCCUUUUUACUUUGAUAGAUCACUUCAUCCGGGUUCAAAAGAAGAAAUAAAUUUAUUUCCUUCAAAACAUUUUUCAUAACCCAACCAAACCCUAUAAUAAGAAUGUUGAUCCAAUCCAUUUGAUAGUGUUUUUGCUCGAAGUGUUUUUAAUAAAAAUAUUUUCUCUAAAUGUGUUUUUAGAAGAAUAGUCUAUGAAGUGUUUUUACUAAAAUUUACCAAACACCUAAGUUGUGUUUGAAAACUGUUUUUUAGAAUGGUUUUCUGUUCUUUAGAACAAAAAACAUAAAAAACACAUUUGACAACUAAAAACCAUUUUCUGUUUUCUAUUCUUAAAAAACAAAAAAUAAGAUUUUCAUCAGAAAAACACAUUUGACUACCAAAAAACCAUUUUCAAGAUUUUCAUAAAAUAUCUUUUAAUUGUUUUAUAUUAUGUUAACUUGUUUUCUUAAGAUUGUUUUAAGAAAUAAUUAUAUAAACAUAUAGAAUAAUUAAAAAUAAAAUACUAGAUUUAAAUUUAUUUUUAAAAAUAUUUAAAACAAAUUAAAAAUAUUUUAAAUUUUCAAAUAUACUUUUGUUUUACAAAAAUUAGAAAACACUUUUAAAAAACUAUUUUUUAGAAUUAUUUUUUAAAAUAAUUAUCAAAUAAACUCCUAAUUUUUUUCAAAAAUAUUUUUUAAAUUAAAAACACUUUUUAAAAUUACUAUCAAAUGAAUUUUUAGUUCAAUUUUAUAAUAAAAUUUGCAAUAACUUGGACUCUAAUCAAACAAAAUAUUAUUCAAAGUAGCUUUUUUUUUGUUAUUUCUUUUUUCUAAAAUUAGUUUGAAUUAGAAAUACAAUUUAUAGAAAUUAGAUACCACAAUUUUAAAUUGUAAUUUCUAAAUAUGGAAUAAAAUUGUAAUUUCAAAACAUGAUCUCUAAAUUUAUAUUAAAAUUAGCAUUUUUAAAAUAAAGUUUGAAACAGGAGAUUCCAAAUAUAUGUUUGACAAAAUUACCUAAUAGGGUAGGCUAGAUGGAAUAAUUACUAGGAAGGUUCACUCAUGUCAAGGAUUUUUAGCGGACAAUUUUAUCCUUUAAUAUGUUUUCUAUAUUAUUUAUAAAUAAAUUUGAGAUUGUCAAUUAUAUGGGUUCAUACAUGAUGAUAAGUACAUGUAAUUAAUAGUACAUUUAUCGGACCCAAAAAAAUUGUUAUUCACUUUUGAAUAAUCAAGUGACUGUUUAAAAAUUUUGCAAUUUUUUUUUUUCAAAAAAAUUGAGAUUUUUUAAAGAACCUUGUAAAAAAAAGUAAUUUUCAAGAUCUCAUAAAUAAAAACCAUAUAGUAAGAUUUAUUAUAUCGUUUUAUAUAUGAAAUAUAUAAUUAAAAACUUUGUUACUAUAAUAGAAUGAAUAAUUAUUUUUUACGAGUACUCAUCAAUUGAAUAAUAAAUAAAUAUACAAUUGACUAACACACAAUUAUUAAAUGGAAUAAUUCACAAUUAUUCAUUGGGUAAUAUAACACAUGAAAAAAUUAAAUAAAAAUAAAUUAAAUUAUGUUGUAAUAUAUUGUAAUGAUAGUGUAUUUGUAUUGUAAGUAUAAUACAUUUAUGUCGUACCUAUAUUUCAUUACAAAAGUAAUAAUUCUAAAAAUUCUUAUUGGUAUUAACACAUUGUAUCAAUAUAUUAACAACAUUCAUCUAGUACAUUGAAAUUAUUUAAUAAUUUUUGUACAUAUAUAUAUAAACUACGAGUCUCGUGAAUUCAAAUUUGUAUUUCAUUGGGUUUCAUAAAUUAUUUAUGAUAUAAGCAUGUUGUGAAAUAUGAUAUGAUCAUACAAAAUUAUCAUUUUUAUAAAAAAAAUUUCAAAAAUUUCCUAAUUAGGUUUUAUUGUAAUGUAAGUGUAUUUAUAUUGUAAUUGUAACAUAUUUUUGUUGUACCUGUAUUUUAUAAUAAAAGAAAUAAUCUUGAAGAUCACUUUUUAUACCUCGUUAAUAUUCAACAUAUCAAAUGUAUUAACAUCAUCCACUCGAUGCAUUGAGAAAACAAAUUAUAUACGAAAAUUAAGAAAAAAAACACUAUACAAAAAAAAAAAAAAGCAUAUAAAUUUUUAAAAAUUAUUUUAUUUUAAAAAAUAAAAAAUGAUUAAAUAUUCUCCAUCAUUUUCUUAUUUUUUUUAGAUAAUCUGAAUGAAAAAUUAAAUAUUUUAUCUUCCUUAAAUUUAAUACAAAAACAUAAUUUAUCAAUUUAAAAUAUAUAUAUAUAUAUAUAUAUAUAUAUAUGUGUGUGUGUGUGAAAAAAUCAUUAUUUUUAUUGUAUAAUUAUAAAACUUAUUUUUUUCUUAAUAAAAUUAAAAAAUAAAUAAAAAAUAAAAAAUGUUAAAAAAGAACAAUAAAUGAUAUUUUGAAAAAAAAAUUUAAGUAUUUUUGUUUUAAAUAGUAAAUUUAAAUAAUAAAUUAUAUAUAAUUGUAAGGGUUAAACCCAAAAUUUUGAUUUAAAAUUUUAAAUAUUAAUAAUUACAAUAAAUGUGGGUCACGCACCAUGAAUUUCUUGAUAAAUUAAAUAAAGUAUUUUAAAUGCUUUAAAUUUUAAAAAUAUUAGUUGAAGGACCAUUUUGAUAUUUAACCCUAUUAAAGUCCUCCACGAAUUAUUAAAAGAGACCUUUCCAGUAGGCAAUUCUCCCUGUAUGUUUUAAUGGCCGGGCCAAAAGGACACGCCACACACAGUAGCAUGAGCCCUUAGUCCACUUUCAAGGAGGAGAAGCAUAAAUGAACAACCAGAAACGUCCCAUGCCAUGGAUAAACCCAAAUAGAGAGGAAAGCUCAUUUGUCACGGCUCCAUUUGGCCUUGGGAAAUAAAUUAUUGUACUUGCCUCAAUUUAUUUCAUUGGAAAUGCUUCCUAAAAUAUAUUGAUAACCAGUUUUUAGAAUUAUUUUUUGUUUUCAAAAUAAAAAAAAUCAAGAAAACGUGUUUCACGAUUAAAAAUUAUUUUAUUUUUUUUAUUUUUUAAAAUAAAAAAUAAGAUAUUUUCAGAAAACACAUUUUAGUUAUUUUAUAUUGUUUUUAUUUAUUUUAUUAUUUUUAAAAAUAAUUAUAUAAAGAUAUACAGUAAUAAAAAAAUUAAACACUGAGUAUAAAAAUUAUUGUUAAAAUGUAAAAAAAUUUUAAACUGAUUUUUGUUUUAUAAAAUAUUAAAAAAUUAUUUUCAAAAAUUGAUUUUUAGAAUUGUUUUAAAAAACAAUUAGGAAACAAGUCCUAUGUUUUGGAGUAUUUUUAUUUGACAUACUUUUAAUAAAAAUAUAUUUUUUAAAAGUGUAUUUGAAAGAACCCGAGUUUUUAAAAAAACAGAAUUAUACUAUAAAUACUUUCUAAAAGUAGAAUCACACUGACUCUAGGUUAAUCAUAAUGUUUCUAACCUCUUAAUACUGGGAUUUAAUUUGGGGCCUUCCCUCCAACGUAAUGGGUGGAUUUGAGUAAUUAUUUUUUUGCAUUCAAAUUGAAUUUGGAUUAAUUUUCUCAAAUGAAAAUCAGUUCUAGAGAGAAGUCUGAAUAAUUAGAAAUAUAAUCCAAGAUUUUUAUACAUAUUUAUAAUUUAUAUAAUUGUCAUUAUAUAAUAUUCAUUUUAUAUGUUUUUCAAAUAAUAUUAAAAUGAAAGUGUCAAGUUUAAUUUUCUCACGUAAUAUUUCAUUUUACUAAAUAUAUUGAUAAAAUUUAUUUAUUUUUUAUUAUUAUCUCAAAAAAAUCAGAUUUGUUGGGUUGGGAUUGAAAACAUCCAAUAAAAUUGAGGAUUUCUUAAUUUAGAAUUAACAAAAUUUGUUGUAAAGUAAUGAAACCAUAUGAAUUAUGACUCUGUACCAAAUUUGGCCUACUUUUCGUAAUACACCGUGACACUUUUUUUAUUUGAAAAGUAACCUGUUUUUACAUAAAUAUCAUUUAUCAUUUCAAGUAUUUAUACAUAAGUUUUCAAAGAAAAUAUUAUUUUUAAAAGAAUAUAGCGAGGGAAUUUUUGAGAGUUAGUGUAAAAAAUGUCACUGUGUAGUGUGAAAACUGAAAAGUAAGUCGAUUCAUAAUUUGUAUAUUAUUUCAUCAAUUUUAACCAAAUAAUUCUUAUAAGUUUAUUUGAUUAAAAGGGUCAAUGAAAACUCAAUUUUUGAAAUUUAAUUGUAUGUUUAUUUUUUUAUCUCAUUUUGAAAAAAAUGGCCUCAUUAUUUUUUUUUAAAUAACAUUUUCUUACAUGUAAAUACUUGAAAUGGUAAAGGGUAUUUAGGUUAAAAAUUAGUUACUUUUCAAAUAAAAGUAUGAGAAAUAUUAUAUUCACGAUUCGUUACAUUUGUUACAAAGAGUUAAUAACUUUGGGUGCAAAUUAGAAGACCAUUAUAAUUUUAUCAAUACAAAGAGCUACAUUUUUAUUCCAUCAUCAAUUAAUUUACGAGAGCUUAUUAUUCUAUUAUCCUAUCAUAUGCAUAAUAUAAUCUCUUAAAACAGUUAUGAAGUGAAUGAAAAUUCAUUCACAUUGUGUCAUAAAUAAUUGAAUUGUGUCAAGAAAAAGAAUGAAACUUCUUGUUUGAGAUAAAAUUUUAAGUUUGCUUCAUUUUCAAAUUCUUACACUUGCAAGGAACUUUUUUUUUGCUCACUUCAUCAUGACAUGUCUAUGUGUAUGAUUUGGUCUUUUUUAAAAUCAAAUGUAAUAAAAAAAAAAAGUAAAUUAAAAUGAGUGAACUAAUUACCUUGUGUGUUCAAGAAAAGCAAAGGCUUAAAGCAAAAAAAUCUUGAUAUAACGUAUCUUAUCAUUAUAGGUCUAAGUAAAAAAUCUUUCAAGAAAUGUAUGGGUAAGAAAAAAAAAAAAAGACAAGGUAACAAUACAUUUCACAACGAGAAAGAAGUUAACAGUAUAAUAUGAUGUCACUUUUGUCUUGAGAAAUGGUCUAAAAGAAAAAAUGGUUUUGGUUUGAAAUCUUAGUUGGAAAAGACUACAUAAGGGAGAGCAAAAUCAUUACCUUAAGAUGGAUUAGAAGUAGACAUUAAGACUAUGAACAUUCUAUGUUUAAUUUCAGGUAUUAGUUUCACUAUGGAUUUAUUGAACACUAUCAAUGUUCCUAUUUUUACUAAAAACCUAACUUCAGUUCCAAGACUUGAUUCAUAUGAUUUUGAGUUAAAGUUUGGAAAUGGUGAAGUUUUUCGAUUCUAAAAUUUUCAUUUGGUUUGUUUUGAAAUUAUAUAAGGGAAUCUUUAUUCAUCAAAUUUAUACUGUAUACAAUCUCUUUUAUCCUAUAUAUAUAAUCUCUAAAAAAAAUUAUGAAGUGAAUGAAAUUUAAUCCAUAUUAUGUCAUAAACAAUUGAAUCGUGUAUCAAGAGAAACAAUGAAACAUCUUAUUAAAGGCAAAAUUUUAAGUUCACUUUAGUUGCAUUGAGUAUAUCAAACAAACAUAUGUUAAGAAACGGUUUAUUGUUCAAUUCAUCACAAAUAAAGAAAAAGAUGAAUGAUAUGAUACUUCAAUUGAAAGAAAUGAACAUGAUAAUCUCUAAAGGUUUUUUUGUUCACUUCAUCAUGACAUAUCUUCGUAUACAAUUUGACCUUUCUAAAAUAGAUUAUAAUACAAAAAGAAAAUGAUGAAUGAAAAAUAAGUAAAUUAAUUACCUUGUGUGUUCAAGAAAAAGAGAGGCUUAAAGCAAAAAAGUUGAUAUGACUUAUUUCACCAUUAUAGGUCUAAGUAAAAAAUCUUUCAAGAAAGAUAUGGGUAAGAAAAGAAACAAGAUAAGAGUAUGAUACAAUAUCACUUUUGCAUUGAGAAAGAGCAUAAAAGAAAAGAUGGCUUAGGUUUUAAGCCGUUAAAAAAGACUAAGUAAGGGAGAGCAAACCAUUACCUUAGGAAAAUGGAAUAGAAGUAGACAUUGAAGCUAUUGACACCCUUUGUUCAAUUUAUUAUAUUAGUCUUAUUAUGUGUUCAGUUUAGUUUCAAGACUAGAUUCAUAUGAUUUUGAUAAAAUUUUAAGUUCACUUAAUUUUUUUUAUUUUAACACUUCCAUUGAAUAUUUUAAAUAAAAAUACACUAAGAGAGGCUUUCUUGUUCACUUUUAUCAUAAAUAAAGAAAAAGAUAAGUGAUAUGACAUUGCAAUUGAAAUGAAUGAAUAAGACAUCUCUAAAGGUUUUCUUGUUUACUUCAUCAUCACAUAUCUUCAUGUAGAAAUUGGUCUUUCUAAAAUUAAUUAUAAUAAACAAAAGGAUAAAUGGAAAAUGAGUGAUCUAAUUACCAUAUGUGUUCAAGAAAAUGAGAGGCUUAAGAAACUUAAUAUGACUCAUCUCACCAUUAAUGGUCUAAGUAAAAAAUCUUUUAAGAAAGGUAUGGGUAAGAAAAAAGAAACAUGAUAAGAGUAUGAGACAAUGUUAUGUUUAUCUUGAAAAGGCAUAAAAGAAGAGUUAGUUUAGGUUUUAAGUCUUUGUUGGAAAAAACUAAGUAAGAGAGCAAAUGACUAUUUAAGGAAAAUAGAACUGAAGUAGACCUAAUUUCAGUUCCAAGACCUAAUUCAUACGUUUUUUAGUUAAAAUUUUGAAAUAGAGAAGUUCCACAAUUCUAAAAUUUUCAUUUAAUUUGGUUUGACAUUUUAUGUGUGAAUUUUAUUCAUUGAAUUUAGACCUUUAUGUACAAUCUCAUCCUAUCAUGUGCAUAUUAUAAUCUUUAAGAAAAGAGGUCAAGUUAACGAACAUUCAUCCAUUUUGUGUCAUAAACAAUUGAAUCAUGUAUCAAGAGAAAUGAUGAAACAUCUUAUGAAAGAAAAAGUGUUAAGUUCACUUCAUUUUUUUAUUUUAACACUUGCUUUGAAUAUAUAAAUAAAGAUACACUAAGAGAGGGUUUCUUAUUCACUUCAUCAUGAAUAAAGAAUAAGAUAAGUGACACGAAAGUUCAAUUAAAAGGAAUGAAUAUGAAAAUCUCUAAAGUUUUCUUGUUUAUUUUUUUAUGACAUAUCUUUGUGUACAAUUUGGUAUUUCCACUAAGUGAGGGUUUCUUAUUCAUUUUAUAACGAAUAAAGAAAAAGAUAAGUGAUAUGACAAUUCAAUUAAAAGAAAUGAACAUCACAAUCUUUAAAAGUUUUCUUCUUCACUUCAUCAUGACAUAUCUUCGUGUACAAUUUGGUCUUUCUAAAAUUAAUUGCAAUAAACAAAAUAAAAAAUGAAAAAUCUAAUCACCAUGUAUGUUCAAGAAGAUGAAAGGCUUAAGCACAAAACUUGAUAUGACUCAUCUUAUCAUUAUAAGUCUAAGGAAAGAAUUUUCUAAAGGUAUGAGUAAGAAAAAGAAACAAGAUAACGAUGCAUCUUAUAAUAACAAAAGAAAUAAGAGUAUGAUGCGAUGUCACAUUUGUCUUGAGAAAAGACACAAAAAAGGGUUUUGGUUUUAAGUCUUAGUUGAAAAAAAAAAAAAAACAAGGGGAAGCAAACCAUUAAGGUUGUUGACACUGUAUAUUUAAUUUUGAAUUUUAGUUUUAUUAUAGAUUUAGUGGACAUCAUUUAUUUUACUAUUUUUAUUAUAAACUUAAUUUCAAUUCCUAGACUUGACUCAUACAAUUUUGUGUUAAAGUUUGGAAAUAAAGAGGUUUCUCGAUUUUAAAAUUUUCAUUUGAUCUAUUUUGACAUUUUAUAUGGGAAUCUUUAUUCAUCGAAUUUAGACUACCGUUAUAUACAAUCUCUUUUAUCCUAUCAUGUUUAAUUCAUCGAAGAUUCAUUUAAUGAGGUCAAAAUCCAAGGUCCAAGAAUAUAUGAUUAAGAAAUUUGUCUUAAAGUUAUAUUUCGUUGAUUUGACAAUGAGGCCAUUGAAAAUUCAAAUCAUAAAAAUAUAUAAUGUUGUUGUUUGUUUCUUUGGAAAUAAAAAGCUACAAAAGGAUCAAAACACACUAACGAUAAGUAUUUGACCAUAAGGGAAAAAGUUCAAAAUGAAGUCAUCUUUCUUAAAAACAUGUUAAUACUAUACUCAUGUUGGAAAAUUUUCAAUUAAAUAACUUUCACUUAAGAUCUUUAGAAAUUGUGUUGCAUGCAUCUGACUUAGUGGAAAACAUAUCUUAUAUGGAUUGAUGAAAGAGAAAUGUUAUAUCAACGCAUUGUAAAUAAAAUUAAUAAUAAGGAUUUUGUCACUUUUAUACAUAAUAUUGCUAAUAUCAUCCAAUUCACACCCAUGAAAGUACUAAUACUGUAAUAUUUGAAGAAAGUUUAAUAUCUUUUUGGUAACUGUUUUUUAAAAUGAUUUUUUCUUUCUCCAAAACAGAAAAAUAGAAAAAUAUAUUUAGCAAUUAGAAAAUAGUUUUUCAUUCUUAAAACACAGGAAAUAAGGUAUUUCAGAUAACAUCUUUUAAUUAUUUUCAAUUGUUUUCACUUAUUUUUUUCGGGUUGUUUUAAAAAAUAAUUAUACAAAUAUAGAGAAUGAUUAAAAAUAAAGCACCACAUAUAAAUAUUAUUUUUGAAACAUAAUUAAAAACAUAGAAAAUAAGUUAAAAUUAUUUUAGGUUACUAUACAGACAUUUUUUUUUACAAAAAUAGUUUUUAGGAACUAUUCUCAAAAGUUGUUUUUCAAAACCGUUUUUCAAAAAAAUUAUCAAACUGAGCCUUAUACAUUGAGUGAUUCAAUGAUUCCAAUGAUUUAGUAUCAAUGGUUUCGGGGGAGAUUUUUCAUUAGGAUAGUUUUGUAUCUCAUAUCAUGUUUAUUAUCUAAUACAAAUAAACACGUGGCCAAGUGGGAAAUUAGUGAUUUUUCCUAUGAUAUGUGGUUUGAGGUCUAUGAAUAAUUAUUUUAAUUAAAUAUUUUAUUCUUCGAAUAUUUUAAGUGCAAAUUAGAAAAUAAUUACCCUUAUUAUGAACACAAAGAGUUACAAUUAUUAGGAAGAGCUAGUAUUUUUUGUGUAAAUUAGAAUAUCACCACAUUUUUAUGAGUAUAAAAAUUACAUUUUUAUUCUCAAUCAACUUACAAAUGAGAGUUUAUUAUAAUAAUUUUGUUAUAUUGAUUAAUAAAAAUCAUGUCAUAAUUGUAAAUAAUGUGAAAAUGAAGGUAAGAUCGUAACAUAUAUAUUAAUGAUCUUUGAUGAAAAGUUCAAAAAAUUAAUUAUGUUUAUAUAAAGUCAAAACCCCAAGUCACGUUUUUACUUUUAGUUGUUGAUGAACUUUCGUGACAUCUUAUACCACACUUCUCACUCGUCAAUAAUAGUGAGAGUGAUGAUUUGAAAAUCUCGAAUUAUAUCAUAAGAAAAUUAAUUCCAGUCAUAGUAUAUAUCGAUAAAAUGAUUUCAUACUAUUUAUCAAGAUAAUAUUUACUUUAAUUAUGAUUUUAUACAUCAAAGUCUAUGGUUACACAUCAUGUUGCAUCUAACAUGUUGGCAUUUGUUGUUGGAUUCAAGCCACCAAUUCAUUUUAAUUGUUGACAUAUUAAAUAAGAAAGAUGAGCCAAUUGGUUACGGCAAAGUUAGUUGGGAAUUGAAAGAACUGUCCCAUGGAGGACCAACCUAUUUUCUAGUUAACCUACCUCCACUUUCCUAUUCAAUGAAUUUCAUGCCUAUCAAAUAUGGAAGAAAGAAAAAUAAUAUAAAUAGCUUAUUCAUUUUCGUAACUUUAAUCUCUUUAUAUUGGGUAAUAGAAGGCAUAGGAAUGUUGAAUAUAUUUUCAUUGAAAAUAAGAAUAAAUUUGAUAUUUUUAAGAAUUUAAUUGAAUAAAUUUGUUUUUUAAUUUAACAGUGAAUAAAAUUCUCAAAAUUCUCUUAUAUAUUCUUGUUAGAACUUUGGGUUAAAUUGAUUCUUUCAACCAAUAAAAUAUAUGAUAUUGGUACUUCUUAAAAUAAUCAAUUUUUGCCCCAAAAAAAAAAUCAUAGAUUCAUAAAUUUGUACUAAAAUCAUAAUUUUUAGUACAAAUUAUUUGUAUUUUUAAUUUUGUAAAAUCAUAUUUUUCAAAUGCAUUUCAAACUAGGGUUUUAAAAAAAUUACAAGAUCAUUACGUGACAAAAAAGAAAAAUUAAUUCGAAAUAUUCUGAACGAUGAUAGCAAACAGACCCCAAGCCUAUAUUUUCCUCUCCAUUGGAUUUCCAAUCCGUUUUCCUCUUCGACCAAACGCAUGAUUCAUGAAAGGCCUCUGUAUCUGUAAAAGAAGCGUGAAAAAUGAAAAAACAGCAAACAACGUCCAUUUCCGUCCUCAAAACUUGUGUCCAAACAAAGGAGGGGCAAUUAGGACAUUUAAAGUUAGGCGAUACGCCCGAAACCAAACACCCAGAAGUUUCGAUACAAACAAUGCAAACAAGCAUAAGCACCUAUAAAAUGUCGUUAUAUUUAGAACACCACCUCUCACACUCUUCGUGCUCUCCGUCUCUCACAUCUUAUUCAUCUCUCUCUCAAUCUCUCGCCUCUUAGAUCUCUCCCCCCCUCAAUGGCUUCCGCCUCAGGAGUUUCCAUGUCCUUGAGCUCCAUCACUUGCUCCUUCAAGAAAAAUCAGGUAACAACACCUUGAUCAUCCAUUUUUCUAGGUUUCAAUCGCCAUUUUAAUGGUUGAUUUGGUUGUUCGUGAUAUGAUCUCAAUGUCUAUGAAAUGGUUUCUCUGUUUGAUUUUGAUGAUCGAUUUUUUGAUGAUCAUGUGUUUUUUGUGUAUUCGUUUUUCAUCUGUGUGUAAAAAUCCUCUCAUUUUCUCUGCUCUCGUGGCUCGUUAGAAUCAAGGGAAGUAAUCUGGAACCGGUGGGACUAAUUUUCAGAUGGCAGUUUUGUGGAAAUUGGUUUUAGCCGUCGUUACUUUUAAAGAUUUUUUAACUGCUGGAUUCAAAUCAGAUGGUUAAAGUUAUUCACGAAUAUAUGCUUGUUUAGAAUAGUUUUUUAAGUCGGUCUGAUCUAUAUCAUAGUAUCGAAGAGUUGCAUUGGCUCCCAAUGCGAAUGAGACCUAUAAAGAAAUUGUUUGAUAGAAAGGUAAAGGCGGCAAAGUAGAUGCUAAAAGAACCAAGAUCCAAUUCCAGGUGUAUUAAAAAGUGCUUGAGGACCCAAACAGCUUCUUCAGGCUACCCUAGUGCACAUUUUAUGGCUAAGAUGUAAUUUUGUGCAAAAUUAAGGGCAUUUUCUGAUUGUGUCCAUCUUGAGGAAGCGUUUUGAUUUUGGAAACUAUUCGCUCAUUUAAAAAUUUGAGUGAUGCCAUACACUCCAAAGAGGCCUUUUAUUUUGCUACCUCAAACCUAAAUAAGGAACAAAUGCCUUUGAUUUUGCACAAAUUUACAUGGUAUGUCACUCAAUUUGUUGUAGAAGUUAACUGAAGGGCUUUUGCAAAGCACAAAUCAUUUUCCCAAAAAAUUUAGAGAAUCUAAAAGUAUAUACAAAUUAAUUUCAAAGCAAAGUCCAAGCAUGCAUUGAUGCAUCCGCAAUGGCCUAACCAACUUAAUGGUACAAGUGUACAACUAUUUAGUCAAGAAAGGUUGUUUCUUUUCAUGGAAUUGUUUUGCAUGAAUGAAUGAUACUCUUUGUACUAUUGCAUUGUUGGUUUGGAGCUGUAUAAAUAUGUAUUUUACUUUAUCAUACUGCUAAUUGAACAGUAACUUGGCAAGGCAUGUGACUUAACAUUAUAAGCUGCAAUUUAUGAUGAAUAUUUUGUGCCUUUUCUUGCUUAAGGGGAAAAUGUUUUACUUGCCUCAUUUAGAAUUUUUUUUUUUUCCUCCCUUCUCUUAUUCAGUUAUUCUGGUUGAAUGUCUAAGCAGGUUCCCAUCUCCAGUCUCAAAUCAGUUUCUAUGCCAAUCAAAGGGAAAAGCUUCCAAUCUCUAAGGCUGCGGACAGGCCCCUCCCGCCUUCGUGUUUCCUGUGCAGUAUGUUCCUUUAAGACUGAUAUCAUACUCCUCUGUUGUGUCAUCUGUAUGAUUGACAUGAAUUGUUUUCUUCUUUCAAUGCUUCAAUUAAUUUAAAAUCUCAAACUUUUGGUUAUACAUUAAUCUGUUAAUAUAGAAACCUGGCUGCUGCAAAACAACCAAGGAAUUUCAUACCAGUUUCUGCAUUUGGCAUUUAGCAUGGUAGCAUAUGAUUCCAUGCGUUUGGUUCAUCAAGCGCAGUUGAUAUUCCUAUUCUUUUUAUAGUUUUCAUAUACAUAUUGAUUUCACUUUAUCAUAGAGGAAAUGCAGUGCUGAGCUGUGAUUUACACACCUGAUUAGAUAGUCGAAAUAAAGAAAAUCUGAUGAGUUGCUUUUGCAUGGAUAGAAGCAUCAAUUUAGGGCUUGUAAAAUCUAAAUGGUGUCGCUUCAUGUAAUAGAGCUACAGGAAAAUUGUAAUAUAGAGAUACUACAUUAACCAUCUCUUAUCACCAUAUAAUGUUAGAGAUUGUCAGAGAUUCUACAUUAUACAUUGUCAAACCUGCCACACAUUUGAUAAUUUAACCAGCAUAGAUAUUCCAAUGCUGAGCAGGCCAAACCGGAGACAGUGAAUAAGGUGUGUGACAUUGUGAGGAAACAGCUUGCACUGCCAGCUGACUCUGAGGUCACUGGAGAGUCAAAGUUUGCAACACUUGGAGCUGAUUCUCUGGAUACUGUAAGUAAUAUCCAUCCUUCGAACAUUUCUCCUUGUUUCCGUUCACUUCAUAUCUUAUUUUAGUUCAUUGCACACCUAUCUGUUGUUAUCACCACCAUCAUCAUCAUCAUCAUUUAUUUUCUUCAAAUUGUACUUCCCUUUUUUGGUUAGAGUCAUGAUGUGCAGAUCCAAGUUAAAGAAAACUUGUGAAGGCACUUGAGAUUUCUAAGAUAAACCAGAUUUCGGUUCAUUCUGCUCCAGAAAAUUAACUGAGACAUAAUCUUCAUUGUCUGGCAGCAUAUGCUUCCUUUCUCCCAAAGAAAGAAAGAAAGAAAGAAAUCCAGCAGCCAUCUGACUCUUUGACCAUGUUUGCUUGAUCAAUGUAACUAAGAGAGAUUUUCCUUUCUAUCCAUAUAGGUUGAGAUUGUGAUGGGCCUUGAAGAGGAAUUUGGGAUCAGUGUUGAAGAAGAAAGUGCCCAGGGUAUUGCCACUGUCCAAGAUGCUGCAGAUCUCAUCGAACAGCUCAUCUCAAAUAAGUGAGAUAAAAUAUGGCGGCAAAACGCCCUACAGUGUCUCAUUUGUAGGUUCCUUGUUUGGCCCAAAAUCUUUUGAAAUUUUUUUUUCCUACUCCCCUGUUGCUCACAGGGCACCUAGCCCCCUUGUGAUGUUUGUCUGUUAGUUUAUUUCUAUUUUUCUUUGUUUCUUUUAUAUUGACUCAUGUGUCACUUUUGUUGGUUAGGCUUGUCAUCAAAGUUAAUCUAGUUUAAGUUAUGUUCGUAUGCCUCUUUGCUCUGUUUGUUUUAUUAUAUAUAUAUUCCAUAAUAAAUGAGCGCCCAUCCAUAUAGACCGUUUGAAAAUAUUAGUGGGAGAAAUACUAGAUUUGAACAGGCCUGGAUUCCGAUUGAAGACGUUGUUGGGCUGGAUCUGGUUUUGUUAAAACAUUGUUGAUACAAAAAUUUGUGUUUUGUUUUUUUCCUCUCUUUUUCUGGCCGGUGAAGGGGUGGUGAACUAGCCUCUGCAGCCGGUUGGUUUGGGUUUUGAUUUUGAGGUGAUGCCAAAGGACCAAGGCUGUUCUUGGUCUUUUAUACUUGUGUAUCCCUGGACAACGGCCAGAAAAGCCUGGGAACUUGGUAGGUAUCCCUUCAACCAUUAAAGCCGGCAUCGCUGUUGAUGACUCUGAAAUUGCUGAUCCACAAAUCGAAACCCACUCAUCAAUACCAAAAAGUGCAUCAAAAUCUGUGUUUUCCCGCCCAUAUACACCUUCAAAUAAAAAUGGGAGGCUUUCCAACCCAUAUACACCAAUAAACAACGAAAAGGAACUAGAAUUUCAUGUAUUUCCGAGGAUAGGAUAAUAUCCUCUCAAGUCAAAAGUAAUAUAAAUUCAUAGUAAUAUGAAAAAAUGAGUUUCAUUCCAGUUAUACUUUUAAAUCAACACAUGAAAACACACUUCUGAAAUAAAAAAAACCUUCGGAGAAAUAUGCCAGGAUAGCCUAUAAUUCACCUUGUUAAAAUUGAAGCUGUUGUUUCUCCUUAGAACUCUUUUGUACUAAGAGUAGUGUCUGUUCUAAAUAAUGUUUAUCAUUAGUGGCCCCUCCCCUCAGCUUGUCGUAGUGCUAUGCGGAAGAAGCCUCUCUUUUUAUUACCUUCGGCUGGAGCGCAUUAUAGGAACAUGCUGCAUUGUGGACUUUUACAAUUUUUUUCUUUGGGCCUACACAAAUUACCCUUUCAAGGGAUGCAUCAUCACGGCACUCAAAUAAGAUAGCCAGUAGCGACCAUAACUGGUAGGGUAAUGGGUAUUCAAGAGAUGGCUGUACCCUAUAUAUAGAUAAAGCCCCCCUUUACCAAAAAUUGCUUUAUCUAAUCGCCAAGUCCAAUAGAGCAUAUGAGCCAACCCACAAUCACAUGCAUACAAGAAACAAAAAAGGUGGAAAAGGAGAGAGAUAAGGACAAGAUUGGUGAGACAUUUUUACCACAAGUAUCGCAUUCUUAAUGCUUGUAAAUUUGGCUAUAGGCCUAUAGCACAAAGUAGUCUCUCUUUUCUACUUUAUAUCAAAUAUUAACUCACACUUGAAGGGUACUUCAAUACUAAAAACACUAAAACGUUGAAAUUUUAACUUCCAAAUCACCAAUAAUCUCCUCACAAGAUUUGUAUGUGGUGGGAGUGUCUUAAAUAAUUCAAUGCUCACAAGAGAUGGAGAUUUACUAAGUUAACUUUAGACAAGAAUAUGUGACUGAUUUUCAACGACUUAACACCUAGUAUUCACGGAUGCGCGUAACAUGCACCUGGGACGGAAUCUUUUUUUCCCCAAAAUGGAGGCACAGAUCCACGCGCUGCCCAUAACAAUUGCAACUUGCAAUUAAUUAGCAAGAAAUACAGGGAAAUUUGCCAGUUUUUAAGGGUUGGUGUUCUGGAGAAACAUAUUGGUUUAUGUUCAUUUGAAAGACCCCAGUAUUCAUUCCCCCAUUUGUACAACCACGAAAAAGAAAAAGAAAAAAAGGAGGGGGGGGAAGCACCAUUACAUCUCCUGCACUCAAUUUCUCUACAAUAUAUAUAGAAGAAAAUACAACUGCCCACGCUUCACAAAAGGAAAAAAAACUAAAAAAAUCUAUAGAUUUAUUCUAUCGUCACAAUGCCACAGCUCAUUUGACAUACUAACUAUACUACAUAACCAUAUUUACCACGAACAAUGAAAAAUGAACAUGAACGAAGAUGGGAACCUGCAAAGAACAAUUGAAUCCUCCAGUAAGCAACACCACAACCCCAACAAAGCUACAGCAACCAAAAGGCCGGUAGACCCAGAAACACAACUAAAUAUAGAGAUUCCACUGCAUUGAGAGAACCUAGUGAGGUAGCUGGCAGAGAGGCAGAGGGAGAGAUUGCAAAAUCAGGGCCAAGUGCGACGACAUCAUCAGGAUUUGGUGGGCUUGGGUUGGAAGGAAUGGUGGGCAUGGAGGACCCAGUUGGAACAGGAAGCACACCACCAGGGGAAGGAAAAAGAGGAGAAAUGUCUGGUGACAAUGGUGGGAGAGGAGAUAGAGCUGGAUUUAGCAAGACUGCUGGAGAUGUUGAGAUAGUAGAGGUCUGCAAAUGUAGUUGCUCAGGGGAUAAAGAUAGUAAAGGUGAGAGCAUGAAAGGCAUGAUGAGUACUAAGAGAAGCCAAAAGGAGGCCAUUCUAAUGAUAAUGAAAUCAAUCUCCACUUCUUGGAGACUGUAAUUAAUGUGAAGUCCCAAGAGAGAGGAAGGGGGUGCGGGUGACACUGUUUGUGGGCUUUUCUGGUGGAAAUUAUGAUUAAAAUUUGAAACCAUUAAAAGGUAUAAACACAGCUUCUAGGUGGGGUGUGGGUGCCAGGUGGCUGGAUAUGAGUGGAUUGUGAUGAGAAGAUACAGGUUGGCAUGUGUGAGAAAACAGACAAAGAUUGUUAGGCGUAUGUUUUGAUUUGAUGCGUUUGUUAGUAGGGGAUUCCUUUCUGCACGUGAUGCACUUAUUUCCCCUUUCUAAUAAAUGUCUGAGUUUAGCAUAUUUCCUAAGUUUUAAACUAAGCUUAUACUUAUAUCAUUGAGGUAUUAAAGUUUUGUUUAAUUGUGCAAGAGAAAUUAUUAGCAAAGGAAAAUGAACAAAUUCAAGGAAAGAGAAACAAAACAAAUUUCAGGCCAUUGACUUCUGCCUCAAUCUUUCUCCUUUUCCUAGGCAAAAAUGAUGAAAAUUGCAGACAUAUAUAAAUUUUCACUAAAUUUUGAUUACCUUUUCUUCCUACUUUGUAUAUCAUAAUUAUUAUUAAAAGAAUAAAAAAAAAAGGUUCUUUUUCUUAAUUCUAUUUAGAAUCAUUUUAUGCCAAAGAAAGGGGACUAACCAGUGUCCAUUGAAUGAAAAUUAAGGUACGGCCGGGGAAUGAGACACAAGGAAAAGAGGACGGAUGGCCCCCGACAAUCAAGCAUCCACUGGACAUAACUAGCUAAUUGUCAAAAAGUCAAUACCACCCUUUGUACAAGGGCUUCUUGAGCGACAAAUUGAGGGGGCAAAAAUGUCAAAAUGUUGAGGCAAACGGCAAAGCGGAGCGCUAGCUAGCGACAAAUGACACCCCGCAAAUCACGGGGUCCACCGAAAUGACGACCCAUCAAUCGACCACAAAGGAUGUUCCAGUCAAGUGAAAAUCAAAAAUCAAAUCUAAUUUGGAUACAGUUGUCAAAUGGGCCACAUACAAUUAUGAUAUAAGGAGACUUGAGGAAAAAAUUUUAGAUUGAGGCUAUUUAUGGCUACAGUUUUAUCACCCCCAGCACUCUGCGAAUCCUAUGGCCAGCAGCAAACUUCGUGACAUUGUCUCUGCUAUCGAUGGUUGGGCAUGUUUGUAGUUUCAAGCAAAAUCCUUUCUCGUAUUAUAGGAAGUCAAAGAUAUUCUGAAGUCCUUCCCUGAACGCUCAUUCCUGACCCCCUACCUAGAAAUACUAUAUUGAUAAUCAAACACAUCAAAUUUUGGAAGAGAGUUUUGGACGAUAAUGUAGUUGCAUCAAAAGGAACCUAACUUCCUCACAAGUGAAGGCAUUUCUAGGAUUGUUUACCAACUCUUUUAAGUGAACCUAAACGAGAAAAUGUAUUAACUCAGAGCCACGAGCAGAGAGGGUUAACCUCUUCCUGGGCAUCAUGGAAGGUAGAAGGCAGUGAUGGAGGAAAAACAUACUGAAAUGGCCGAACCCUCUCCAUGCCCAUCCACGCCAUAAGCCUAGGAUGGACGGUAAAUGACAAGGAAUCUUGCCAACAAUUGUAUUGAGUGGCGACAACAUCAACCAUUAUAUUUCACUCCCCGGCCUCAUCCAGUUCCUUGCGUUCUCACGGAUAUCUCUAAAAGGGUUAGAUAUAUUAGUCCAGGGUCUUUGUGCUUUCACUCUCAAAGUUUACAUGGGACAAAUUUGUGAUUUUGAAAGAUGUCACUUGUUCUAGGGUAGUCUUCACUCAGAUCUAGAUACAGAGGGCAUGUUGGAGAGUAAAUUCUGCCAAUUUGUGAUUUUGAAAGAUGUCACUUGCUCUAGUGUAAAUAAAGUUCAUAGAACUGCUCAUGGGCAUCUUGGCUUGACCCAAAAGCUCUUUCACCAACUGAGCAAAGGAACAAAUUCUGGCCGUGUCCCCCACUUCCAAACCCUAAUUUAAAUAAGGUUAAUUUCACUCAUCUUCCCUCAGGUUUUGGAUAAAUGUACGUGACCCCUUGUUGAUUUGAAAUUUCAUCAAAUGUUUCCCUUAUUUUGAGUAGGAGGGAGGUGAGUGAAAAUAACAAAUACUUCCCCUAUCCUUUUCAUUUAUUAUUUUCACUUACCUCCCCUCUCAAUCAAAAUGAAGUAAUUGAUGAAAUUUCAAAUCAAUGUAUUUAACCAAAAUCAAGAAGGUGAAUAAAAUUAACCCUUUAAAUAAUAUGUACAUUGAAGAAGGGAGGUUAUUGAAUUAAUAUGUAAAUCAAUGAAUGAAGGUAAAAUGUUGUAAAAACAAAAUAUUUAUUAUCUGCAAUAACGGAGCUGCAUUUAGUGACUUCUACGAUGUGGAAAUUAGUCUGUUGCUCAUACCACCAUACAUAAGAAAAAAUAAAUAAUAAAAAUUGCACAGGGGCUUUUAUAUAAAUGACAUUAAUUCUCAAGAAAAAAAUAUACUGAACUGAAUAUGUCAAUGAUGUUACAUACAUGGAUUAUACAACGACAGGCCAAUCAUAUCUGGACCAAAUUGUGAUAAUUGAGUUGGAAAAAGAAAAAAUAGAACUCACCUCAAUAUAAGGACUGUUGAACCCGUGUCUGGAAUGCAGAAAAAUGGUCUUUCAUGACUUUUUGAAACUCAAUUAACCUUCGAAGUCCCUGCAAAUAAAUGUAGAUCACAACUCAGAAAUUAUGGACCCUUUUGAAACAAAAGGCAAGGAACAACAAAACAAUAGGCAACCUCCAGGACUUCAAUUGCACCGGGGAAGCCGCUGCAACUCCUUGGCCACAAGCAAAGCAGCAUCAGCUACGCCUGGGAUGCUUGAGUUUUUAAGCUCAGAAACAAUGGUUUCAAGUCUUGAAAUCUCUGGGAUAGAUAUUGAUAAUAUCAUUGCAUGUGACAAAUAUUGCCUACAGGAGUACCCAAGAGCAUGCAGCAUCCGCAGCACCAGUAAGUGAGAGACAGCCCUUCGCCAGGACUCAAGAAGUGCACUAACCUUUGAGAGAUUAGUUAGAAAACCAGUAGUGGCUUCCCUGGGAGCAGCCUUGAGCAACAAAACCACACAUUCAGAAGCUAUAUCUGCAACAUUGGCUUCAUCUGAGCCACUUAAUUCCAGAAAAACACUAACGUUGCUACCAAAGUCCAUUAUAUCCCUUAUGUAUUGCUGCUGAUCAACUGCACCUCUCACUUCAGUAGGACCAUCACAUAUGAGAGUUGGUUCUUUUGAAUAGAUGAAGCCUUUUCUACUGCCUACUGAACGUAGAAGAAAAGCCCUACACAGGCCAAGAGUAGGUUCAAGAAAAUCUUCCAUAUCUUUUGCAUUGACAAACUCAAGAAGGUUUCCAAUCUUCCUGACUACUUUUAAUUGAGAGAGCAACUUGGUUUCCAUUUCAGGAGCAGAUGCCAGAGCCAGACACAGCUUAACGCUGUUUACAUUUGCACUUGAAAGAUCACCAAGCAAAAAUUCAAAGCACUGGGAGACUGUCUCCAUAUGUAGAAUGUCUGGAAUUCUAAUGUAAUUAAACUCGAUAAACAUCACAAGAAGCUUCUGCGCAUACAUGGGAAUGGGAUCUUCAUCCUCAAUGAGAGUGGGGUAAAGGGGCAGGAAGUGAGUAUUGGAUAUGGACUUCAAGUCCUCUGAUCUUUGCUCAACUUCUGAUGGUUCAUUUAAGUAUAUGACCAUUGCAUCAAAUAGAAUUUUCAGGCACAAAAAUCUGGCAUCUCCAUCUUUGUUCCCCCUGUACAGAACAGCCAAACUUGGGAGAAUUUCACCAAUGAAAACAUUAGCGCUUUCAAGAAUUACAGAGGGCUCCUCUGUUAUAGACUCAAGCACUCGCAGAAGAGUUAUUUGGAAGUCAUCCCUACCCUGAAAUUAAAUGAAAGAGGUAAUAUAUGUCAACUGGCUAAUAUCUUUUAAUUUUUCAUGUCAGUUAGGACUGUGCCCAAUUUGUUCACACCCUAAUGGGUAGAAGCAACAAUCUGACCAAGACAACUACAGUAACACAAAGACCACCCUACCUUACUAACCCACCCACCCCCAAACCCACACACAAGUAAAACUAGGAAUCUAUUCCAAAAUCAUUUAUAGCCAUUUGAUCGAUGACCGAUUUCACAAAGCACGGGUACAUCAUGCAACCACUUGCCUAAGCAAUUUUCCAAGACCUUCAGGCCCCAAAGUUAGUUGGACAUAAUUCCAUGUUUCCUAAUAUUAGUAGUAAUGCAGUACUAUAUAUAUAUAUAUAUAUAUAUAUAUAUAUAUAUAUAUUAGCUAUCCACAUUAAACAUCAUAUCCUAUUUAGUUUGGGACAACCAGUAAAGAAAAAUGAAAGUUCAAGCUAAAAAAGCAUGGAAUGGAAAUGAAUAUCCAAAUGCAGGCUCAGUUGCAGCUACUUUACCUGAAAUGGUGACUCUGCAAGUUUGAUUAGAUUUGCCAAUUGCUGCAGCACUUGAUGAUUCACAACCCUGUGCUUAAAUGAUGAGCUCCCAAGAAGAUGAAGAACAACAGGAAACAAAUGAACUUUAAUUUUUGGGGCAGCCCGAUUGGUAAGGCCAGCAAUUUGGCCAUGCCGCCUUCCUCCCAUCAUUUGCUGAAUAUCUCCAGUUAUAGUCUCCAGCAAACCUGGAAUAGUAGAUGACACAACAUGCAAAAAUGCAUCUAAACACUGCUGGACAUAGCUAUCCUUCUCUUUUACCAGCCUGUCCACUGCUGAGAGGAACCUAGCAUUGCAAAAAAAAUGAGGCAGCCAUCUCUUACCAUUCUUACAAAGGAGGGCUACAAAAACAAGUGUCUUUCCUCUCAAAACCUCACUUCCCUGCUCGAUAAGAGACACGAGACUAGGAACCAGAUUCUUAUCCUCCACCAAGGGCAGAAGGUGCCGGCCAAUGUUUGUGAACAUAUGGCUUCCAAGCAUGGCCAUGUUUAGAAGGUUUAAGCUGAUUUGCUGCUCACGUGGACUGCCUUUGACAAGGGCAGUUACAGUGUCCCUGAAUGAAAGCUUGUCUAUGACUGAUUGAAUACUAGGAGGAUGAAAACGAACCAGUCGUACUAGACACGAUCCUGCUGUGAGUCUCAUGCUCUCUUGUUUCCCUGCAGCCCUAAAUAUAUAGCACAGGUUAUUAAUUACAUCCUGGCUGGUGAAACGAGCUGCCCAGUUCCCUCCCUGACUGCAUAUGUUUUCUAUUGUUCUCAGUGCAUACUGUUGAGUUACAUCAUCCUCUCCUUUCCGUAAAAUUGAUGACACCAAUGAUAUUAACGCAUUUGAAACCUGCUCAAAAAAGAAAAGCUAAACUUUCAUCUAGGAAAAAAUGGAAGGAGACAAACAAGGGCAGGGAAGAAUAUGGAAAGGACUAGAAACAUCCUCUAAUAAUGGUUCUAUAAGAAAAUCAUCUUUGAGACAUGAAUGGAAGUGUCUAAGAAGAAUCCCCAAAAAUAAAAAAUAAGCUACUAAUAAGAAGGGCUUUGGCAAUAAAAUAAAAGCUAACCUGCCAACCAGAUGAGGACCGGCUAUCCUUUGAUGGGGAUUCUGGUGGAUUGUUAUCUUUAGCAUGUUCAUUCUGAGUGGAUAUAUAAAAUAGCAACUCACCCAAUGCAGCCAUAGAAAACCUCCUUACUUUUUCCUGCCUAUCUCUAAGACCGUCAGUAAGAGAACCUAAAAUUCCAGAACUUGCCAAAUCAUCAUCAAUGAAAGUAGAAUGCCGAAUUAACAAACCAAUCAGUGAAGCAAGCUGAACACGCAAAGCAGAUGCCUUGGACUGUCGGAGCAUUUUGACAAUAACCAUCAUGAUUGGCCCAUUGGUUAAGAUAUUCGCAGCAUCAGCAUUAUUGCUCAACAUUUCAAGGUAUUUGAUCACAUUCUGCUUCUCUGCAAUGGUAGUGUUACCAUUAAAGAUGGUUAUAAUCCUAUUGUUGAGUGAAUCAAGCUGCUCCUUGGACAUCUUGAUGAAAUCAGAUGCUGCCAGUGCAUCAAAGGGAAGAGAAGGAAGUGUCUCUGGCAAUUUAUCAGCUUUUCUACUGGGCAUUACGGGUCUAACUGAGAGAUCGGAAGGAUGCCAAAGCACGUGCGAAAUGUUACCAGAUGAUUUUGAAGAAUCAAAAUCAACAGCAGAACCUGAACCUUCUUUAACCCUCUGGAUUCUAACCUGAGGACUAACACUGGGCGGGGUAGCAGCCACUUCAACAUGGUCUGAUUCAUGAUCAAAUGUUCUCGAGUCAUCUGAGACAGGUAUGCUGACAACAUGUGCAGUAUCUAGUUGGUUUGUGUUAUCUUCCAUCUCUUCCACUUUCCCCUGAUGCUGAGUUUGACUUGACAAUUUGUCUUCAGGAGUAAAGUUUGAAGUAUCAGACCCAUCAGGUUCAUCAUGUGGCUCAUCUUCAGUGUUUUCAUUAAAAUCAAGUUCCAUAUCUGUGUUCUCAAUUUUAACCUCAGAAUCAUUUUCAGAGUUAUUUGGCAAGGGCCUUCGGUAGUUUUCCUUCUCAUUCUCUCUCUGUAAGUUUGAUUUUGCAAUUCUUGAGAGCCUUAAAAGAUUCACACCCCCGGUAGCACUUGAAGGAUCUUUCUGCUUCUCAUCAGCUACUCUUCCAGAAGCCUUUGUUUGAGCUCUGCGUCCACCUGUUAUACCUUUAACUGGUGUUUCAUAACCUUUUAAUCCCAAAAUAGAAUUCUCAUCUUGUUUGGGAGUCCCUUUUGAAUCUCUGUCACGAUAUUUAGGAGGGGUCUUAUUUUGGAGAGGCUUGUCACCAUUCCGUUCGGAUAGACACAGUUUAGAAUAAAGGUCUAUCAAAUUAUCAAAAGCAGGCUGAGGAGGUAGAGGCACUGAUGUGAAUUUUGUUCUCCAGAAAGCAUGCCCACAAAGUUCAGGCCACUGUAUUCUUUCAGCUGGAUCUUUUACCAGGAGAGAAUUGAUUAGAUUAACAAAGGGACGGCUCGGCGUACCAGGCAGGGUUGGAGUGGGAUCUGAGAGGAUGGAUUUUACUAACUGAGUAAAUUCUCUUCCCACAAAGGGGGGUCUUCCAGCAUAGCACUCAUAUAGUACACAACCAAGGGCCCAGAAAUCGGAAGCAUAAGAAUGCACGCCUCCAUCCUGAAACAGCUCUGGAGCCAUAUAACAUGGUGUUCCACGUUUUGCUUGUGGCAACUAGACAAGUCCAUAAGAAGGAAAUUACAUAAACAAACUCUUAGUUAAAAAUUUAAAAAAAAAAAUAUUGCAUUUUCAAAUUGAAUACCCAUAUACUCCCAAGUAAAUGAAGCACAUGUGGGAAAUGUUGCAAUAAAUAGAAACGCACCAUGGAAGAAGGUGUUUUUGAUAUAUCACUCAAUUUUCUUGCUAAUCCAAAAUCACAUAGCUGAAUUGCACAAAGAUAAAAGGGAAAUUAGUUUAUAUAUAAUAGACAUUGUAUUGGCAAUGACCAAACAAAACAAGGAAGAAAUAGCACAUAGCUACCUUUGUGCACCCAUUCUCAUCCAAUAGGAUAUUUGAUGGUUUUAAGUCACAGUAUAUGAUUCCCUUAGAAUGUAAAAACCUGACAAACAAUUGCCAGAGAAUAACUCAGAAAAAAUAACAAAAUAUAGCAAAUCCACAAAGGAAAUAAUAAAUCAAUACUAAUGAGUAUUCUUACUGCAAAGCUCUGACAAGGUCACGGGCAAGAUCAUGUACUGAAUCUUCAGGAAGCUGACUAUCCUGGAACUCAUUAACUAGAAGAUUAAUAUUCCAAUUGUAUAUAGAUAGCUAAGGAAUACACUAAUAUUCAGAUUGAUGACAUAUGUCAGAAAUUCUGAGAUUCGUUUCUUAUACAAUACACAGAGCAAAGACCAGUACUUCCACUGUAUAAGUAGUUCUUUUCCAUAUUUUGUUAUCAAAUAUUUACCAAACAGGAUCUACAGAAUUAUUCAAGUUAAAUUCCAGAAAAUUAUAAUGAUAGAUAGAGACCUGUGAAAAUACUGUUGUAAAUCAUUUUCAAUUUCAAAGCCCAAAGAUCUUUUCCAGAAUUUUCAAGGGAAAUUCUUUUUUACAAGAGUCGACUAUUUUAGGUUUUCUCUGAAAACAAUGGUAAAAGUUGAUUGCUAUGUCUAUGAUGGGAACAGUACUCAGGCUAAAGCCCCAACUGCAAUCAUAUAAAACAUUUUUCGGUGAGCAAUCAUACAGAAUAUUUAAAAAUCAUAUCCAACAUGGUAAACAUAGGAAGGCCAUAAACUGAUCAAAUGCAACUAGCCCUUGUUUUCACGAUUUCGCAAUGUAAUGUCCAUACUGUUUAAAAAGGAUGCUCCUACUUGAUAAGAACACCUAUAUUCAUCCACAUGUUGCAUUUAGUUUACUGGGGUUGCUAUGUUGAACAACUCACAUAUGUAUUGGAUGCCUAAUCUAAUGCCUCCGUCCUUUCAUCGUAGUGCCUAUCUAAUCAACUUCAACCACAGAUUAUCCAUAAUAUUUAGUGUAUCAACAAAAUCCCACAAUUCUUCCUGCUUAUAACAAUUAUUGGAGGAAAAAAUUAAUUAUUAAAUCCAAAAUUUAUAUGAAUAUUAAGUAACCAUCACCUGCUGUAAUAAGGUCAUAAGAUCUCCUCCGACACAAUAUUCCAAAACUAACCACAAGUGAGCAGAAGUUUCAUACCUAAUGUGCAAAAAAUAUGAGAAAAUGUUACUCAACUGAAAUUCCAAGAGAGAAAAGAAAUGGCACUCCAGAAGUACCACAUAGUAGAUUAUUCCACAGGCAAAUGCAGUUCAAGUAAUCAUCUAACUAAAUGACUACUUCCAAACCACUCUAACAAGCAUUGCAUGAUAUUGUGUUCCCAAAUAUCUGAAAGCCUUACCAAGAAAAAAAAUUUAGUACAUUCGAGUGAUCUAGAGAGUGAAGAAUCCUAACCUGCAUUCGAAAAAACAAAGGGCACAUCAGCUAAAGCACACGCAAGAUAGAAUUCAAGAAUACUACCCAUCAUGACUGCAUAAAUUUGUGAUUUCAGAUCACCUUAGAAGCUGCAGUUCUUUUCACAACAAAUAAUUCUCUUCAUUCCUACUCGUUUACUUGGCCAGUUAAGCAAAGAGAAUGCAAAACAAGGAUAGCACAAAGGAAAACUGAGUACUUGUCUAAGCCCGAUUCUCAGGAGAGUGCAUGGCACUGUGGUAGAUCUUGCUCCACCAAUACAAGUAGCUUCACUAAACAUCCUAGGGAAAACUAUAGCAAAUCUUGCAAUUAUAGUUCCUAUGUGAAUAGUUUCACAGAACCACUACAACAGCCUGAGGGAUCAGUGUGAGACCUUCUAAUCAAUCACCAUGACCAGUAUAAAACAGCACCAUAAUUUGAGCUAUGUUUAGAGUGCUCUGUUUGGCUGGAAAAAAAUAAAUACGUACAUUCUAAUGAUAAAAAGGAGCAAAAUAGAAGAAGACAAAACUAUUUAAUUUUCAGAUUUUCCAAAAAUUGGGAUCCAAACAAAACUAAAUUCCACGAGAAAUGUCAGAAUACAAUUAUCAUACUUGGGGAAAAAUUUUCUUUUUAUGAAAAUCAUGACAACAUAAAAAUAAAAAUAAACUGGAAGCAAAACAGACCAACAGAUCCAAGGUUUCUUUUAUUUCCUUUUCCUCAGUUUUCUGGGCAACCAAAUAAAGGGAAAGUGCCAAGCAACUUUAAAAUUAUAAAAGCAUUCACUGACUCUGUUACUAAUUUUAUUUCCCGUUUCUGCAAUUGGUUCAAUCUAAUAUCCAGAUACCAAUCAUUUCAACAAAAACAGCUCAAACUUCAAACUGUUCCGAACUAGCUCAAUGUUUAGAUUCCCAUCCAUGAAACGCAGAUCAACACAUACGAUCAACAAUUAACCUACAACUUCUUCAAUAAACGCAAAAAAAAAAAAAAAAAAAAAAUUAACCAAUCAACCAGAGAUAAUAAAAUGGGAACUUACUUCUUGUAGAAGUUUGUUCUUCUGCGAUUUAUCCACACUCUUAAUCGCGAAGUACUCAAUACUCUUCUUCUUCCUCCCUUUGUACACAGUCUAUCAAAUCCAGAAAAACACGCAUGUUCGAAGAUUUGAUCCAAACGAGCUUGAGGAAAAAAAAAAUGGUGAAGAACUAAGAGAGAAAUUGCAACAUUACCGAGUAUUUGCCCCUGCCAAUGGCCUCGUAGAUAUGAUAUUGAUUCAUGGAUGCUGGAUCGAUUUGUCUAGGGUUUCGACUCUGGAGCAAGAAUGAAGAUAAUCGGACAGAUCAAAGAGGUGGUGAAGUGGAUGAGAACUCGGAAACGAGGAUUGGGAUUGUUUGGUUAUGGUUACGGCGAAAUGACUUCGGCGAUUGGCAUAAAGAGGAUGAGGAGAGAGAGAUGGAGGAUGAGAGAGAAUGAGCGGGAACAAAACAAUUGAAAAUCAAAAUGUAAGGUUAAAAAAAGCUCAUCGAGGUUAAGUAGAGUUUCGAUUUGUAUCCAAACGUAGGAAAAUUUUGUGGUGACGUGUGACGUCUACAAAAAGAAAAGGACACAUGACAUGCUUAACAACUAGCUUUCAUUGAAAACAAAAAUUAUGAAAAUAAAUACUUUUUAAAAAUGCCAUGUUUGGUUUUAUAAACUAUUAAGGAGAGAAAGAAAUUUAAGAAAAUUAAUUUUUUUAUGUUUGAUUAUUUUAUCAAAGAUAUCAAAUAAAAUAAAAUAUAAUUAACAUUAGUCAAAAAUUUAUGUAUUUUCAAAUUAUUUAAUUUUUAUAUCGAUGAGUUAAAAUAAAAAAAAAUGAAUUUGAAAUAACAAAUAAAAAUAAUUUAUUAAUUUUAAAUAUUUUUUUUCCUUUUAUUUUUCUUAUUUAUUUUCUUUUCAUUGUAUUUUCCUUCAAAUUUUUCGAAAAUCAAACAUAUCCUAAAAGUUAUAAGAAAAAUUAAAAGUAAUUGAAGUUUACAAAUCACUAGUUUACAAGUUUUAUCGUCAUGAUUUUAACUAUGCCUUUUUUAUUUGUUUCUCCUAUUUAUUACAUUAAAACUACUUGUAUUAUUAUUAAUAUUAAAUAUUAAUACUUGUAUUAAUAAUAUUAUUUAUUUUAUUAAUGUUAUCGAUGUUUGUGGCUUUUAUUAUAAAAAAAAUCAUUCAUAAUAGCAAUUGAUCGAGUUUGUAGUGUGAAUGCCCUAGUACUGUGUAUUAGUAUAAAAGUUAAAAUACAAGUACAAUAAAAAUGCAUUGAUCCAAUAACAAAAAUGCACUAAAAAUAUAAGUGGUAAUGGAUUGCGGAGGGUUUUAUGGAAGUUUCAAGGUUCAAGUCACAAUGGAGACAAAAUUUAUCUAAGAAAAAAUAAAUAAUCUUUUUUUCAAUUUACAAUGUUUUUUAUUUAAUUUCACAAGGUUUGUAUGCUUUAUUAUAAGAAUCGUUCAAUAUAGCAAUUCACUAAGCAUAUGAUACUAAUGUACUGAUAUUGUGCAUUAAUAUAAAAACUAAGAUACAAGUACAUCAAAAAUGCAUUAAUCUUACAACACGUAUACACUAAAGGCACAAUGUAUUGCAACAUGACUUAAUUUCAGUUUUUUUUAUUUAUUUUUACUUUAUGCAAACAUAUGUUUGCAAAUGAUUGUCAUCUACCUCUUGACACUUCGUCUAUUAUAAAAUAGUUCUAUAAGACUUUUCUUUAAAAAUAAAAAAAUAAAAAUUAUAGGUUUUAUUAUAAAUAUCAUUGGCAACGAAAAUGCGUCAUAUAUAUGAUGCUAAUUCAUUGGUAAUUAGACGUAUUAUUAUAAAAGCCAAUAUGAUGGAAUAUACAUUGACCUUUUAUACUUUUCGGUUUAUCAUAAGAUAUAGGUAUAACGCAUGUUUUAAACCUACGAGUACACUAAAAGUACAAUGCAUUGCACAUCAUCACUACAAGAAAAAUGAAUGUAUAAUUAUGUCAUAAAUCAUGACUAGCAAUAAAAAGUUGUGUAACUAUAUCAUAUAAUGUGAAAAAUGCAAGUCACUACAAAUUGUGGCUAUAUGCAGCACAAACAAAGCCUAUAAUCAUGCCUAAUAGUUUUCCUUCUACUAUUAUGCAAGUACAAAGCAACACGAUUGCACAACAUCUCUAAAGGUCAAUGCUCAUGGUUGUAGUAGCGUAGUACUAUAACUAACACGAACAAAGAUAUCAUGUACAAGGGAUAAGGUGGUGAUUAACAAGUUUUUAUUUUUUUUUAUUUUUUUAUCUUUAUGUAUUUGAAUGAUAAUAAAAAUAAAGUUACAAUUUUUUAUUGUCUUUGAUAACAAAAUUUGGAAUGAUUAUUUCAUAGUUAUGAAGCUCAUGGCUCCGCUUAUGCGCUUAUUGCAUAUUGUUGACUUAAUAAAAGACUUUUGAUAGGAUAUGAAAAAGUUAUUAGAGGUGUCAAAUAUGUUACUGACCGAAAAAUUAUGAAAGACAAACACUAGAUGAUGAAUGAAUUGAGGCCAUUUUGUAACCGACUGCAAAAUUUUAGAAUAUAGUUUGCUUAUUCUUCAUGUGAUGUACUUUAAUAAAGUAAUAAUCUAUUAUUGUGUUUGUUAUUUUUUAGUACUUACUAUUUUUAUAUUUCUCAAUGCACUUUAAAAUAUAGAUUAUUAUAUUUUUAAACUUACUAAUUUUUCCCCAUUUUUAAUGUGAAAAUGAUAACUAUGUGAGUGGUGGAUGCUACAUGGAUAUGGUGCACCAAAUUUGUAAAAGUUGGUAAUUCAAAUAUCGAGUUAAACUUCACCAUCUUCUAGAUAUUAGAUGAUUUGGAGUGUGCUUAAAUGUACACGUACCAAAAAGAUUGAUAGAAUGGAACAUCAAAUGCUUAAUGAUCAUUCAUACAUUCAUUACAACGUGUAAAAAUUGUUAUAAAUACUUAAUUAUUUUUUUUGAAUAUGAGUUUUUGCUUUGACAAUUACGAAUAACUACGUGUUUUUCAUUUUUAGGUUUUACUAAAAAAAAAAAAAUACUUAUGAUCCCAUUGAUUAUGCAAUAUGUAUGAAAAUGAAAUUUUUGCAGUUAAUGAAGUGAGUAAGGAAAACUAGAUCUCUAAGAAUUGGAAUUCCUUCACAUUAAAAAUGAUAAAAUUCAAUAAAUGAAACAAAGGGUUCAAGUUCAAAUAUUUACAUUGGUUAGUAUAAUAUAUAAAGUUACAAAAUUUCGAUAAUUAGUUUUUUUUUCAAAAAUGUUUUUUUUUAUAUAUAUAUUCAAUAUUUUGUAGAUGAUAAAGAUAAUAAUGACAUGACUAUAAAAAAAUGGUUGAUUUUGAAAACUUUGGUGAUCCAUGUGUUCAUUUUGAAUUUUCAUAUCUUAAUCUUCGAAAUAAACGAAGACAUGAGUUUUAUAUUUAUUAUUAUGAAAAAACUCUUCAUGAAUACUUAAAUAUUGACAUGUUAUACUUUGAAUAACUAUUUAAGUGUCGUGGUUGAUGUUUGUACAUCUAGCCAUUAUUGUUUAUACAUGAAUGUAAUAUAGUAAUGUUUUGGUAUAUAUUGUAUUCAUUUACAUCAAUGAAAGCAUGACAUCUUAUAUUAUAUUAGAUAUAUGUUGUAUAGUGACUUCUACGAACAAAUAAAUAUGUGGACAAAUUCAACAAAUUGAGGAGAUGUUGAAAUUUUCAUAUAAUGUAUCAAAUUAUUUUUUUAAAUUUUUAAUUUUAAUUAUAUAUUAAAUUUACAUUUAUUAUGUCAUCGAUUCAACAAUGACUUAACCACCAAUCUAACUAAUGAAUCGUGAAUUUAUAACUUUUUUGUUCAAUGAUUGGUCCGGUUUUGAAAAUAUUGUUUACAAAUAUUUAUUAUUAACAAAACUAAUUAUUCAUUAUUUAUUGAAUGUGCAAUACCAUGUUUUGUAACUUAAAUACAUGACUAAACUUUUUAUGGUAGAAAUACGUUAUAGUUAAGUUUGGAUUUCCCCAUUUUGCUUACAUGGUUCGUCAGCUCAAUGUCUUUUUAAGUUAAUAGAUCGAUUAUCAUCAUGAUAUAAUGAUUUACACAUGUAAAUGCAAAAUUUUAUAAUCUAUUUACAUAGUUGAUUUGUGAAAUACCUUAUAAGCCAAUUGCUUAAAAAAAGAAAGAAAAAAAAAACAAAACAUAAUAAAACUCUAUACAAAAAAAAGACAUGUGAAUGACAAUCUUAAGCUUUGUUUUUUAAGCUAUCUUGCCUCGAUUUAAGUUUUUAAAGCAAAUGUUUUAAUUAUUAAUAUUUUUACAAAAUGUUCAUGCUUCCAUUGAAGAACAUAAGACAUGUUUUGCCAUUUCGUGGUAAAGUAAAAUGUUAUUUAGAAUCACUUUUUAUUUUUUAAAAAAUACGAUAAAAACUCCUUAUAUAUGUGGAUUUUGAUGAAAUUGUUUUUUACCGUUUUAAAAAUAGCUCAAUACAAAAUUAAAAAUAAAGUUCUUAUCAUAAAAGCAUUUUUCCCUAUAUAAGAAAUUUUGCUUAUUUUUACAUUGUGUUGUGAAUAAAUUUUUUAUGGAGAAUUAUCUUUUGGGGGUAGAUGAACCCCAAAAUUAACAAAAGGUCCAUAUAACUCUUCAAAUUGAGUCGAAGGAUAUGAAAUAGUAACGGACAAAUAUACCCUUUAAGAACACAUAUAAAAUAUUUUAUAAAAUUAAGUUAAAUAAUUUUUUUUCAAUAUUUUUUUUUCAAAAAUACUAAAUUAAAUAAAAGUAGUUUUCAAAAAUAUUAAAUUAAAUAAUUUUUUUUUCAAAAAUAUUAAAUUGAAUAUUUUUUUAAAUAUUAAAUUAAAUAAAUUUAUUUUAAAAAAUAUUAAAUUAAAUAAAAGUAUUUUAAAAAAUAUUAAAUUACAUAAAAGUAUUUUAAACAAAUAUUAAAUUAAAUUAAAAAAAUCAAAUUAAAUAAAAGUAUUUUUCAAAAAUAUUAUUAUUUUUUUCUCAAAAUCAACAAAGGACAUUUUUUGAAAUACUGAAAGAUGAUAUCCUUCAACGCAAUUUCCAUACUUUCAUUGGGUCUUGGGCUCAAUUUGAAGAGUUACAUGAACCUUUUGUUAAUUUUGGGGCCCAUCUACCCCCAAAACAUAAUUCUCCCAAUUUUUUAUUCAUGAAUAUUUGCUCAUUUAAGAUCAUGACUUCACAAUUUUAGUUUUUAACUAAAAGUAUAAGCAAAUAGUUAUAUAAAACAAAGUCCGAGUUUCCUCAUUGGUUAACUAUAUUUGGCAACAAGUGAUGAUUAUGGGAAAAAUGAAAAAUAAAGAAGAAAACUUUUAAAUACUAAAGUAGAUAUUAACAAAGUUACCAUUACAUGGUAUUUUGGAAGCGUAGCUUCGUUGGCUUCACAUCUCAUUCGUCUACCAAUUUCUACUUCAUUUGGACCUCCAUUUUUUUAUCAAUAGGAUAGUAUCAUGUUUCCUAAAUCAACACCCCUUUUUCAAAGAGUCACGAGAUUACUUUUAUACUUAUCUUUUGAAUAAGAUAUAUUUUAUAACUAACUUAACAUACCUCUAAGAAUUUUUGGUCAAAUGAGCUUGUUCUUAUUCUAAAAAAGUCAUUUUGUUUCACAUUCAUAAAAGUUGUGAAUAAUAUUUAAUAGUAUAAACUUCACAAGCCUUAAUAACAAUAUCGUGCCAUUUAUCAUCUCAUAGGAUGGUUUAAGGUUUUGAUUUACUGGCUCUCGUUAAGGUUAACUUAACUAAAAUAGAAAAAUAACAAAAUGUCACUUAUACAAGACCACAAGUUGGGGUUCGAGUUUAUGGUUAAUUCAUUGUAAUAAGGGGUCAUAUUAAUGCCUAUAUACUCAUAGUAAGAAACAUACCUUUCAUUGAUUAUUUUUAUUGCAGCUUUAAAGACAAGUAGCUUAAGUUACUAUGUGGUAUGAAGUUAAACUUGAUUCAUAGUUUAUUUAUUUAUUUUUAAAGUGUUUAUUUAUCUCACAUUUAGAGUCUGUUUGGUGAUGAUUGUAGAAAUCAUUUUUAAGUGUUGGAAAUACUAAAAACGAUUCAUAUAAUCACUACUAAACACAUUCCUAUAUUGCGUUUGGUAGUGCUUUUAUAAAGUGUUUAUAAUAUUUUUAGCAUUUGAAAAUUUUUAUAUUUCAAAUAAUAUAAAUAUUAAAAAUACUUCAUAAAAUCACUAUCAAACAUAUUCUUAUACAAUGCAGGGAUAAUGCAUAACAGUAUGAAUUUUGAUGCAUCUUAAUUUUGAUACAUCCCCUUUUACUAACUAGUCAAUAGAAUUAUUUGAGGCUUUGGCUUGAUGAAACUUAUCACAAUAAAAGUAGUUAUAAAGACAUCAUUUUAAAAACAUUUAUUACCACACAAACCAAAAACAUUUAUUGUUACCCAAACUAAUUAAUUAUUUAUUAAUUGUAUAAGACCAUAGUUUGUAACUUAAAUGUUUUGUUAAUCAUUUUUACGAUAAAAAUAUGUUAUAGUCAAGUUUAGAUUUUUCCAUUUUAUUUACAUGAUUCUUUACCUUAAUGAAUUUUUUUAAGUUAAUUGAUCGAUCAUUUUUCUAAGAGCAUAAUCUAUAGACAAAUGUAAAAUUUCAUAUUUUUUAUUCACAUUGUUCAUAGACUCAAGUAUUAUAAGCCAAUUGUUUCAAACAAAGAAAAAAAUAAAAUUAUAUUUCAAAAGUUGGUGAAUGAUAACCUUGAUCUAACUUUCAUCGAUAGAAAAAAGUCUCAGUGAGUGUUUAGUUAACCAAUUUAACAACUUAAAAAUUUAACUGAAGUCGUUAAAUAAAUUAAGUAUAUUUUAUAAAAUAACUUAAUGAUAUGAUUUAAAAUAAAAAAUAUCUUUAAGUAAUAAAUAAAACGAAUUAACUUAUUUUUAAGUUUACAUUUUUACUUUUAUUUACUUUAAUUACUUUUAUGGUUGUUUUUACUAUUUUACCACCUUCGCUAUUACUCAACUUUCUUUACCAUAAUUAUAAUUUAUGGAGAUAAAUAUGUUAGUUUAAUGAUUUAAAAUAUAUUUAAGUUAAUUUUGUCAAAUAACAUUAAUACUUAAAAUAAGAAUUAAGUAAUAAGUUUUAAGUUAACAACUUAAAUAUAAUUUAACUUUAAAUAAUUAAGUAAUAAGUAUGAACUUUUAUCUAAUGCUCAAUCCAUUUAAUUAAUUGCUCGUUUUCUUAGUUUAGUUGUCCCAUUUUGGAGAUUUUAUAUUUAAGGUCAUUUUGCUAAUAACUUUUUAAAAUUUUUAAUCCUCUCUCGCGAAUAAACGUAAUUUUUUUUCUGUUUUUUUGACCACAAAAUUUAAAAUGCAACCUGUGGGACUUAAAAUAUGCUUCAUAAUCGAGAAUGAAAAAACUUAAAGAAGUAUAAAAUAUUUGUUCACAAAAAGAAAGGAUUCAGUAGAGUAUAAAGGGGCUUCUUUAGUCCAGGGUAUGAGUCAGUGAGAGACACAGGGCGAGGGGGAGGAGAGAGGACUCAACCCCGGCAGCGACCAUCGGGUAACCCUAACCCUAAUUCUCCAUCUUUCUUGUUCACAGUCAUCAUCUUCAUCUUCUCAUAAAAAAGCCGAACUCCGGAAGAUGUCAUUCCGGAGAAAACAAAGUUUCUGAAACAAAAUUCAAAGAGUUUCAUCGCAAGAGACACGAUCGGCUCAUGUAACGGAGGUAUCAACGCUUCCCAUCACGCUUGCGUUUUUGUGACUUUUCUAGCAAUGAUAUUUCGUCCUGUGUCGAUGAAUUGUAAAUCGUGACUCUAUCUAGGGUUUGCCGGUUAAUGACCUUCCUUUUCGUUUUUUGAGGCGGGGAGGUUUUUUGGAAAUAUUUAGAGAUCUUAAUUGUUUUCAUUAUGCGAAUUUGAUUAGGAGUUCGUGAUUUCAUGUCAAGUUUAGCAUAGGAAUCAUUGUUAUAGCGAUUUGAUGGUUUCUAAUGCUCUGUAAUUCAUCAAAAGAUAUGAGAAAAAUUGAAUGGUUUCAUAUAUAAUGGUCAGAAUUUGAUUUUUUGGUUGCUACUGGUUUGAAGUUCCGAAAAGAUGGCGUCUCAACAAAAUGUUGAGUUGGAGGCAGCAAAGUUUUUACACAAGCUCAUUCAAGAUUCUACUGAUGAGCCUGCAAAACUGGCGACAAAACUCUAUGUGGUGUGUGCAAUUUAAUUUCUCAGUAUUUAGGUUUUAUCAGUGGCUUUUAUUUCUGACCUUUUUAAUGCUAUAUGGACAUACUUACCAUCUGUGGGUGUUUCAGAUAUUGCAACACAUGAAAUCAAGCGGGAAGGAGCAUUCGAUGCCAUACCAAGUAAUAUCAAGGUAAAGCAUUUUCAAUGUCAUUCAUACCUGUCCAUCCAAGCGUUAACUGUUAGUUCUAUCAAAAAAGUGUUAACUAUUAGAGCCAUUUUAGGCCAAUGAACCAUGAAGAAGAUACACCAUACAUAAUAGACUGGGGACAAUGCUCUUAUAUGUCUGGAUUUAAAUGAUAAUCAUUUUACAUGGAGUUGGCAAAUCAAAUGCUUUAUUGAGAUGAUGAGCUCAAGUCCUUGAUUGAAUAGCUGCACAAUGAUAUUGCAGAUGGGUCUCUAAUCUGUACUCGAUUACAUACUGAACUGUUUAUAGUCUCUAUCUACACACACACACACACACACACACACAUAUAUAUAUAUAUAUAUAUAUAUGCAUGCUGGAUAUAUGAAAAUAAAAAUGAAACUCAAUUCAUGGUAGUUUCUUUUGUACCUCCUCUGAUCAUUCCCCAUAAUUUUAAGCUGUGAGUCGUAUUAGCAUCUCAGUUGUAGAUUGAAACAAAUUGGCCCAACCCUUUGAUUGCAGCUUUAGUCAGCCUGUCUAAGUAUUCUUCUUUUUUUUUUUUCCCUAUCGUUAAUUACAUAUUUUAAUUUUUUAUGUUAUUUUUUAAUUCUCUCUUUAAAGGGCCAUGGAGACUGUUAUCAAUCAACAUGGUCUUGAUAUUGAGGCUUUAAAGUCAUCACGCCUUCCUUCGAGUGGUGGAACUCAUGUAGGAGAUUCUUCAGCGGCAAGAUUAGCAGGUAAAUGUGUACCUAAAUAAAUGCUUAUUGUAUUCUUGGUUAAAAAUGCCUUUUUCAAAUGCAUCCAUCAGUGGAUGUCAUUUUAAGCCAUUGUUGAAAAGGGGGAAAAUUUUCUAUGUAGGAUCAUCGUCGGCGGCUGGGGUUGCAAAAGAUACCCAAGCAGGCUUGGCUGAAAACGAAAUGGCUAAAAUUGAUGCGUUUGCUUCCAGCAGGCCACCUGUUGGCCCAAGCAGUGCAGGCCAUGAUAUAUAUCAAGGAUCUGUAUCCCAUAAGAGUGGUGGGAAGUCCUUUGAUCAUGAGAGUCCAUCUAGUUUGGACACUAGAUCUGCCAACUCGCAGUCACAAGAAAGGCGUGAUUCAGCAAAUUGGGAAAAGCAGGUGAAUCAAAAGGAUAGUAAAAAAUCCAAUGCUAAGAGAAAGAGAACAGAUCCGUCACCAGCUAUGGAGCCACAUGUUGACAACCCGAACCAUCCUGACACUCGCAACAGUGUAGUUAAUCCAAGGAAGGGGAAGCUGAUGAACAAGGUGGAAUCACCUGGGAGUUUUUCUGUUAAAAGUGGUGAGAAUACUAACGUUAAUAUAGUUCAAAGUACCGGUCAAAUGGAACAGUUUCCAAUAUCAUCUGGUAGCAUGAGAUCAAUGCUUAGAGCCAAGCAGGAGGGUCAAAGUUUUAUGGGAAAGUCAAUGUAUUCAAGGCAUGUUAGCAAUCCCAUGCCUUGGGUGCCCAAUUCAAAUUCCCUGAAAAAGUGGAAGUUUCCUCUUCAAAUAAUGCUGUAGGACUGCAGCAAGGGGGCAACUUACCUUCUACACAAAGACAUCCUCUUCUCCAAAGGUGUAUGGAAUCAAAAUAAAAUAAGGUUUCCUUUUGGAAAAUCUCUAGUUUUAAGGACCUUCCUAAUGUUGUUUCUGGUAAUUUGAUGCCAGAAUUUUUAUGCAGCAGUCAACUACUCCAUCUUUAGGAUCAAGUAAGGAGUGGAGUUGAAAUGUGAAAUAAGGAUUAGGGAUUUAUCUGUCGGAAAGCCAUGCAUUUUGAGUCUGGCAAAAGCUAUCAAGGCCAUCAUCUUUUGUUAUCAAUAUAAUUCUUCUUCUUUUCUGUUUAGUGAAUUACGAGGGACGAAUUUAAUAGGUUUUAGGGGCAAAGACUCUGGUGUGAUAGACAUGUCAUUCAAAGUGAAAACAAAACUUUGACUGGAAGGUGCUUCUUGUCUAUGUUGCUUUUGGAGCUCAAAUAUGACAUGUAGGGCUUGCAUGUAGGCUAUACAUUGAUCUAGUGUGCAUUCAUUGACAUUGUGGAUAGAGAUGUAUAAAUAUAAAGAGAGAUUUCAUGGGUAGCAAAAAGUGGGUGUCUCCAUGUAAGCUUCGCCCGGAAAUUUGGAGAUGUUUCAACAGGGACCAAAGGGGUGCAGUUUCUAGAUUCAGAAUCAUGUCAGUGAAAGAAUGUCUCAAUAAUGAGAUUUUUGUAUUCUGUUUCAUGUGAGCGAAAGAAUUGCUCCCUGAUGUGACUUUCAGCUUCAUUUGUUUCAAUAAAAAUAAUUUUGGGAAAAAGUUUCUGGAUAAAGUAGAUAUUAGGCCUCUUUUUUGAUGUUUUUCCAUGAAGCUGGGGGGAAAUAUGCCAUGAAUAUUCAGUUGUAGCCAGGGAAUACGUUUCCUUAUAAUUGAAUUUCAUUUUUAGAAAAUUUCCGUAUAAAAUAUAUUGCAAACUAAAUGGAGCAGAAUCGAUCUCCAGUUCAGAUCUGACAUUGAUUGAAUUCAGCAUGCAAUAUUUUCUUUUCAAUAGGCAAUCUAUUUAUUAAUGGUAUUGAAUCUAAGACCUUCCCCAUCCCCACCCUUAUCCCUUGCCACCUAAGAGUGUGUAAUAUUAGGGAAGUAAAUUGUAAUCUUCACUGUGAUUUGAACUUUUCUUAUUAAAGUGUCUGAAUUUCUAAGUUCUGGAAUGUCUUGUUGGUUGAUGAGUAAUAAUGUUUCAAAAUGUGUUACUGCAAAUCAGGUGCUGCUGCAAAGAUUCAUGGAGGGAUGCCUAGUUCAUAUCCAGUGGUAGAACCAGGAUUCUCAAGUUCAAUGCAGUUCAGUGGUUCUUCCUAUGAUAAUCAUGCUUUGGUUGCAAAGAUGCAUAAAGAAAGAAACAUGGAGGCUUUUUCUGCUAUGAAUUCUUCUUUGCUUGAGGCCUCAUCUGGUAAAAAUGCUGUUGAUGCUGAACAGUGGAAGCAUGGAUUAAUGAGAAGUGCAGUAAUAGGUGCCCCUGAGAAAACUAUAGAAGCUCAGAUGUUAUCAGGUAAUCAUGGGGAAGAAGAAUCCAAAACACUCUCCAUUGGAAAGGUCUUGGAUCAUGAGGGAGGAACUUCAAAUACAUCAGGAAAUGCAAAUAAAAUGGCUCAGGUACCUUUCUUUUCCAUUAUUGUCUUGGUUUUUAUGAAAAUAUUGAAGUCAUGCUGAUUUCUUUGUAUGCCAGUGUAUUUGUGAUAAGGUAGCUUUUGAAGGGUGAUGAGAUUAGUUUGUAGUGCUUAUUUCUAUCUUUACUUUCAAUAUGUAGUGGCCAAAGUCAUGAAUUUUUCAUUUGACUGAUGCUUUUCAAUGUUCUAUGCCCAUUACUGUAUUUCUACGUAGUUGCAUUGCAAAUGCUGCCGUGCAUUUUUUCUUGUGGCAUUUACUUCCUUUGUGCUCUCUAAUUUCCCUCUAAUUAAGCUGCCUAUUGGAAAAUUUUUAUUCCCCUCUAAUUAAGGUGAGUUUUAAAGAGAUGUUUCUCUUGUUAUAACUCUUGGGAGAUGAUGAAAAUAUGCUUCUUCGUUUUUCUUCCCCGAGCUUUAUGUGCCUUUUAUUCAAUUGCUUAAGCUAGGGGCAAGUUGUUCCUGGUUUUCAACUUUAUAUUUUGUGCUAUAGUCAGCAUGUCUGUUAUAGCUGGGAAAUUCCGAGUCCGGUGGAUUGGGAGGUUGCUUUUACUAGAAUGAGUUGCUUUAUAAUUCUUAGGUUUUAAAUUCAAUGUUGAAUUUUGUCACUUCCUACAAUGGAGAGAUUCAUUGCAGGAUAGCAUUGAGUCACAGUAAAAGUUGGCAAGCACUGGGAAAAGCAGAGAUCCAUUGCAGGUAUCAUAGGUUUAAAUAAAAGAUGAAAAAUUCCUUAAUCAGAGGCAUUUUCUGAGGGUAGUCUUACUAGAGAGGCUGUAAUCAUGGUAUGUUUUCCUCUCCCAUAGGCUGUAGAUUUGUUAGGUAAUUUUUUUGAUAGACAACAAAAGCAUGUGUUAAGAAGUGCCAAAAAGAGAGGGCACACCCUACAUAUACAGCCAUCUCAUCUUGUAAAGUGUGUUGUGGCUUGUACCAGAGACCCAGGUUCAUGUAUCAUAGUCUUAGUUUGAAUAUCCUUAUCUCCUUACUGUAUGUAAAAGUGGAAGAUAUUGUAAUCGUGUAUCUAUAUUGGAGUGCUAAAUGCUGUAGAGUCCACUAACAAUGCUUUGUCUCUGAAUUUUUGUCAUUAUUUCUGUUUAAUCAUUUUCUUAUUUCUACUUAAAUUGGGUUUGAUGUCUCUGAACAAGUAAAUGUUCCUCAUUGCCUAUUUUGUUCUGUAUUUGGACUCUUAUUUAUAUGCUAGUUGAAAUUUUGUCUGCAUCUUGGCCAUCUCAUGAAAAAAAAAAAAGUGUGCGCAUCUUAAUUUACUUUUACCGUAUGAUGGUUGCGUUGAUAGGGCGGGGGGGCAAACAUGGUUACAGAAAUGAGCAUGCUUAGAAGUGCAACUUUUAGAGAUGCUGGAAAAUCUCCAAUUCCCCAGGCUCUUCCUUUCUCUGGUAUGCCUUUCAAGGAACAACAUUUGAAACAGCUAAGAGCACAAUGCCUUGUCUUUUUAGCAAUCAGGUCUGUGGAACCUAAGUCUUUGUAGCCUGUUGCAAGUUGAAUUUAUACUUUAAAAUCUUUGUUUCUGGCAACAUUGUCUUAACCAUUGGUUUUUACAUGUAGAAAUAAUUUGAUGCCGAAGAAGUUGCAUCUUGAAAUCGCACUUGGGAACAUCUAUCCCAAAGAAGGUAUUAACAUUUGAUAUAUGUGUGUAUGCAUGUAUGUAUAUUGUAUUAGUCUUUGCUUAUUUACUUGGAUAAAAACAGGUGGCAUUACAGAUGGGCCUCGCAAAGAGCUGAUUGACCAUAAAGGAAAAGAUUAUUCUCUGAAUGAACCGAGUAAUGUUCCUGAAGUCCCAGUGCCAUUUGGAAGACUAAGUAAUGUUAGGGAUACUGAAAGAAUUCCUCCAGGUUCCUCAUCUAGUGGAAGUCUCCUUGAGACUGACUCCAUGUCAAAAGCUGGUGAGAACACAAAAAUAAUGGAAGACAAUCUUACUGGGAUUGCAGAAGAAAGAAGACAUAUUUUAGCUAUGAGAAGAAAACCAGAGGCUGACAUGCAUACUCAGGAGGUGGCAGAAUCACAGGCAUUUCCAUCUACAGCAUCUCAGCCUGAUUCUUCAAGCAUAAUGGGUUUAACUGCUAGUCCUCAUGAGGACAAUUUGGAGAGUAGUCAUCUGCAAGUUGGGAGGGCAAACCAAGCCUCUUCUCUAAUGGGAAUAAAUAGGCAGAUUCAACCUGAGCUAAUUAACUGGACUGGAAUUGGGAAUCAUAAUGAUGCUUCUAGGGGACAACUCCCAGUUUCUGCUAUUCAGCAUGAGCCUUUGCUGGAAAGAAAAGACAAUACUCCAAGUCAGUCUCAAAGUUUUGGUGACACUAGUGUUCAAGGAAAUCAACAUUCUGAAAAUCACUUGUCUCCAUUCUUGCUGAGAGAUCAUUGGAAGCCUGUGUCAGGAAUGGACAAUGAUCACCACAAAAUAUUUCAAACAAAGGAGGCUAAUCUGUUGAUCAAGCAUGUUUCACGAGGUGAGAACUAUAAUUCUGAAUUGAACUUUAUCGUUAUUAAAAACUUUUGUGAUGUUCAAUUUUCUUUUAAUAAUUUUUGGUCCAGAUGAUUCCAAGGUUACUGAAAUUCAAACAAGAUGCAUUUCAGAUGGAUGCAAAGCAGUUGCUAUUGAUGACACAACAAAAAAUGGCUAUCCUUAUAAAAUGGUGGAAAAAUCUGCAGAACAAGGAGAUGAAGACAGGCCAAUGUUAGUUAAUUUGCCACCUUCUCCAAAGUGCACCACGUCAGAGAAAUGGAUCAUGGAUCAGCAGAAAAGAAGACUACAUGUUGAGCAAAAUUGGUUACUAAAAGAGCAAAAAACUGAGAAAAAAAUUGCUGCUUGUUUUGAGAAGUUGAAGGUAUGUUUGUAAGACUUACCAUCAUGAAUUACCAUAUCAGCAAUUCUCUUCUGCUUAUCCUUUGCUAUUUUCCUUAUUAUCAUUACCUUAUUCUUGAUGUUAAACUUUCACCAGUGGAGAUUAUUUGCCUUUUUCUUUGCCUUUUGUUUUGGGGAUUGGAGGGAGUGGUGUUGAGAGUUGGCCUUAUAGAUCAGUGUUCAACACAAGUUAUGCUUGUGGCAACUAAUUGCGGGACAUUGAAGGAAGAGUCCUGAAAACACAGAAAGGAAACCAUGCAAUGCCCUUCAGGAAUGAGAAUUGAAGGAAUUUUUAUUUUUUUUGAUAGACAAAGCUAGAUUGAAUUAAGAAGACACCAAAACAGGGGGUGCACCCUACGUAUAUAGGUAGUAUACAAAAAGAGCCAAAACUAGGCUGCAAAAAGAAAGAAAGAAAGAAACUAGAGAGAAAUAAAGCUAGCCACCAUGCCAAUCACCCAAAAAAUUCAGAAAAGAGGGGAAAUCUAAAGCUGAAAAAUAGUGAGAGACCACUCUAGAAGUGAACGGAAAAAGAGGUUCCUCAAGCUUUUUCUGACAACUCUUCCUCUUGGAACAUUAUUUGGUUUCGCUCUCUCCAAAUACACCAAAAAAGACAAAUAGGCACCAAUCUCCAAACUACUUUCUUAUUCUUCCCUAGUCCCUUAACUUUCCAUUCUAGAAGAAGAUUUCUCACUAAAGUCGGGAACACCCACACCAGUCCAAAAGAUGAUAGCAUUAGAGUCCAUAGCUCCUUUGUCUUACCACAAUGAAUUAGAACAUGGUCCGCCGAUUCAUUGCUGUCUUUACAAAGGCUGCACUAUUGACCAUGGACCAACCCCUCUUAAUCAACAUGUCUACUAUUAAAAUUUUUCCCCAAACUGCUUCCCAAGCAAAAAACGAGUUCUUAGAGGGGCAUACGAACCCCGGAUCUCUUUGGCUGGAAAUAAAAAGGUAUUCUUGGCCCUUAAAGACCUAUAAUACGAUUUGACAUUUAACUUUCUCCUCCCAUCCUUCUUCCAAAUGAAGGAAUCCUCCCCUUCUUGAACCUUUACCGCAGAAAUAUGUUCCAAAAAACGAGUCACCUCCUCCAAUUCCCAAUCUUGGAAGGAUCUUCUAAAGUGCACCUUCCAACAUCUGCCUUCACCUCCUUGCCUCUCCCAUAGAUCAACCAUUGAAGCAGAUUUAUGGGCUGCAAUUCUGAAUAACGUAGGGAAAAGAUCCUUCAACUUAGAAUCCCCAACCCAAAUGUCCCACCAAAAUCUCGUGUGUCUACCAUUUCCAAUACGGAUACUAGUUCUAAGAAGGAAAUCCUUCCAUCCUUUUCUAAUGUCUUUCCAAAGGCUCAUCCCAUAAGAAUCCCUUAGCUCUCUAGUGGUCUAGCCCCCUUCAACCUCUCCAAAUUUUUUGACAAUGACUUUCCUCCAAAAACUCUCAUUUUCUAGGGAAAAUCUCCAAAGUCAUUUUCCUAGCAAAGCUUGAUUGAAACCCUUUAAGUGCCUUAACCCCAACCCUCCAUGCUUCUUAUCUUUACAGAUAACCGACCAACUUACCAAAUGGAUCUUCCUUCUCUCCCCCAAAUGUCCCCACAAAAACUCCCUUUGAAGUCUCUCCAAUUUGAUUCUCACUUUCUUUGGGAUUACAAAAAGCGACAUAAAAUAGAUUGGGAGGUUUGAAAGAGUGCACUUAAUAAGGGUAAGUCUUCCUCCCUUUGACAAGUAAUGUUUUUUCCAAGUAGUGAAUUUCCUCUACAACAUCCCAAAUUCUACUCUAUUUAUGAGGGGCUCCAAGGGGUAAACCUAGAUAAGUAGUAGGGAGCUUUCCUAUUUUACAGCCAAAUAACGCAGCUGUUCUAUCCACAUCCUCAAUUCCCCCCACUGGUAUAAAUUUUUUUUUUGCAGGUUUAUUUUCAAUCUUGACACCACUUCAAAACAAGUAACAACCCAUUUCCAAAAUUUCAAUUGAUCACCAUUAUUUUUGCAAAAAAGAAGGGUGUCAUCUGCAAACAACAAAUGAGAGACAUUAACCCCUUCUCUACCUCUCCCCAUUACCUUAAAACCCCUAAUGAAACCUUUCUCCUCAACUCUUGCAAUUAAACCACUGAACACUUCCACAAUCAGCACAAACAAAUAAGGUGAGAGUUUUUCCCCCUGCCUUAAGUCUCUACACAUUGAGAAGAAAUCUGUAAGAGUGCCAUUGACUAUGACUGCCAUUCUCACAGUUGAAAUGCAGAAAAAAAAAUUCACUUUUGCCUUUUGGGACAAAAUCCCAUUUUCUCCAAAACUGAUAGUAGGAAAUUCCCAUUUACGUGAUCGUAAGCUUUUUCAAUGUCUAAUUUGCACACUAAACCCGCACUAGAGCUUCUUUUCCUCUAGUCAAUCGCCUCAUUGGCUACCAAAACCGUGUCCAAAAUUUGCCUACCCCCACAAGAGCAUUCCGGCUGUUCGAUACCACUUUUCCUAUCACCCUUUUCAGCCUAUUAGCUAGAAUUUUUGCAAUAAUCUUAUAAAAACUUCCCACAAGACUAAUAGGCCUGAAAUCCUGCACAUCACUUGCCCCACCUUUCUUUGAGAGGGGAGCUAAGAAGGUUGCGUUAAGGCUUUGAAAAACAACAUUUUGCGAAUAGAGUUCCUCAAACCUGCAUCACUUCCCCCAAACUAUACGUUAACAGAACUUCUAGAUAGUUAGUGAAAAACCAUCCUGCCCUGACGCCGUGUCACCCCCAAAAUUUGAGAGAGCAUUAAUUACCUCUUUCUCUGAAAACCGCCCCUUCAAGGUCUCAUUAUCCAAGGAGUCAAGAUUUCUAAAAAGCCCUAAAACCACAACAGUUCUUCUCACUUGAGUUUCUUCAAACAUGGAUUUGAAGUAGGACCCAAUCCCCUCUUUAAGCUCCUCUUCUUCUGUCAGCCGUACACUCCUGACCGUGAGGCUAUUGAUAAAAUUUCCCCUUCUCCAUGUAUUAGCCAUGUGAUGAAAGAACUUUGUAUUAUUGUCUCCUUCCUUCAACCAUAGAGCCCUUGAUUUCUGCCUCCAAGAAGUUUCUUCAAGGAUGGCGAAGUGAUUGUAUUUAUCUCUUGCUGUCUGCUAACUUCUCUUGUCUUCCUCUGAGAGAGGUCUUAGCCUUUCUAAACUAUCCCAAUGGUUUAACUGCUCCAAGGCAACAUCCUUCCUAGGUGACACAUUAGCAAGGACCUCUUUGUUCCAUUUCUUCAAGUUGCAUUUCAAAGCCUGUAACUUCUUAACUAGCACAAAGCUCGGUUUUCCCUUAAAAUUGUAAGUCUUGCCACCACUUUUUAAUUUUAUCCGUGAAACCUUUCACUCUUAGCCACAUGUUUUCAAACGUAAAAGAGCUUUUACCUUAUCUCACCCCUCCACAAUCUAACAAAAUGGGGCAGUGAUCAGAAACUGGUCUUGGCAAAAGAAUUUGCUUUGCCCCUGAAACAAGAUCCUCCCAAGUUCCUACCAACCCCCAAGCUUCUAACAAACCUAUCGGAGAUCUCUUUUAUUUUUGUCUCCUGAAAACACACCAAAUUUGGCUUAUGUUUUCUCAUCGUUGACUAAAUGACCAUCUUUUAUCUGGGUCAUGCAAUCCUCAACAUUCCAAGAUAAAAUGGAACGUUAUUGGGUGACUAAAAAGGAAAGAGGUUCAUGGCGAUUUGAUAGGUGAUUGUGCUAAAUAUUCAAUAUGUUUAUAGAGUUUGGGAUGCUUUAUUUGUUGCGUUCCUCGCUUAGCCAAUUAGGUGGCAGAUAAGCUAGCUAAAAGAGGAGCAAAGCGGUGGGUCUCUUUUGUUGGAGAUUACGUGCCUCCUUGAAACUACUCAAUGGUUGUUCAAGCAGUGCUUCAAUUGUUGUAACUUCUCUUGGUUAUUUUUCUAUAUGGUUCCUUGUUAGGGAGUUCAUUUCCUUGUCUUGUUCUAAGUUGUACAUUGUGUCUCGUUCUUCUUGACCCUUUCAAUUAAUGGAAAAGAUCUUUUUGGGUUUUGAUAAAAAAAAAAAGGGGAAAGUCACAAGAAUAUGCAGCUAGGUUUUUUUCUAACUUGUGGAAAUUUCCCUUCAUGGUUUUUUUUGGUAAAGUGAUUUUAGUGCUCUUCUUGUUGUUUGUUCCUACCUUAUCCCUCUACACCAAGUUUGUGAUCUUUGAAUUAAAAGCUUAGGUGUGUCUCAGUUCUUGGAAUGAGGUGCUACUAAUGCUAGUUGGCCUAUUGGUGGAUUCAUGAUAUUUUAGGAUUGAAUGCUGGAGUUAUUGGAGAUAAGGUGGGUGGCUUUUUUCUUUCUUUCUGUUUUAGUAAUUAUAAGAGUGACUUAAUUUUGAGUUAUGGAAGAAGAGCUUUUUGGGAGGAGUUGGGGUGUCAUUAACGGGUUGUGAGAGGAUCUUUGGUGCAGGAGAAGGGGUUUUAAUGCGGUCCAUUUUCCUCAUGAGAGAUGGACUAAUGGAGGUUGGUGAGUUUAUUGAUGAGCCAAUCUUGUGGAUAUUCCUUCGAUUGGGUGCCAGGGUUAUUAGUUUAGGACCAAAUCUUGUUCUGAUUUGGUGGAUUGGGAAGAGUACUUUUCUAAUGAAUUUAACAUUUUCCUGAGGUUAUUGAUUGAUUCUCCUCAAGUCUACUCAAUAGUGGUGGUUUGAGGAGUGGAAAGUGCAUAUUCUAGUUAUAAGAUAAUAUAUGGUGAAGGGAAGAGAGAUUUGGAGACUUGAUCUUGAGUUAAUGGAAUGGCUAUGGGGUUGGAGGACCUCCUAGGUUAUAUUUUAGGUAGUUAAUUGUAGGCACUAAAGGAGGCUUUAGGCAAAAUUCACUAGUGGCUUAAGGGUGGACAAAUUUGGCUUUUCUGUACAUCUAAAAUGAAUGGAGGGAUCCUUGCCUUUUUUUUCAUGUGUAUACUUGAAUCUUGGUAUUAGGUGUCCUAACAUAUAAAGGAUGAGGUUUAGACAUUUUGAUGUGGCAUAUAUGGUGGUGUUAGAGGGCUUUUUCAGUGAAGAGGAGUUAUUAAUACUCUUAUAUAAUCUAGAUGGGAAUGACACCUGGGUACAAAUGGGUUACCAUGGUUUUUUGAUAGGUUUUGAUGUCGGAUCAAUUGUAGAGAAGAGGAUGGCACUUGGUGAGCCACUGUUUCUUUGUAUGGAGGAGGAAGAAACAAUUAAACCACAUUCUCCUUCAUUGUGCCCGAGCUCGAGACUUAUGGAGUUUGGUAUUCUCUUUGUUUGGGGUAGAGUGAGUGAUGCCUUGGUCGGUAAAAUAGACUUUGUUAGGGUGGCAUGGUUUUUUUGUGGGUAAAAAAAGGAAGAAGGCUUUAAGGGUUAUCCCGUUGUGUAUUUUUUAGACUUUAUGAAAGGAGAGGAAUUGAAGAUCUUGAGAGAGCAAAGAAAUGUCUGUUUAUUGAUUUGUUUUCUCCUUUGUUUGUAAUCUUUUGUUAUGGGUGAGGGUGUGUGCUAAUAGAGGCUUCAUAAUCAUGGUAAUUUUAUAGACUGGUUAGGUUUGUCUUGAUGGGGUGUUUGUUAUUGGUUGUGUACUUUGGUUCACCUUCAACAAGUGCCUUUAAUAUAUUUAUUCUGUUUGUCUUUUUGUGAAUUGGGCUAGGGUGUGUGUUAACAAAUAUGUGGAAGUCAAUUCCCCUGGAAGUCCUUUGAUUUUAGUUGGAAGCUCCAUAAAGCCAUUGGUCCUAACUCCUAACUGCCUACCAUUCCUCUCUUCAUCACGGCUUUGCACUGUAGUUACAGUGGAGGUUGUUCUCAUGGGCAGGAAUUGCAUGGAUUGCUCUAAGAGACAUCCAUAUAUGUUGGUUAUCUAUUUCCUAGGGUUAGGGAGGAGAAGGGAGUUUUCUCUGUGGGGACCGGCUAUUCUUGUGAAUUAUGUCUUAAGAGGUAUGUCUUAAGAGGAAUGCCAUAGUAUUUGAGGACAAGAUGACAUCACUGAAAGACGCUUGGGGGACUUUGUAUCACCUCACAAUUCUCUUAAUGCGUGUCACUUGGAGUUUCGUCUGUGUCCUAUCAAUGGAAUGAAGAUUCAUUUUUUAGCCAUAUAUGGUUUUAUUUUGUAUAUCUUCCGUUGGAAGGCUUUCUCAUCCUCCCUAGUUUAUUCUUUUUCUUUAUUUAUAAUUUUAUAUAAUACUUCUCUUGUUUUUUAGUAGGAAAAAAAAUGAAUUGUGUGCUCAGUGCUUAAAUUUGAAGGUAGAGGCAGAAAUGGGUUGACCUCAUUUAUAUGUUUGACCCUUUGGCUGGCCAGAUUAAUAUGCCUGAUCCUUUGGCAUUUACUUUUUCACAUAAUUUUAAUUACAUGCUUUAUGACUUACACUAAUAGUUUGCCAUUCCCAGAUCUUACAGGUUUCUUGCCCUCUUUUAUGUCCUAAAUUAUUUCUACUAUUGAAAAGGAUGCAUGGUUUUGGGGGUGGUAUUUUCCAUAUAUCGUGUUACAUGUGCAUUGUUUUUGCCUCAUGGUAUGCAGGGUACUGUCAGUUCAUCUGAAGAUAUUUCUGCAAAAACCAAAAGUGUUAUUGAAUUGAAAAAGCUUCAACUGUUAGCACUUCAGCGUCGUCUCAGGCGGUAAUUCGACUCCCUGGUUUUUCUUCAGAUGGGAGCUUCCAAGUUUUGUUCUUAGAAUUAUCAGAUAAAUAUUAGCCUUUGAUUUCAUGACUUGUUGGACCUAGUCUUUUAUGUUACUUUGCUUUAGUUGUUGUUAUUAUUACUAUUUUAUUCUUAACUUCUGACACUGUUCACCUUCUUUGGGCAGUGAUUUUCUGAAUGAUUUUUUCAAACCAAUAGCAAUUGAAUUGGAUCGCUUGAAAUCUUUUAAGAAACAUAGACAUGGUAGAAGGAUAAAACAACUUGAAAAGUUUGAGCAGAAAAUGAAGGAAGAGCGACAAAAGAGAAUUCGGGAGAGACAGAAGGAGUUCUUCAGCGAAAUAGAAGUUCAUAAGUAUGUAGUGCUUUCUUUGUUCAAUUCAUAUCAUUACAUUUAACAUUUCAUCUUCAUUUUAGUAGAUCUCCAUUAUAUUUUUCUAUGGGUUUGCUUUCGAGAUUUAUUUAUUGGUUUUGUUUUCUGACUUGCUUGAUUGCUGUAACUUUAGGGAAAGACUGGACGAUGUGUUUAAAUUUAAGAGAGAAAGGUGGAAGAGUUUCAGUAAAUAUGUAAAGGAAUUUCACAAAAGAAAGGAGAGGAUACAUCGUGAGAAGAUAGAUAGAAUCCAGCGUGAGAAGAUUAAUCUAUUGAAGAUCAAUGAUGUGGAGGGCUAUCUGCGAAUGGUUCAGGUAUGGUCUGUUUUUGUAGAUUUUAUUGAUUUCAAGAUCUUGUACUUUUUUUUUUGUUUUUUCCUUUCAGUAACAGUUUUUAUGAUCGAGUAGGAUGCAAAAUCUGAUCGCGUCAAGCAACUGCUCAAAGAGACUGAAAAAUAUCUUCAAAAGCUUGGAUCCAAACUACAGGAGGCCAAGUCUAUGACAAGACACUUUGAGGUUGAUAUGGAUGAGAACCGAACUGCAAAUGUUGUUGAGAAGAAUGAAACUGCUGUUGACAAUGAAGAUGAAAGUGAUCAGGCAAAGGUGAGUUUGCCCUUUGUGCCAUAGUUUGUUUCAAUUUUCUUUGUCACUUUGGGUUCAUUUUUAUAUUCAUUUCUCAUUUUCUAUUGUGAAUCUGCUUGCAGCAUUAUCUGGAAAGCAAUGAAAAGUACUAUCUAAUGGCUCAUAGGUAUUUCUUCACUUUUAUGUUUUCUUUAGUUUUGUGUCAUAUUGUUUGUAGCUCAAGAUUGGGUAGUUUUGUGAUUAUUUUUUAGUGUUAGCUGAAGUUAGCCUUCUUUCUCCUCCUCAGUUUUCAUUUUUUUUUUUUUUUUUUGAUGAAUAAAGAGACAAUAUAUUAAUAAAAAGAGGCACUUCAAGGAAGCACCCCAACGUAUACAGGAGGUAUACAAAGAAAAAACCUUUACCCAUGGCCUAACCAAUCAACAAAAUCUACAACGGAAGUGGGACCAGAAACAAAAAAACCCCUGGACCACGCCCACAAAUUACAAAGUAAAACCGAUUUACACCCCUGAAUCGAAUGCUCUACAUUUUCAAAAGCCCUACUGUUUCUUUCCUUCCAAACAAUUCAAAAAAGGCACAAGGGUGCUGAACGUCACACUUUCCUCCUUUCCUUUCCCACACAAGGCCCUAACCACCCCAAUAACGCCUCUCUUGUUGAAGAGGGGAGCACCCACGAAACUCCAAAGAGAGAGAAAAGUAAGCUCCAUAAACUUCUGGCCAACCCACAAUGCAAGAGGAUGUGAUCAAUAGAUUCUUCCUCUACCAAACACAAAUAGCAUCUAUUAGCCAAGGAGAACCCUUUUUUCUGAAUACGAUCCAAUGUUACAGACUUUUUCCAUGUGGCCUCCCAAGCAAAAAAACUUACCCUCGGAGGCACCAAAGAAUUCCAAAUGAUGUUUGCAGGAAAUUCUUCACGUCUUUCCGGAUCCAAAUCCUUGUAAAGAGACUUAACUGAGAAUCUUCCGUCCUUUGCCUUAGUCCAAAUUACUUCAUCUUCCACAUCACUGUAAACCCUCCUCCCUUGCAACCUCAAGAGAAGGCGUUUCACCUCGAUCACCUCCCAAUCAUUAAUUCUCCUAGAGAACCUAGGAGCCCACACUCCCCCUCCAGAAUGACUCCAUACAUCCGCUACCCAAGCCUCCUUAUCCAAGGAUAUAGCAUAUAGAGAAGGAAAAAGAGAACACAACUUAUCAUCUCCACACCACUUUUCCUACCAGAAUCUAAUCCUUCUACCAUUUCCCGCAGAAUAAACCAGAUUGUUACCUACCGCUUCCCACCCUCUCCUAAUCGCUUUCCACAACCCAACCCCAUAACUUUCUCUCACAACACAAGACCUCCAACCACCCUCUUCUUCCCCGUACUUUGCACUUAUGACUUGCCUCCAUAAAGCUUCCCUUUCCACCGCAAAACGCCAACUCCACUUACAUAGGAGAGCCUUAUUUAGCAACGCCAAGCUCCUCACACCCAAACCGCCCUUUCGUUUAUCUGAGCAAAUAAUAGACCAUUCCACUAAAUGAGGCUUCCUUUCCAAUGCCCCACCACCCCAAAGAAAAUCCCUUUGGAUUCGCUCCAAUCUCAAACUCACGCUUCUUGGCAUCUGAAACAAGGACAUACAAUAGAUAGGCAUGCUGGACAGAGUGCUCCUGAUCAAGGUCAUUCUGCCCCCCUUGGAGAUAUAUUGCCUUUUCCAAAUAGAAAGCCUCUUCCUCAACCUUUCCUCAACUCCGUCCCAAGUAGCCACCUCCUUGAAGCGAGCCCCCAAAGGAAGACCCAAAUAAGUAGAAGGAAGCUUGCUGACCUUGCAUCCAAACUCAAGGGCCACCUCCUCUACAUUCUCCACUCUUCCCACCGCGAUGAUCUCACUUUUGUCUAAAUUCACCUUCAACCCUGACAUUGCUUCAAACCACAUAAGUCGCCAACUCAAAUAGGACACCUGAUUAGUGAAAGGCUCACAAAAAACUAAGGUGUCAUCCGCAAACAACAAGUGAGUGAUCUCCACUCCCCCCCUCCUCCACCACUAAGUUGCCACCCCGACAAAACCCCCCUCCUCCUUUGCUCUCUUCAACAAGCAACUAAAAGCCUCCAUGACAAUCAUGAACAAGUAGGGGGAAAGGGGAUCCCCCUGUCUCAAACCCCUAGAACUUUUGAAAAAACCUGAGGAAGUUCCAUUAAUCAGGACAGAGAAACUGACAGUCCCAAUACACCACUGAAUCCAGCUGAUCCACUUAGCUCCAAAGCCCAUCAUUUCCAUCAACCAAAAGAGAAAACUCCAAUUCACAUGGUCGUAUGCUUUUUCAAUAUCUAGCUUGCAAAGGAUGCCCCCUCCCCCACUUUUCUGCAUUGAAUGAAUCGCCUCAUUCGCAAUCAACGAGGCAUCCAAGAUAUGCCUUCCCUCCACAAAAGCAUUUUAGGACUUGGACACUAACUUACCCAUCACCUUUUUAAGCCUAUUAGCUAACACCUUUGCUAACAACUUAUAAAGACUUCCCACCAAGCUUAUAGGUCUAAAGUCCUUGAGGUCUUCGGCUCCUCCUUUCUUAGGAAUUAAAACCAGAAAAGAUGCAUUUAUGCUCUUGAUGAACUUGCCCUGAUCAUGAAAGUCCUUGAAAAACCCCAUCACUUUCUCCUUCAAAAAGCUCCAACUAAAUUGCCAAAACGCCAUUGUGAAACCAUCAGGACCAGGAGCUUUAUCCCCAUUGAGAUCCGAUAGAGCACCAAAAACCUCUUCCUCAGAAAAAGGAGCUUCUAACAUAGUUGCAGUUUCCCCUUCCAAGACCCCAACCUGCAGCCCAUUGCACCUAGGCCUCCACUCAACUGUUUCUGACAAUAGAGAGUGGAAAGCCUGAACCACACCCUCCUUGAUGUCAUUCUCUUCAGAAACCCACAUCCCAUUUAUCUUGAUCUUCACCAUGGAAUUGACCCUCUUGUGAGCAUUGGCCAUUUUAUGAAAGUAUCCAGUGUUUUUGUCUCCCUCCCUCAGCCAUAACUCUCUCGACUUUUGCCUCUAAGCUGUCUCUUCCAUUAACACCCACUUCUCAUACUCCUCCAAAGCCUGCUUUCUGGAAUUUUGCUCUUCAGUAUUCAACACCCUAUCUCCUUCUAUUGAAUCCUAAAACAUCAUCUGCUUCAAAGCUGAUUCUUUUCUGGCAUUCACGUUCCCAAACACUUCUCUAUUCCACACCUUCAAGCAGGCCUUAAGCGCUUUCAGCUUUUCAGACAGCGUGAAACUAAAGGAACCUCUGAAUUUGAAUCCCACCCACCAAUUCCUAAGUAAAUCCUUAAAACCUUCUUCCUUCAGCCACAUAUUCUCAAACCUAAAAGGGGAAGACCCCUUCCUCGUUCCUCCACAGUCCAGCAGAAUUGGGCAGUGGUCAGAAACAAUUCUAGGUAAAAGACUUUGAAUUGCCCCACUGAAAUAACAUUCCCAAUCCUCUGAAACUAUAAAUCUGUCCAGCCUUGACUGAGACUGAUUGUUCAACCCACCCCUCCACGUGAAAGACCCCCCUUGCAAAGGGAAAUCCCUUAAUUCCAAGUCGUCAAUGAUCUCCAAAAAUCUUCUCAUUGCUGACGACAGUCUUGAGAUCCUGUUCCUUUCUCCCAAAAAUCUAAUAACAUUAAAAUCACCCCCUAAACACCACGGGUCCUGCCACAAUCCCCUGAUUGUCCCCAAUUCCUCCCAGAAAUCCUCCCUCAACCUCCCAAUAGCAGGGCCAUACACCCCUGUAAAGACCCAAUAGAAACCAUCCUCCACAUUUUUAAAUCGGCAAGAAACCGAAAAAUUGCCAAUUUCCAUUUCCAAUAGCUCUAGAACUCUAGUAUCCCAAAAAACUAACACCCCCCCUUUUCUUAAUAUUUUUAAGAUCUAUAUCCAAAUGAUAUUUACACAAUUUUGUUUUCUGCAGUAUAAAGGAGAGCAUUGCUGAGCAGCCAACCUGCCUUCAGGGUGGAAAAUUAAGGGAGUAAGUGGGAUGUGCAUUUUCCUAACAAUUUAUGGAUUCCUUUCCUGCAGAUUUCUCAUGAUCCUUUUUAAGCAUUCUCUAAGCAGUUGGAAUUAAUGCUUUGUUCAUGUAUUUUCUGUUCUUAGUGAUGGUGUUAUUAUUAUUUUUUAAGAAUUGAUUGAUAUUUGCCUUUUUAAUUUGUUUAUUGAUAAUAUUCCUUUAAAUCUUGUGAGGUGUAUUAAUAAGAAAGCCUUUAGCUGUCAGGGGUUGGUUUGAGUUUGUUUGUAAUCAACUUUAUUGAUAUUCAGGUAUCAAAUGAAUGGCCUACGGUGGUUGGUUUCGCUAUACAAUAAUCAUCUGAAUGGGAUUCUUGCUGAUGAAAUGGGCCUUGGUAAAACUGUUCAGGUAUUUUUUUUGGUUUGAGUAUGCUAUACUACUCUUCAUGAUGGAAACUUCUAAUUUUGUUGUUGCAAAGGUUGGAAUAUGAAUUUGUGAAAACCUGAUAACAUGUGCUUGUGUAGGUUAUUGCGCUAAUUUGUUACCUAAUGGAAACGAAAAAUGACAGAGGACCUUUUCUGGUGGUGGUACCAUCUUCAGUUCUAUCUGGAUGGGAGUCAGAAAUCAACUUUUGGGCCCCUAGUGUAAACAAAAUUGUCUAUUCUGGGCCUCCGGAGGAGCGACGCAAGCUGUUCAAGUAAUGGCAUUUGAAUGUAAAUUUAUCUUUAUUAUAUUUCCUUGUCAUGGGAUGCAUAACUGUACUUGUUCUUUUGUCAUGGCAGGGAAAGAAUUGUUCAUCAAAAAUUUAAUGUCCUCCUGACCACAUAUGAGUAUUUGAUGAACAAGCAUGAUAGGCCAAAAUUAAGCAAAAUACAUUGGCAUUAUAUUGUAAUUGAUGAAGGACAUCGGAUAAAGAAUGCUUCUUGCAAGUUGAAUGCUGAUUUGAAGCAUUAUCAGAGCUCUCAUAGAUUGUUGUUAACUGGAACACCACUUCAGGUUGUUGAUUUUCCUUUUCUCAUUCCUUUAGUUAUCGAUUUUUUUUAAUAGGUAAAGAUCAAAUAUAUUAACAGUGGCUAAUGAAAGGGUGCACAAAGGCAUGCGUGAUUCCUUUGGUUUAUCAAUUUUUUUUUUUUUCUAUCAAUCUAUUAGAUAUCAACUUUCUUGCUCCUUAUGUGGGGUUGUACCUUCCUGCUUGUUUACUGCCUUCCUUUUUGCUUCUUGAUUUUGAUGUGAUUCACUGACUCAAUUCUGUUAUUCUCUUUUGUCUAGAACAAUCUUGAGGAACUGUGGGCACUGCUUAACUUCUUGUUGCCAAAUAUCUUUAACUCAUCAGAGGAUUUUUCUCAAUGGUUCAACAAACCGUUUGAAAGUAAUGGUGACAAUUCACCUGAUGAAGUAAGCCUUGAAAUUGUUGAGCUUUUUAGAUAUUAAUAUUUUCACCCCUUUUUCUUAUUUGAAUCAUAUCAGAUUAUGAAACUUUCACAUUAUUGGUUCUGCUUGUCAUGAGCAGGCCUUGCUGUCCGAGGAGGAGAAUCUUUUGAUCAUCAACCGCCUUCACCAAGUUCUUCGACCAUUUGUACUUCGGAGGCUGAAACACAAGGUCAUUAACAUGAUAGUUCAAGCAUAUUACAGAAAUGUUUCUUUUUACAAGUAUUUACAGACUCCAUUAACAUAUUCGGUAUAUAUUGAUACUGCAUAAUAAUCUUGUUUCCCAUCUCUUGUAACUGUUAUUCUUGAAAGAUUUACUGCAAAAAUUGAUUGGUAAACAUUUUUUCUAGUUUGAUUAAUGUUUGUCCCUGGGGCCUGGCUCAGGUGGAAGGUUCAGGGAUAGACAUGAGGUCUCAGGUUUUAAUUCAUCCAUAAAAAAAAAAUAUUACUUAUAAAAAAAAUUGGGCAUAAUUUAAAUUCAGGAAUUUACUGAAUGUUGAUCGGUAAAUAUGUUUGGUUUUUAACUAGAUAGUUAAACUUCUGGCAUAAAUUCCCAAUUGCUGGAUCAUAUCAUAGAAUCUUCACAAUGGAAUUGAUGCUGUUGCUCUAUUUCUGGUUUUGCAUGCUCAUUUUAGAAUUCUAUAUUUUAUAAUUGCAUAUUUGAUUAAUAAAAUUCCCAUUAAAAAAAAAUGCCGACUUAUUUGUUAAGCUGGUCUCAUUUGAGGGGAUCGGGGGAGAGUGGAUCUGAAUUAUUAUGAUUUAUUCUGUCUGAACUGUUUGCCUUUCUGAUAGUUGUGUAAUCUCAUUGUGAACACCUUUAAUACAUAAGCAGAUGGUUAGAUUGGUGAUUGAUGGUCAAUCUUUUACAGUUAAUCCCAAGGAAUUUGGGUUGGGGCUUUUUGGUGUUGUUUUGUUCUUUACCUACUUUUCUGGAUACCAAAAUUGUGCGCUUCAACCACUCUUGGGAAAUUUUUUUUCAGUUCAUUUUUGUUCCGAGAGAGCCCAGUGAAAUUCUGAAAGCUUUUUUAUUAUCGUUUUUUCUUUAUCCUUGUUACAUUUAUGAGAAGUUGGAAUUUUGAUUAUGUGAAUUUAUAAUUUUUGCCAAAAAAAGAAUGUUGUGUAAGGUCGGUAUCUUAGUUGAUUUAAAUUGGUCUCUAGAGUUAUCUUUUUGGAUGGGACUGAGCUUCUGAUAUGUAUUGCAUUCAUUUUCCCUUUUUCUUUUAAUCUUUAAAAAAUGAUUCAUUGAUAUGAAUUUUAAGUAGAAGCGAAUGAUGAAAAGUCCUCCCAAAAUACAAAGAAUAACUAGGAAAAAAAAGAAGGAAAAACCUAACAAGAGCAGCCAAAUAGCUAUACUAAACAAGUAUGAAACAAGAACAUCUGCAAAAUCUGCAAUAAUGUACAACUCAAGAGGGUAAAAAAACCCCCCCACAAAUGAAGCCAUUUACUUGCUCCACAUUUACCUAUAUGAUCGACAAUCUUGUUGGCUGAACGAGGGGACCAAGAGAAGGAACAAUCCAAGUUGCUAGCUUGAUCUAGGAUUUGAAGGAUGCCAUAUGUUGUACUUCCAAGGACUUCUGCCCAACUUAGACACCCAUUAGAUCACUACAACAGAAUCUCCUUCCACCAAAAAACUGGAAAGAUCCAAAGCCUUGGCUUGGAAUAAGCCCUCCAAAAGAGCUAAGAUCUCUGCCUUAAACUGAACUCUCUGUAGCCGAUUUUAGAGAAGGCUUUCAAUAUUGCACCAUGUGAUUCCUAAUCACAUCUCCAAUUCCCAGCUGGCGAGUGUUACCUAGAGCACUCCCAUCGAAGUUUAACUCAACCAAAUCCAAUGGAGGUGGACUAUGUGAAUUUUUUUAUCCCUUAUCCACUGCAUGAGGCCACAUAAUAUUUAUCACAUACUGAUGGCUUUACAUGAUUUUUUAUUCCAUGUUUUAUGUGAUAAAUAAAAUUUUGUGAGUUGUUUUAUAUUGAUAUUUUUGCUUUUGUAAUUACUGUUUUUUGUAGGUUGAAAAUGAAUUACCUGAAAAGAUUGAAAGACUUGUAAGGUGCGAAGCUUCUGCAUAUCAGAAGCUUUUGAUGAAGAGGGUAGAAGAAAACCUGGGCUCAAUUGGAAGUACAAAGGUUUCCUUGUGCAUUCAUUCUCAGUUUAUCAUUUGGAUUUCAAUGGAAGAACUGUCUUGAAUUAAUAUUUGAUGAGUGUGUUUAUAAUCUGCAAAAUUUACCUUCAUGUGCUCUAACCAUAACCUCACUAUCUCAUCAGGCUCGGUCGGUGCACAACUCUGUUAUGGAGCUACGUAAUAUAUGCAAUCACCCUUACCUUAGCCAGCUUCAUGCAGAUGAGGCAUGCACUUUCCAUGUUCCUUUAUGCUAUGUUUGAUUCUUGGAUGGAAAGAGAAAGAAAAGAAAUCUUCCUGUCCCUUGAAUUUUUUCCCUUUCCUUCAUUGUUUAUGAGAACCAAGAAGAGGGUUACAGAGUUUCUGUUUCCAUCUGUAAGGGUAACUGAUACUUCCCUGUCUCUUGGAAUGUUAACAUCAUGAUUCUCCUUUUGUAGGUUGACAAUUUAAUCCCUAAACAUUUUCUGCCACCUGUUGUGAGACUUUGUGGGAAGCUUGAGAUGUUAGAUCGAUUACUUCCCAAACUAAAAGCAACCGAUCAUCGGGUAUGGUAACACUUGUAUGCAUUUCCACUGUGUCUAAUUUUCAUGGAGCCUAAGGAAUUGAUAUUAUACUCAUUCAUAAUGGUGUUUGUUUCCAUACACUAAUGCUGGAAAGAAUUAUUUGUUCCUUACACAUCUGCAUCUGGCAUCUAGAUGAAAUUACAGAUAUAUAUUAUAGUAACUGAGUUUCUCUUUCUCCCUUUGCUGGAGGCUUGGUGUUGGAUCUUUUUUUUUUUUUUUGGGUUGGGGGGUGCGGGUUGGGAUUUGAGCAUAAAAAAAAUGCUAAUUUAAAAGGAAAGAAAAAGAAGUAUUAAUGGUCUUGCUAUUUUCCUUAUCCUCUCAACGUCAUGCAGUUUGAGAUUUGUGAUGCCAUAGAAGAUGAUAUGCUAGUUUGUCAUUUCACCUUUCCUUUUAACAAGUCAUUUUGCACAAAAAGCAUGAAUAAUAACUUUUCAUGUUCAGAGCUUUUGUCUUUAUUUGUCUGUUCAAGUACCUUAUUGGUCAUGCUUCUCGUUGAACUAUUCCCAUAAAUAUGAAAUCUUAAUACCAUGAAUUGAUAUUUUAAUUACCGCUUAUAUGUGGAACUUGGCAGGUUCUUUUCUUUUCCACAAUGACUAGGCUGCUUGACGUCAUGGAGGAAUAUCUGCACUGGAAACAGUAUCGAUACCUUCGAUUGGACGGACAUACAUCUGGGGGUGAUCGUGGAGCCCUCAUUGAGCAGUUCAACCAACCAGAUUCUCCAUAUUUUAUUUUUUUGCUCAGGUAAUUCAUCGCGUAAUGUAUAGUGAUAAACUCAAUACUUUCUAGUGCUGGAUGAUUAAUGAGUUCUCAACUUCUUUAUCUGUGGUCUAUUGGUGGAGGUAGACUGUAGUGAAUGUGGUUAUCCAUAUGAGAGUGCAGUAGAAUCAGUGUCUUGACAGGUUGAUGUUUUGGGGCAAUAUAGCCAUUUGCUUUGUUGGCAUCUGUAUAAGACAGAAGAGGUAGUUGCAUGCUUUUAGGCAUGACACCGUGUUGCCAGUGCUUCAACAUGAAUCAUGUAUUGUAGUACAGCUGUCUUAAGGUGAAAUGGCCUGGACAGUGGGCUACCAUGUGAAUCAUGUAUUGCACUAUAGCAAUACUCCUUUCCUAGUAGGUUGAACUGGGCUAGGCACUGGCCUCUGUAGCUUACAGGCGUGCCAUUACUGCCAUAAUGAGCCUAUAUUGUUGUAACCUAGUCAAGAUAAUCAAAUAAUCCCAUGAGUGGGCACAGCAUUCUUAGGAUCGUCAUUGGCUGAAUGUAUGCAAGUUAUCUGUCAAUAGAUGCUUUGUUUGGUUUAUCUCUCUAAACUUUCGCCAAAACAUAUAUGUUCUUGGGGCCUCAUGUUGACAAACUGUUAAAUGACCAACAAACUUUUAUAUAUGCUUGCCUUCACAAUUAGCACUAGGCAUAGGAUAAAUUGCCAAAGAGUUGAACACAAUGUUUCAUCUCUGUGCCUUGGUCAGCUCACUUCUGGGGAGUGAUGGCCUUCCUUAAAUUUUCUGUACAGAAUGCAGGGCAUGUGGGAGAUAAUCCCUGAUCCCCCUUGGUCCCUUAGAUUAAGCCAUCUGUACAUUUAGUCUUAUAAGAAUAAGAAUUGACCUCUGUGGCUUCUCUUUUGUUUUUCUUGGUCAGACAUUAUGGUUUGUUUGCUAGUGUGGGUAUGAAUUCUUUGGUGUUUUGGACUGCAUGUUUCUGGACACUAUUUGGGUGAUCUGGAAUGAUAGGAAUCAUGAUUUUUAGGAAAGAUACAGAUCUCCUGGGAGUGAGGGUAACGUUUUCCUUUAUGAGAUCUGUUUGGAAAGAAUUUGAUGGUACUUCUCGCAGUUAAUUUCACUGAUGGGCUGUCUGUUCGCUUGAACUCCUUGAGAUGAAUCCAUAUCUGGGCUCUUACACAUUGUGCUCUUAUCUGUUGUUGCAUUAAGGCAAUCUCCUCCUUUUUAUUGGGUUUUCCUCAUUAAAAUUUCUCUGUUUUUAAUCUGGGGAAAAAAAAAAUAAGAAUUAGAAGAAAUAAGAGUAUGCACACACAUGUAUUUAUGAUCGAUCAGUUUCAAAAGUACUGACAUUUGUACAUAUUGUGUUAGCAUCCGUGCUGGAGGCGUUGGAGUGAAUCUUCAGGCUGCUGAUACAGUGAUCAUAUUUGACACUGACUGGAAUCCUCAGGCAAAUACAGAAACUAGAUGCCCUUGAAGAAUUGUCUGUGAAGUUGAAAUUAUAUUUUUGUUGUUCCUAAGUGUGAUUUUCAUUUUGGUUCUCUCUCAGGUUGAUCUGCAAGCUCAGGCAAGGGCCCAUAGAAUUGGCCAAAAGAGGGAUGUUCUUGUCCUUCGAUUAGAAACAGUGAGUACAUUUCUAGGGUUUAUGUUGUAGGAUAAGUAUCUUCUUGAUUUAGGAAUGAUUAUGCAUGGGGUAUUUGUAAAAAAUAUUAUUUUGUUUUUUCACUUCUUUUGACAGUUUGGGCUGUAUUUUUCUAAUUGCUGGCUGGGUAUCUGUUUUCAUGUGAUAUGCUUGGAUUAGUAUUUAGUAGUAAACAUUUUUCUUCCAAAAUUGGCAGCUGAGGGGUUCAGAGAGAUCCUUGUGGGACACAAUGUUGGUUCCUCUUUGCAUAUUUCAUAGAGAUUAAUGUGUAGAUUCCAGCUUUCUUUCUUUUCCAUUUGUCAUGUUCCUAUAGAAAAACGAAAAUAGAUUAAAUUGCUGUCAUCUUUUUGGCUUGUAAAUCAACUGACAAAUGUAUUGUGGGACCAUUGAAGUGGCAGAACAUCCUCUGGUCUUCCAGGAAAUAGAUAUGUGGGUGUCUUACAUUGUGCUUUUGUGUGUAAUAUUUAGGUUGUUUUCAUGCUUUAUGAGUGCAAAUGCUUUCUUAUUGUAGGGAUAUUAUGAUUGAUCUUUUUUGUUGUCAUUUUCUUUAACUGUUGUAAAUAUAAUAUCUCCUGAACUCAUGAUUGUGGAAAAUCUCCUAGAAUGAAGUUUUUAUUCAGUUAUGUUGAUUUCAUAUAUUGCCUACCUCAUAGUUCUUUCACUACUGAGCUCUUGUUCAGCUUGUAAUAUUAUUUUUUGAAUAAUUCAUCCUUAAUUUCUAAUUUCCAUUCUCUCUGCUGAUUCUUGUAUUGUAUUCAUAGGCCAUUCCUGUACUUAUUUCCCAAAUCUUGUCAGCCCCUUUCUUGUAUUCUAAUUUAUCUUUCAACUUCCAUUUUCUUCCCUUCACUGAGAAGGGAAACAAAAAACCCAAUUGGAUGCAUUCCCAGCCAUAGCAAUUCACAGGAAAUAGAAAUAUAAUGUUUUGAUGCUAUACUGGUACAUACAUUACAUGGGAUGUUUGUAAACCUUCUCACUGGUUUUAUUGUUAAAUAAAUCACUGAAUUUGAAAGUUUUUGGUAUGAUGUGAUAUAUUGUUCUUCAUCUAUGUUCAUUGAAUUAUAUUGAACUACUUUUAUUGCAAUAAGGUCCAAACCGUGGAAGAACAAGUCAGGGCUUCAGCUGAACAUAAACUGGGAGUUGCUAAUCAGAGUAUCACUGCUGGUUUCUUUGAUAACAAUACAAGGUACAUCAGUAUUCUUGUUAAAUUAAUGUUUCCUGCUAAAAUUUCCAAAAUUUUCUGAUACACCCUUUAGUUCUACUGAAGGAUUUUUCUGUAAUAAAACCUCAGUGCAGAAGAUAGAAGGGAAUACUUGGAGUCGUUGCUGCGGGAGUCUAAGAAAGAGGAAGCUAUGCCUGUUUUAGAUGAUGAUGCUCUGAAUGAUCUCUUAGCCCGCAGGUAGGUUCCAUCUCCAGCUUCAUGUUUAUUCCUCCAUCUGAAUGUUAUUUAUAUAACUGCUUUCUCACACUGAGACAUUAUGAAACAGCAGAAGCUGUACCACUUUUUCUUUCCCCCCCUAUUUAUGUGUUACUUGCCUUGUGUGUCUGGGAAGGCUUAUUCAUUAGUGGGUUUGUUUGUUUGUUUUUCCCCCUCCUUUCCAUAUUUAUGUGAUACUGUGAGUAUGGGAAUGAUCGUUCACUAGUGCCAAGAAUUCUUUUAUAUCUGGAUUCUCAAAAAGACAAAUACUAGCCUUUGAAUGUUAUUUUUUCCGCUACUUAGACCAAGAAAAUUGAAAAUCCUUACCCAGUUACUUGGAUUCAAGUAGAGAAAUGAUACUUCACCAUUCUGCUGUUUGCAUAAGGCUAUACUUACCUCUAAGUUUAAGUCACCCUUUAUUAUUUGUAAGUUAAGAUGUAGUGGAUCAUAGGGAUUAGAGGUUUCUAUCACUGCUAGCCUAUGUAUUUGCAGAUUUAUUUAUUUGUUUAUUUUUCCCUUUUUUGACUCUGAAAUUAUGUGUGCUAUUUAAUAUCGUAACCUGUCGCUCUUCAUGUUCUGCCUUUGAUUUGUUGUUUUCCUUAGUUUAAUAUUGUGAUUUCCAUAUACUUUAGCUAUUUUCCUUUUGGCAUUUUUAUUGUCAAGCUGAAUGUUCAUAUUCUGGCAGUGAGUCGGAGAUUGAUAUAUUUGAAUCCAUUGACAAAAAAAGACAGGAAGCAGAGAUGGUAUGCUUCAUUUUCACUUUGGGUGGCAUAAAUGUCUUUGGAUUUAUAGAUGACUGCUGUCUGAUCUAGUGCAUUACUAAAAUAAACUAAAUUCUGCAGGCAACAUGGAAAAAGCUAGUUGGACAGGGAAUGGAGCUUGCACCUCCCCUUCCUUCUCGCCUUGUAACAGAUGAUGACUUGAAAGUAUUCUAUCAAGCAAUGAAAAUAUAUGAAGAAUCAAAUGCUGGGGUAAUAUCUAAUGUUGGUGUAAAACGGAAGGGUGAGUAUCUUGG